AAAUAUAAUUGCUAAGCCAUUAAGUGUAAAAUUUUUUGAAAUGACAACUGCUAAGCCAUAAUUACAUGUACCUUUCUCGUGAAACGAGAAUCCUCAAUCAAGAAAAAAUAAAAGAAUAAAAUAUAAUUAAUAAGAUGAAAGAGUACAACAUCCUCUCAAAUAGUGCAACAUGCUCUUCCAAAUAGUACAAUAUCUAUAUAAGUAGUACAACAUAUGCAUUGUUAAUACAUAUUUUGUAUAAUUUUUACAGUAAAUUACGUACAGUUUAGCAUAUUACGCGAAAAUAAUAUAAUAUAUUACAACAUACUAUAAAAAUUAUAAAAUAUAUGUACAAACGGUGCAUAUUUUAUGCUAUUUAUAUAGAUAUUUACACCAUUUGUGUAAACGUUGCACUAUUAUGAGAAGAUAUUGCACCAUUUAGAUGUGUGUUACACUCUUUCUUUUUAAAAAUUAAAUUUUAUUGCAUAUUAAAUAAAGUGUCAAAUUUUUUAAAAAUGACAACUGCUAAGCCAUAAUUACAUGUACCUUUCUCGUGAAACGAGAAAACUCAUUCAAGAUAAAAUAAAAAAAUAAAGAAUAAUUAAUAAGAUAAAAGAGUGCAACAUUUUCUCAAAUAGUGCAACAUACUCUUCCAAAUAAUGUAAUAUCUUUAUAAGUAGUGCAACAUAUACAUUGUUAGUACACAUUUUGCAUAAUUUUUACACUAAAUUAAGUACAGUUAAGUAUAUUACGCAAAAAUAAUAUAAUAUUGUAGUGUUCCAGAGUUUUGAAUAGGAUUGGCUUCAGUGUUAGUAACUGGUCGACACAUCUGGAGAGUGUCGGACUGAGUCGGAGUUGUUUCUGUAUGAAAUGGAUGCAGAAAUGGACUCGGCGCACUCAAAUAAGAAAAACUGGAGUUUUGCCAGAUUCGGGCACCCAAAACAGGUUUUGGAUCGCCCAGAAGUUGAGUGCAGAUUUGAUCAGAACUGGAAGCCAAUUCGGGUCCAUGUUUCGGGCGCCUGGAAGUGGGUUCGAAAAUUUCACCUCGUGAGUAUCGUUUGCGCUGACAUGUGGCUGGUGGUAGGUGAGUUCCGCCGGAGCCGGAUUCCGGCGCAGCAUACCGCGAGCGGAGAGUCCGAGGAGGAAGCCUUGUGUAGCUUGGAGGAUUCGGGCGCCCAUAAUGUGGGUUCGGGCGCCCGAAAGUGCCCGUUUCUGCUGAGUUGCAGGUUUACAGCUGCUGUUCCUGAGGCUUAUGGGACUGUUCUAACACCCUAUAAAUAGAUGGUGUGCGACCCCAGUGAGCUCUUUUCACCUGUUCUUCACAGAGAAGCCUCAUAUUGCAUUUCUAACCCUCAGAUUUCCUCAAAUUGCGUCCAAUCUUUCAAUUGGAAGGUGGUGGAGUGCUGAUUCUGCAGUUUUUCAGCGACGACCUCCAGUGUUUUGGCUCGUGUGCGAUGUAGGAAGGUCGGAUCGCGGUGAAACUUGGUUUGAUGGAUUCUAGACUGCCAGAGGAAUCCAUGAAGUCCUGAAUUGCAGAUUUUGGUUGAGGUUACCUUGGUCGAUUUCCUAUUUUUCUAGACUAUUGGUGACUUUGAGUUGAAAAUCUGUUUUUUCUGGAUUUUCUUGAUGUUAGCUGCAAAGGCAGUGGGAUUUUGGACCUGAGACACAUCACCCACCAGUAUUUGCUGGAUUUGGGACUGUCCUCACCUGAUUUGGAGAUCGUUAGGUGAGUUUUGACAUUGGACUUGGGUUAAUUUAGCUUAAGUGCUGAAUAUUUGUGUUGAUUGUGGCAUCUUGAUAGAAUUUUAGUGGAUUCGGAGGUUUAGAGCUGGAUUGAGGACCCUUGCUGGUUGAGAGGGAGUUCGGCUGAGUUUCCAGCAUCUCCGAGAUCUUCUUGCUGCCAGGAAUUAGCUUUAGAGGUGGGUGUAUCAUCGGUUUUUACCCCUAAGUACAUGUUAGUCGACGUGUAUGAAUUGCGGCUAUUGUUAUCUUGUUGUAGCUCAAAUUCAUCGAUGAGUAUGAUAUAUAAAUUUGAAUUUGGAGCAUGCUUAGUAAUUAGAUAAAUUAUACAUGUCGGACUUAGAACUUGACUUAGGAGAAAACCAGCGUUUUGACCCGUCAUAUGAUUCUACUACCUGAUCUAGCUCUAGGAGCCGUGAUGUGAUCGUAUCACCGCUGUUUUAGCGCGGUGGAUACUCGGGGUAGUUUAGAAUGCAUUUACGCUCGUGCUGGGAUGCCGAACUUAUUUUUUACAGCAGAGUCUAGGCUGUUUCGGACUGUCGGGUGCCGUCGGGGUUGGACGGUGGACCCAGAUUUCUGUUUUUGACUCAAAUUGUGCCGAUGACACGUGGGUUUGGUUUCUAGACCUCUUUUGCCCCUGUCUUCUUGAUAUUAGUUUAUGAGAGCCUGAUUGAGCUCGACAGAGAUACGCUUGUAUAUUCGGUUGGGUAGCGCCCACGACUGCCACUCCGGAGUCAGGCUUUGUGCGUUUGCGUUGUUGUCGUUCGUACAGAUUGGACUUGUUCUCCACGGACUAUUUAGUGUGGAGGUAGCUGGAUAGUCGCAACCGGGCGGGACAGGUGUGUUCACAGUCGCAGGGACGGGUAUGAUUACAGUCCUUACUUGAGAUUGGGUCUGAGUUGACACUGUUCUACAGAUGGUUAGAUUUAGAGCAUGAUAGCAUAGUGGUAUAUAGCUGUAGAUUUAUCAUAGCUUUCUUUACUAUUCCUACUUAUCCCUGUAGACUUAGUGGGUAGACCGAUGAGUUAGAGGGCGGUACCCACUGAGGACUACUUCUUUUUAUAGUAGUUCUCACUCCCAGUUGUUACCACUAUUUUUGUAGAACCGUCGUCUUCUGCUGCUGCUGUUGCUGAUCUUGAUCGUGGCAAGGGUGUCGCGAGUUAGAGCCCUUCCAGACGAGUCGCAGAGCUAGAGGAGCACUAGCUACAGGUAGUUGUAGUUUUUGGGUCUUUACAUACAGUUGUUGUAUCUCGCCAGAGCGAGUAUUUGUUUACCUGGAUGACAUGUAUGUAUUAAACCACCAUUUUAUAUAUGGUUUAUUUUUCUAGCUGCUCUAUACUACUGUUUGUAGUAUUGUAUGAUUACAGGUACUUUUACUUCUUCGCUUCGUAUACAGGGGAAAUGUCUAUAUAUACGGCGGAUCUGUUAGCGAGCCCGGGGAAACGAGUAAUCCGGGGCGUGACAGAUUAAGUUGGUGUCAGAGCUUAGCUGUAGGUCGUUGGGACCUAGGAACCCUAAGUUUGGCAAACCUUAGGAAGACAAGACGCGAGAGGCGUGAUUUAUCACGAAAGUCAACGAUUCGUUGUUCUAACUCCUCCUAGAGUGGAGUGAGUGAUUGGAGGAGUUCCUGUUUUGGCCUAAGAAAUUAUGUUGGCUGCAGACGACAUAAUUUUGAGGAGAAACAGGGGUCGCCUUCUAGACUUUCGUUUGAUUGGGUCGAGAGUGUUUUUGUUGUAUCUGACCUCUGUUUUGUUUGCUACAGCUAUAUAUCGUCGCCGAGAUCGACCGUCGCUCAGAGAUCGUGCCUCACCGCCUGAGCCGAGUGCACCACCUAAGGCGAGUGCACCCCCUGUUGUGGAGCAGAGGGCCCGACCGGAGGUGGGUGUACCUCUUGAUUUGAGUGCACAGUUAGCCGCCCUGACAGAGGUGACGAGGCGAUAGGGGGAGUUGUUGGAGAGGUUGUGUGAGAGGGUAGCUCCGUCACCGAGUACAGUACCGAGAGCACCUGAGCAGGCCGUUCCACUUCCGACUACUCCAGCGGCAGCACCAGCCGCAGCCGUACACCGGCCAAUGGAUAUUCCCGAAGCGCCAGUUGUGCCUCCUAGAGGGCCAGUACAGAUGACUUAGGCCGAGCAGGAGCGAAUGACAGAGAGGUUGGCUCGUUUCCGCCGUUUUGAUCCGCCGACCUUCGAUGGCAGUUGCACUGAGGCCUGGAUUGUUGAGGGCUGGGUCAGUGCGAUGGAAAAGCUGUUCGAGGAUCUGUUCGUUCCUGAGAGGGAGCAGGUAUCUUUGGGAGUCCAUUGCUUGGCAAGUGAUCUACAGUGAUCUACAGUGAGCUUUCUCUGUAUUCUUUGUUUUUCCAUCAAUGUCUAGUAAGGUUUCUAAUAAAUUAUUAUUUAUAUUUUUUUUAUGUGCAUAACAUUGAGGUUGUGAGGCAAUUUGAGUUUUUGCCAAUAUUGCAACUCAUACUCUUCUUGGUCCAAUAGCGUUUUUCGAGAGAGCGCUUUCUUUUCUUGUUAUUCCUUUUCAAACUUAAAAAUUUUUAAGGCCUCCGAUUAUAGCAACAUUUCUUUUCCUUAUAGUUCCUUAUACUUUCAUAAAUUUUAAUAAAUAAAAUUACAAAAAUUAAAUACUAAAAUAAUAUUAUAACCAUUAGAUUAAAUAAAAUUUUUAAUUUAACCAAAUAGAUUAAUGUAAAUUUCAUUUUAUGUACAUACAGAAAAAAAAUAAUCCGUAACAUAUCUUUAAUGUAUUAGCAAUUAAGCAUCAAUAUGUUGCUAAAAGUAGUGUUUCAGCAACCACAUACUUGGUCGCUAAUUAUUGAACCCUAUAAUGACUUCAAAUUUCGCAGCUAUUAAUUAUGGUUAAUUUGUUGCUAAAAUAGACCUAGUGCAAAAAAAAUUGUUCCCACUGCUAUGAGCCGAAUUCCUCAACCCUUGACCUGGUUAAGGUCUUCCUAGGAAAACGCACAGGAAUUAAAUUCGGCUUCACUUGAUGACCCUCAAAGUUUGCGCCCUUCGACGGAUCAAGCGGUUCUGCUGAUGAGGAAUCGGAUCAGCCGAGUUUGAAAAACUUUACUGUAGAACGGGUUCGACUGAAUGAGCCGAAUGAAUGAAAUGCACAGUAGUUUGAGUUGGCUGAAAAGCUCAAUGCCUUUAUAUAUUGAAUUUAAAUCUGAAAACUUGUACAAAAAAGAGUGCCUUUGGGGCAUACAGACUCCGAAAAUCUAACUUAGAACUACUCCUACAAAAAGAGUAGAUGCGGGAAAGGAAAAGAUUACAAGUAGACUACUCUUAGAAACGCGAAGAAAAUGCAGAGGAAAUAAAAGUUGUCUUCUGUUCUCGGAGAAAAGACCUCUCUUUUAGGCAUUAUUUGCCUAUUUAUAGUCCACUAUUACUGUUCAUUUAUUGCCCACGAUCGGCCACUUCCCUAUUUUUGUGGGCCAUUACGAGCAGACCCAAAACUACCGUAACCGCUUGCAUUACGCCUUGCAGUUAUACUAUUAUUUCUUUAUUAUUUCCGGUACACCACAAACCCCUUUAAUGCUGGCUUCUAAAGAUCCAAGCUGAACUGUGCACCGAUAUGCCACAUGGCAAUUUAUUGUUGGCCCUAACAAUUGCCCCCUCGGCAGCUUCCGAACAGACGAUUCGGUAGCUGAUGUAAUCUUCUCCAGAGGUGCGAUUUUCGAAAUAGUCAUUUCGAAUUCCCUUGUACGAUUUUCUUCUCAACCGUCCUUUCUCUUUCGACGGCCAUGAUCUCCACAUUCCUUUUGUCUUAUCUGCAGUAUUAAUUAGGUCAUAUUAAUUACUGCCGUCUCUUCAUUAUUACAACCAGCCUCGAAAAUUGAUUCGGCAGCCUUUUCUCUUCCUUUUUCUCCAAGCUUCUUCUUCUUCGCUUUUUUGUUCCUUUUCUUUGGCUGGAACCUUCAUCUCCUUCACCCUCAUCUUCAAACUCCUCAUCCUUGAUUUUUUAGGGUUUUUCUUCGCUAUUUCUCUUCCUUUUUCUUUUUAAAAUGGCGCCGCUUCUGCCUCUUCCUUCUUCUCUGUCGUUGGAUUACAACUUGCUUAGGCAAUUUGUUCCAUCAGACCCUUCUCGAUUUAUUUUAGGUCCCUCUUUCACCAAUGACCUAAUUCCUUAGGAUUUUUCUUUUUCGAGUGAUGGUUUCCCGCUGAUGGCCAAUGCCAUUCAUCUUCAUUCCUGGUAUACUUCGACUUUGACGAGGAAAAGUCUCUGAACCUGGCCAAGUGUUUAAGAUGCGUACCUUACCUGGUUAGAUCAGGUGGAGACUACAUAAGCCGAUUUUUGGCAAGAAGUUGGUAUUUAUGAAGCUAUUCAACCAUCUCGAAAACCACCUAUAGCCAUGUAACGACCCAGCCCACUAGCAAUAAUAACUCGUUGGGCCCAGUCAACAGCCCAAAAUGCUUAAGCCCAGUUAUUAUUACUAGUGUCUAAGUCUCUUAUAAACCCAAUGACAACCCCUUUCCCAUCCGAUGUGGGACUAUUGGGAUGUCACAAGCCAACAACCUUCUUUUGGUUGUGGCUCUCUAUUUUUGGUCCCCUAUUUCUAAUACUUUUUUUUUUUAGAGAAAAACCCCUUACUCCUAUUCUCCUCGACGUAGCCGCUAUCAUUGGCUUACGUCCUCAUGGAGUAACCCUUUCGAUGGCCUACAAACAAUCCCGACGGUGCAAUCGAUUUUGAGGCCCAUCUCGACCUUACUGAUUUGGCCUAUUCUAAAUUUAUCCGCAAGUUCGCAGAUGAGUCCCCUGCUACAGUUACUAGGAAAGAACACACAACAUUUCUCCUCUAUUGGUUAUGCCGCAACCUCUUCUGUACUCGUUCACAGAAGAUUAAUCGAGAUUUUGUUUCGAUCGCCGUGGACUUAGCUAACGGUGAAAUAUUAGCUCUCGGAGCAUAUUUCCUUGCUUUUGUAUAUAAAGAGAUUUUUGACUCUAUCAAACCACUACCAUCUAGAGAGGGUUUAGCAACCGGCUCCGAUUGCUGUGUCUUCUGAUUUUUGUAGAUGUUCUUGCAAAUUUAUUUUCCUUCUUUAUGCCGAACUCCUUUGGAUAUAGAUUCGACUCCUCAGUUCGAUACUUAUAGGUUAGCUCUCGGCUGUCCACAGUCGUUAUCCUCAGGCCACCCAUUUGAUUUUAGUACUUAUUCAAGGUCUUCUACGAAUCGCGUCCUUAUCACCUCAUUUCAUGGUCUCCAUUUGCGGAGCGUGUUAUUGGUCCACCUUGGCUUCUUUCUCGCUACGAAGCCAUCCAAGGCGAACUGGCCUCCUCUCGGGUUAGUGAAUAUUCGGACGUCUGGUUUUCCUUCUUGACUACGCGAGAUCUGCAUAUAGGGUUGAAAACAUGCUUAAAAUUGAUGCCCAGUACUGAAGUUUAUUCUCCCUAGUAUGUGGCGCGUCAAUUUGGAUUUGUACAAGCAAUCUCUGCACCGGCCAAGGUUUUUACAGCCAAUACUGCCGUCAAACGUCCUCCCACCAAAAGUACAGAUGAAACUGAUCGGCUUUCGACUAUGGGGAAUCGUCUUCGGUGAUUCUUCAAAUUAGUAAGCUUCAGGCCCAAUCACACGGGAGUGAUGGGCUUUCGUUAUACAGUCACUUGGGAUGUCUUUGCUGAUCGCGUCUUUGCUCUGCCCACACAACAUGCACUUCACAAGAUUCUUCACCUGACAGGUACGUUAUUUGCUUACUGAAUCACUUCUGUAAUCGAUCUUCUUCUUAAGUUAAUUCUAUUUAUCUGUUAUUCAUUUGUAGCAGUAUCUUAUCCGAGUAGAGACAUUUCACUCGAUUCUGCUGCUCAAUCUACACCGGAAGAAGAGUCGGAAGAAAAUUUCGAUCAGAAUCCUAAUGACUUGCCUUCCCCUUCUGCAGUGAGUCUUACUUGUCACUUUUGCCCUCUUUUCUUUAUAUGGCUUACAUUUAUAUACAUAUUUUAUGCAUAGCCAACUCCAGCCACUUCCUCGGUCCCAAGUUAAGAAAAGCGAUCGAUGGAAGCCGAACAAUCUAUUCCUCCGCCGCCUUCAAAGCGGCGCAAAUUAGUUGUCAAGAAAUCUUAUUCUUCAACCCCUGCGAUAGCCGAAGAUGCGUCUUCGACUAAUGUUUUAUCAACACUAGAGAAAAUUCCUACUCAAUCAUCUGCCAAUGAACCGAUCUCAGUUAAGGUAACAAUUCAACUUAUUAUGAUCGACUUUUCCUUUUAUAAUGCUUCCGCUGGAUCAUCUUCAUUUUCUCCUUCAAUGAAACAGUCACCUUCUAGAGAUGUUCCUCACGUCCAUCUUGUUUCAUCCCUGGAAAGGAAAAUGUUUGACUCUGAGAGGCAAGCUCGCCGAGAAGCUCGCCUUGACAAGAAACGGGAAGCAGAACAAAAAUAGGCUACAACCGAGAGAAGCGAAGAAACACAAAAGAAGAAAGAAAUGACAAAGAUGUCUACCCCAAAUAUGGGAACAGAGGAAGAAAGAAGUGAAAAGGGAGGAGGUGAACAACCAGAGGCAUUAGAGAGAAGAGAUGUAGAAGAACAGAGAAAGGAAAAAGGAAAUGAAAAGGAACAAUGAGAAAAAGAUGGUAAAGAGGCAGAACUAAGUACGGUGCCUUUCACAAAUCCUUCAGCCGAAGCCUCAGUAUCGGUUCCUUUAUCAAUGCCUGAAACAAAAGAUCCGUUGACUACUUCUCUCCAGAGCUUACAGUCUUCGAGUCCUAAUUCCAAUGAAGGAGAAGACUUUUCUGUCGUUAUAUCGGCUGACACUCAGCAAAAAUUGGAUGAGUGUUUAAAAUUGUAUAGUUAUGGUCUCCCUUCUUUGGCUCGAAACACAGAGCAAAUUGACCGGCUUGGAGUAUUGUUACUUUAUUUGGCAAACCAACCAGACCUUUCCUCCACCGGUAAGUGUUUUGCGGAGACUUUAUCAUCUCAGCUUUCUUCUUUUUUAUCUCGGCAACAGACUCUUUCUGCCAAGUUUCUAUCCCUGGAUCAUCACUUCAAUCGGGUCAACCACUUCAAAAUAAAAAUUCCUGAAGUGGUGGCUCCGAUUACUGACCUGAGCCGAGAAUAUCAAACUUUAGAAAAUCAAGAGUUAGCCCUUCGGCAGCGGAUUUUCACUUUUAAAGAGGAAUUAGCUAUAGCCGAAUUGGCUUUAGCCCGUACUUCUGAGCAAUGGACUGUCUUGGAAGGCCAAUUGAACGUCAAAAAGAAUGAAGGGGUGAAACUUUAAGAUCGGCUUUCUCAGCUCUAUAAGCUACAUCCCUUGAUGAAAUGGAGGAAGAAAGCAGUCGAUGCCGCACAAGCGCAUUUAGAAGCCGAAUGGAAUCAACUCAGAGACUUACUAUCUUGACUCCAUUUAGUAUUUUAGUUCGGCUAUUGGCUGUAAUAUAUUUUACUGUUCUUGCCUCUAACUUUGUUCAUUCUCCUACAUUGAUGGGUAGUACUUUUUUAAAUAUUUUUCAUUAAUUGGUCUAUCAUGCUCUGACUCAUCUAUAUUUCUUAAGUAAUAUGCAUUACCUAUCGUGAUUUUGCUCACUUGAAAUGGUCCUUCCCAAUUUGGAGACCAUUUUCCAUAUACUCUGUCCUUUCGACCGAUCGAAAAUAUUAAUCUUAAUACUAAGUCCCCCUUAACUUUUUUAUUAUAUGCACUGCAUACUCAGCUCUGAUAAGCUUGUAAAUGGUCAAGUGCUAUCAGCUGAGUCUCAUUCGUUUCUUCUAAUCUUUCAGUCAUCAAGAUAUUAUAUUCACUUGUCGUUAAUUCAUUUUAUUUUUUCACUCGUAAAGAAGGAACUGUUAUUUCGGCUGAAACUACGGCCUCAUGGCCGUAUACUAACUGAAACGGUGUCAUUCCUGUCGCUAUUUUCACUUUAGUUCGACAUGCCCAUAAUAUUUCAGAAAGCUUCUCGUUUCAUUUUCUCGGAUGUCUUCCAACAUGUCGCUUCAUAAGAUUGAUAAUCAUCUUAUUUGCCGCUUCGGCUUGCCUAUUGGCUUGAGCAUUAUAAGGUGAUGAGUGAAACAAUUUGAUUUUCCUCGACUCAAUGAACCGAAUAAACUGUUCCCCAGUAAACAUUGUUCAUUGAUCAGUUGUAAUCAUCUCAAAAAUUCCAAAACGAUGUAUUAUAAAAUCUUCCACGAAAUCUAUAGUUUCCUUCUGAGUGACCAACCUAGUAGGUUUCACUUCUACCUAUUUAGUGAAGUAAUCAACAGCCACUAUCAGAAACUUAUGACUAGCUGAAGAAUUCGGCUGAAUUUCAAUAAUUAAAUCCAUAGCCCAACCUUGGAAGGGCCAAGGUUUAAUUAUUGUAUACAUCACGGAAGCAGGACUCUUUGCACAGAACCAUGGAACUGACAGCCUUGACAUCCUUUGGCAUAUUUUAUACAAUCCUGAUGCAUAGUCGGCCAAUAAUAACCCAAGUGUCGAAUUGUCCAUCUCAAUCUUUUUUUCGCUAAUGGGCUCCGCACAAACUUUCAUGGGUUUCACCCAUAGUCAACAAGGCUUCUUCAGGUCCCAAAUAUUUUAACAAUACUUUUUAGGCUGUUCUCUUAUAGAGUUGUCCAUUUAAUAGACAAUAGCCGAGUGUUGUCUUUCGAAUAUGGUAUGCGACUCGUUUAUUUGAGUCUUUCAAAUAUUCGACCAAAGGCUUUCUCCAAUCUUCCUGGACUUCAACGGGAGCAAUCAUCGUCGGCUCUCGUAUAUGAACCGAUGGUAGUAAUCUUCGCUCUAUAUUCACUUGAUCAUGUCUCGGCACUUUAUACCCCGAGACCGAUUGAGCUAAUUCAUUAGCCUGUUCACUCUCUUCUCCUGUUAAGUGUAUGAACUCAACUUUCCUGUAACUGCAGAGUAAUUCUAUUAUUUUUGUCAAAUAAUUCUACAAAUUUCGAUUUUCAUAUCGGUAUUCUCUAUUUACUUGCUUGAUCACUAAUUGUGAAUCACCGAUGACUUUGAGUGAGCGCACUUCUAAUUCUUGUAGAAUUUCAAGGCCAAUUAUUAAGACCUCAUACUCGGCUUGAUUGUUAGAGCACCCGAAAUUUAAUUCGAAAGCGAACUGAUUAAUAUAUCCUUCUGGAGAUUGUAUAACCACUCUGGCUCCUGUGGAUUUGGCUGUUUUUGAACCAUCGAAGUAAAGUGUCCAGUGUUGGCACCCGACUAGACUUUGCUUCGGCUCUUCGAUUCCACACAAAGAUGAUCGGCCAAGAAAUCAGCUAUUGCUUGCCCCGUGACGGCUUUUGCCGGGACAUAAUUAAGAGAAAAUUCAGACAACGCUAGUAUCCAUCGUCCUAUUCGUCCUCUUAGUACAGGUUUCGAUAACAUAUAUUUUACCAAGUCAGUUUUACAGAUUACUCACACUUCUGUCGAUAAAAUAUAAUACCUCAAUUUUGUACAUGCAUAAUAUAAUACCAGGCACAAUUUUUCAAUUGCCGAAUAACGUUUUUCGGCAUCUAACAAUCGCCUGCUAAGGUAAUAAAUAGCUUGUUCUUCUUUUUCGUGAUUUUCCUGUGCCAAUAAGCACCCUAAAUUUUCUUCUGCAGCUGAUAUGCACAACUUCAUCAGCUGGCCCUGUCAAGGAGGCAUGAUGUCACGUCCCGAGCCCGCCUCUUUGGUCGGUUUCGGGCACGCCAACAGACCGUCGAACGGACAGGGUUUUUCCUGUACCGCGGACAGAGUCUCCCCUAUACGUCCAAGGCGUCACAAUCAUACAAUGCGCGAGGUUCCAACCAGGAAUAGAAUACAAACAUAGAUUACUUAAGGAAGGUAUCGAAAACAUAAUUACUACGCUAUUACAAGCAUUCAACUCACAUAUUACAUCAUGUAAUAUACCGAAAAUUCGGAAAAUAAAAAUGUCGAACUUUAGUCAAAUUGACCAAAGUGCGAGAAUGGUACACUUCGGAAAGUCCGAAGGUGUUAAAAUGAGUAAAAGUGAGUUACGGGAGGUUUUCGAGAGCUAUAGAAUCAAAUCUGCAAAACUGCAGAUUUUGAGCUCUCGGGGANAUGAAAUUAUGUAAUGAAAUGCAAAGAAUCCUAAAUGUAAGAGAUGGAUGCAAUGUAUAUGAUCUAAAAUGAAUCAUAUUACUUGUGAAUGUUUAGUUCCUUUUUCUUUCACUAAUGGCUACUGCUUACCUUCGUGUAAGCCGUUUUGUAUGUUUCCGCUAAUGCACUUCUUAUUGAAAAUGUACAUGUGAUGAGCCUUGGGCGGAUAGGGAAAACUCUGUCCGUUCGGCGUCUGUUCGACGAGCUCGGGCCGGCCCAAAUUGGCAUCGGUCCCGGGGUGUGACACAUCAUAUAUCACAUUUUCUUUUUGAUUCUUUGAUCCUUACUUCCAAAAUACAAUCAAGUUUUCAACAUAAUUAUUACAACAUUGUUAUUUCCAUCACUAAACCCCUAAGCUAAGCCGACUUAGGGUACCGCUAUCUCUGGUCUCGAUGGUAGGGUGCUAACUAUGGAGCUACGCCCUCGCCUCGCGCCGCCGCGCCGCUCAUGUGUGAAUUUAUACCCCCAAAAAUAAUACGGGGUUGAGAACUAUUGUCCAUAGUUUCCAGUGGGUACGGCCACCCAAGGGAAAAGCUCAACCCAUCAGGUCCAAAGGAGGCACUGUAAACAUGUUAGUCCAACAGAUAUCAACAGAUAAUAUUUAUGCAAAUAUUAAAUAUAUGUUUAUGCCUCAAGACAUACAAUAUAUAAAUCAUGCAACUCAUGCAAGUAGAUUAAUUGAUUCUACUCUCUAUCAUUCACCAUUCUUUAUAUUAUUAACAAUUCUUUAUCACUUGUCAUUCUUUACUCUUUAUUCUAGCCAACUAUGCCACUCGACUCGGUCUUGAAUCAAUUCAUGAUGAAUGCAAGAUCUCAUUGCCCAAUCUCUUGACUAAUCCGUAGGUUUCGCCCUCAACAAACUCACCAACCCAAAUCCCUACUAUCGGGGAGAUACUCGCUGUGACCCGACGGGACCGUCCUCUGGGGAGAUACUCGCUACGACCCAGUGAUGACUACUCCGGAGCUCAUCGCACGAGGAGGAGCUACCGCCCUCGAGCCAAGACUAAUGGGUGAGUACGAUCAAUCUUUAACUUUAAGGAUUCCGAGUUUAAUCCAAUUCUCACUAUGAGGAUGCAAUGCUCAUAUGACCCUUAACUCUAAGGUUGCUAUGUCAUAAUGUUCAACUAUAUCCUUUACUUGCACUCUUUAACUUGCUUUAGUGUCAUCACACUACUUGUUCUUUAUACUCAUUUUCAUGCCGCACUAAGUGUUCAUUAAUGCCACACUUGUAAUCUAGCAUUCUUGUCCCAUUGAUGUCACUAUUGUAACACUAGUAUUCGAGACUCAUUAAUGCCACUCACUAUAUUUAUGUCAACAUGUCACUUUUUUUCUAAGUUCUCAUUGUUAUGUCAAAUGCCACAAUGCCACAAUUGCACAUGCAUAUACUUUUUAGCACAUUUUACAACUUGCCAACAUGCAUAAUUUCAUCUAGCAUAUUCCACAAUAUCAACAUGCAUAUACUUUCACCCAACAUAUUCCAUAAUAUGUCAAUAUACACAUACUUGUCAUCCAAGGUAGUCAAUACUUAGCAUCUCAUGCAUUCUCUAACCUCUACCACAUGCAUUCUUGAUUAACAUAAAUCUCAUGCAUUCGUUAGUAUUUAUCACAUGCAUUCAUUAUUAGCAUAUACCUUUCACAUUCAUUUAACAUUUAGCUCAUACCAUUAUUUACUUUGCAAUCAACUACUAUUAUGUAUAUAUGCAUCAAUUAGAAAACCAUACUUCACUUUGACAUGGAAGCUGUCACGCCCCGGGACCGGCAGAGGCCCUCCCGGUAGCGUGCCCAGACCCGCCAUAUGUCUACACAUAUAAGGCGUCUACAAGAAAAGCGGAAGUAAGAGCGAGAGGUAAUAGAAACGAAUGAGUAAUAACUAGUGAUAUCAGAGCAGUAUGAUUCUAUCUUCUAUAACAAUGGGGGAAAGAGCAUAACUAAACCAUAAAAGUGAAAUAUAAGUAGUACAAUAUCUGCUUCUAGUACAAAAAUGGUGGUCCCUAGUACACUGGUAAAACUCUCAACCUCUCCAAAAUAAAACACAGCGAGAGGUAGACCACCUAGCGAAUCGUCCUCGAAGGAAGCUAGCUCGAAGCAACUCCCUUCCCGCGGUCCCUGGCCUCACCCUGAGUGGAAGGCUCUGAAAAACAUCGAGAAAAAGAGGGCGUGAGANAGAGAGGGUGGAGGGGUCAUAUAGACCCUCUAUUGUAACAAAAUCCAGCUAGGCCCUCCAAAAAUCCAAUAUUGCAUCAGCCAGGUCUGAGCACUUUUCGCCCAGAGGGACCGGUCUCUCCCCAGCAGGGACCGGUCUCUCGCUGCGAACCCGAAAAACCAACGUUCGGGCACCGGUCUCUCCCUGCGCGGGACCAGUCUCUCUCUGCGAAAACGCGCUCGGGAACCGGUCUCGCCCGCCACGGACCGGUUGCCUCAGGGCUGCCGCAACACUGCUCAUUGGGGGACCGGUCUCUCCUUCCAGGGACCGGUCCCCGAGAGUAAAAACUCUCAGGACUCGUCCAGAAUUUCAGUUUUCGAACUUUUUAGGUCGAAAAACAUUCUACGACCCUCCACCAAGUGUGGAAAAGCUCGAAACACAUCCAAACACUCGAACCUCGCAAUUUGCAAAGGUCCAGUGUGUUACAGAAGCGACCUAAUCGCCUCGGUAGAGCACAACCCACCUCAAAUCGCUUUCCGAUUGCUUGUAGUCACUUGCAAUCGGCCUCCCGCGGCAUACGUGACCCGGUUCGGCCCGAACUCGCACUCGACCACCUAACGGCCACCAAUCCACAAUUCGAAAAUGUAAGGUCUAUAACUUGAUGCCACAAUGCUCCGGAUCCGUUCUCGUGAUCUUUGGACGUCGCCUUGGCCCUCCAGGCGGAAACGAAGUCGAAACGUCCGUUUCUUCAAUAUCUUCGCAUAGGCUCGACGAAUCGCCGAACCGACUUCACGAACGCGUUCGUAUACCUAGCAAUUAGGUUUGUAUAGGGUUAAUUUAGAUCAAACCCUAACACAAAGAAAAACUCAAUUUUUGAACCCUAACAUGCUACUAUUGCAAUAAAUCUCCAAAUUGAUUCAUGAUUCAAGCAAAUAGCAUGUUGAUAUCAUCACUUAGGGAGUCCUCUAAAUCUAUUCCUAGAGCAUAUAAAUAAAGCUCUAAAGAUCUACCAUUAGGGUUCAUGAAGCUUACCUCAAGAGCUUACUCCAACACAAGGAAGAAGAUGAAGAAGAUGAAGGUCCACCUUCUUUGCUUCAAUCUCCAUCAACCCUCCAAUUUUGGGAGAGAAAUCUAGAGAGAGGAGGGAGAUAUUUAGAGAGAGAAAGGGAGGUUUCUCUCCCUCACCAUGCGUGUGUGCGUGGUGUGUGCGUGCAUUGGCUGAUGGAGGGGAAGAAAAUGGGAGAAAUCCCUUUUAUAAAUAACCCCUCAACACUAUUCAACUUUCAGCUCAGGUACAGAUAUUUUUCGCCUGCCAUUCUGAAUGUCCGUUUGAGCUCAAAUUUGACAGUCAGGCUUGAUUUUACUUAACUUGACAAAAAAAAUUUUAAUCUUUCAGUUUCGACUCUGUUUGGUCACCGAAAGCUCUACCGAACUGUAAUCUCUAGCAGAUAGCAGUUGGAUUUUAUUUUUCACCUUCCGGGUGUCAGAAUGAUAUGAAACUUUAAAUCUAGCCUCAUAAAAAUAAUUCUGACAUAUUUUUCUGUUUUCAUUCCGAUUUUAGCACAAGUUACUUCUGACUCAUAUUUUACUUCUCUGAGUCCAAUAAAAAUAGCAUCUCACACUAUUUUUAUUUAUUUUUACUUUAUAUCAAAAUCCGGUAUGUUACACAUGAGGACUGGAGGAUUUGCUAAAUAUCACUUUAUAUUUUCAAAUGUUUCUUACUGUUCCUCUGUCCAACUAAAUUCUUCCUAAUUUUUAAGUCGAAGGAAUGGAGUGAAUACUCUAUUCUACCGGCUAAGUUUGAUAUAAAACGCUGCAAAUGACUAAUUUUUCGUAAUAAACUUUGUAACUCUUUUUUAUUUUUUGGCGGCGGCAAUUCCAGUAUAGUUUUAGCCUUAUUUUUAUCAAUUUCAAUCCUCUUUUUGUGUACUAAGAAUCCAAGAAAAUUUCCUACCGAAACUCCAAAAGCACACUUUAAAGUAUUCAUUUUUAAAUUAUAUUUUCUUAUUUUUUUAAAGACAAGUUCUAAAUCUGCCCAAUGAUCAGCUUGUGAUUUUGAUUUUAUAACGAUAUCAUCAAUAUAAACUUCUAACAUUCUGCUGAUCAAAUCAUGAAAAAUGAAAUUCAUUACUCUUUGAUAAGUAGCUCCAGUAUUCUUUAAGCCGAACGGCAUUACUACCCAUUCGAAGGUCCCAAUAGAUCCUGGGUAUCUAAAAGUCAUUUUAGCUAUAUCUUCUUCGGCAAUAAAAAUUUGAUUAUAAGUUGCAUGUCCAUCCAUAAAAGUCAGGAUUUCAUGUCUGGCUGCCGAAUCUACUAGUAUAUCAGCUAUUGGCAUUGAGUACUCGUCUUUAGGCGUAGCCAUAUUCAAGUUUCUAAAAUCAGUGCAAACUCUAAGUUUGUCAUUUUUUUUUUCGUACUGGAACUAUAUUAGAUACCCAAUCCACAUAACGGGCCACUCUAAUAAAGCCGGCCUUUAACAAGUUUUCGAUUUCAUUCUUAAUUUGGAGUACAAUACUCGGCUCAAAUUUAUGAGCCGGUUGUUUAUAAGGCAUAUACCCUUUUUUAAUAGGGAGCCUAUGCUUUAUAAUUUCUCUGCUCAAAUCUGACAUCUCUUCAUAAUUCCAGGCGAAGCAGUCUUUGUAUUCCAUCAGCAACUCCUUUAGCUUCUCUUGCUGUUGAGCCAAAAGUUUGGCACUGAUGUAAGUUGGCUGCUUAUCUUCGUCGGACCCCAAAUUUACUUCUAUCAAUGGGUCUUGGGUCUCCAGCGCGCUUCUUGUCGCCAAUCUUUAUAGGUGACUCCUCAAUAGGUUUUUUUUUAUAACUUAAUGAAUUUCUGAGCCGUUUUCGUCAUUAGGCUCGGCUACUAUGAGCCGAGUCAUAUUGUUUUUACCUGGCUCGGUUGUUAUACUUGUUAAUUCAUUAGACAUUUCCUUAUCGGCCCCUAUGGCCGAUUUUGUGAGCAAGUUAUAUUCGGCUCGAUUGCCUGCGAUUUUAUCGGCUUGGUCAGCCGAUUUACUCCAAUAGUCGACUUCCUUAGUCAGUUUAUUCUGCUGGAGCUUUUCUAAAGUUUCGGUUCCUAAAUCUUGGUGUUCCAUUUCAACCAAUUUGGUGGCUCUUCGGCCGCAACCAUUACUUCCUCGUCUUUCAUGAGUAUUAAUUGAACUCCUUCGGUCACCCGUACAAAAAAUAUUUGAUCUGGAUCAGUAUCGGCGCAGUUGAUAUGGCUGAUUCAUUCUGAGUUAAUGUCUACCAUUUGAGGCCGCCCCUCAGCCCUAAUUUCUUCCGCUCUAUCUUCUAUCCAUUGAAAUAAUUUUUCGUGGAGUGUCGAGGGUACACACUCGUUUACGUGAAUCCAGUCACGCUCGAGCAACAAGUUGUAGUGGCUAUCUGCAUCCACUACAAAAAAGGUUGUUCGCAAGAUUUUAGAUCCUACCGUGAGUUCGGUUGUAAGCACUCCCUUGGCCUGUUGACCGUUUCAUGAUCGUGUCGGUAAGCUUCAAUUCAUCUUCACUUUUGCCCGACAUUUUAUAGAAAGAUGUGGGCAUGAUAUUGACCAUCCCUUCUCCAUCCACCAUUAACCGGCCUACCGGCCGACCUUUUAUCAAUGCCCUUAUAAACAGAGGCCUUACGAAUCUCGUCUGCAUAAUCAAUGAUUUUUUAAAAACCACCGAAUCGGCUGGCUUAGCAUCCUCUAACUGAAGUUGAGCCACCGUGAGCUCAUCUCCAUCAUAUGUUGUACUAUUCAUAUUCUACAGACUCCACCUUAAAUCAUUGAGGCAGAGUAUAUACCAUGUUCACAUUAGCUGGACCUUCAUCAAUCGAUUUUCUUUAUAUCUUUGUUUCUUUUCUUCUGAUUCCUUUGCCGUCUCGGCUGAUGAAUCACUUUCCAUGCGUACCUCUCUCUCCUUAGGAGGCCAUCUAUCUCGCCUGAUUAUGGUCUCCAAAGAGGCUAUUUUCUCUUCCAGCUCCUUCCGAGUUGCUUUCUUUUCCGGCUCGGCCAGGAGUGGCCAUUCUAUUUUGGAUUUUAACUAAGGAACAUGUGCCGAACCACCUACCUCAUGGUCAUUCUUCAUUGGCCUAAAGGGAAAUUGUUGCUCAUGAGGUCGUCUCCAUACAUUCAAUCUCAUCCCUUUAGCCUCCUCAUAGUGCUGUCUCGCUUCGGCUUGCAAUAUCUGUUGCUGACGUUUCUGAGUUUUUGUCAAUAUCGGCUCAUACCAUUUGGCUGAUACUUUUGCCUUGUGUCAUUGAUCAACUGGCACAUUUGAUGAUACUUUUACUAUCCUGAGAUGAUCUCUCAGGAUUUUCAUUCACUCCCAGGGUCUCGGCCAAGGUUGAAUGUCGAGUUCAUUGACCGACCUCCGACCGAGGAACUCUAUGUCCCCCUCGGCCAUCCCUUCGAAUUCAGGUUCAGGUCUCGAUCUAGUUUGGUGUUGCCAAUUUGACCGAUAUCUUGGGAAUCUCUGUCGAGACCGAAUGUCACGCCCCGGGACCGAUACCACUUUGGCCCGACCCGAGCACGUCAAACAGACGCCGAACGGACAGAGUUUCCCCUAUCCACCCAAGGCUCAUCACGUGUACAAAUUCAAACAAGAAAUGCACAAGCGGAAACAUACACAAACGGCUUACACGAGGGUAAGCAAUAGCCAUUAGUGAAAGAAAGGAAAACUAAACAUCUACACAAGUAAUAUGAUUCAUUUUAGAUCAUAUACAUUGCAUCCAUCUCUUACAUUUAGGAUUCUUUGCAUUUCAUUACAUAAUUUCAUCAUUUCUUUCUUACAUCACAUUUACCUCAAAAUAAGCUUUACAUUCUUUUCUUUACAUUACUAGUCAUCAAAUACAAAAGAUGAACAUANCCAUCAUCAGUCUUCCUGUCCGCAGGAGCCUUCCCUUUAAUAUCCACCAUAUUGACCAGUGAGGGAAAAGGAUUUUGUCAAUUUUCAUUUUUUUUUUUCCUGGUCAGCAAAUAUGAGCCGACCUUCAUUUAUUUCCUUUUGAAUCUGCCUUUUAAUGGCAGUGCACUCGUUUGUUUUAUGGCUCCAAAAAUAGUGCCAUUUACAAUAUCUUUUCCUUUUCAAUUCUUCUUCAGAGGGUAUCGUUUGGCCCUCCUGGAGUUGAAUUUGUCCAUCCUUUAGCAAUAGAUAAAAAAUAAGAUCGAUUUUCGACACGUCGAAAGAAAAUAUAUGCUGCUACUUGUGCUUUUGCUUCGCUAGAUUUAGCAGGUUUUAGCAAAGGACACUUAUAUGGCUGGAGGUUUUUUACCAUUUCAGUAGCAUAUAUUUCGGCUUCAUCAACCGAAUCCUCUGUUUCUUCAGCCAUGUUCGGCUCAUCUUGAGUCGAAGACUCUUCAAGGAAAGAAAUAUUUUUCUUUUUCUCCUUACUCCAAUUUUUAUUUCGGCUCUAUCUAGGCCGAUCUUUAUUAUUCCCUUUUCUGAAUUGCUCAUAUUGAGCAACCCGAAUCUCCAAAUCGAAAAAAUUUAGAAAAUACUUGCCUUCAAAAUUGUCUUUGAUUUUGAAAUUAAGACCAUUGAACGCCAUUUUAGCAAAUUCUGAUUCUGGCAUCCUUACAAAACAAUGGUUUCUUGCCAUUUUGAAUCGGUUCAAAUAUUUUUCAACUGAUCCCCUUGUUCUUUGUUUAAACUGAGCUAGAUCAGCAACCGAAAGUUCUGACUCUAAUCUAUAAAACUGCUUAUGAAAUUUUCUUUCCAAUUCAUCCCAAUCUCGGAUAGAAUUGGCUGGCAAACUCGUAUACCAAGUAAAUGCAGUCUUGGUUAACGAGGUAUUAAAUAACCUAAGUUUCAGGAAAGGAUCAGCAGCGGCUUCUCGACAUUGAGCGGUAAACCGUGCGACAUGUUCGACCGUGUUUUCGGUCUCGUCGCCUGAAAAUUUGUCGAAUUUCGGUAUUUUUCAGUUUGCAGGAUAAGAAUGUUUUACAUGCAUCUAUAUUUGUAAGGCAAGGGGAUCUAAAUACAGGCCGUAUUGCUAGCCUCGUCCCGGCUCUGAAGGUAUUUCGGAUGGCUUCCUCAAUUUGAGCAUAAAUUUUAUUAUUGCCCCCUUAUAUGGGAACAAGAGCCUGUACUUGAACCGGGUUCGAUCCCGAUGGUAAUCCAAAAUUUUGCACUACAGAGUUAACUCCUUGCAUAGUAGCAUUUGGGGCUUGCCCCUCAGCUCUAGCCCUUACAUUUUGGGGUUGAUAUGUCGCCAGUGGCGGCGAAGGAGGUCACCCCAAGGCUAUCUCCGGUUGUUGGCCGACUUUUAAAACAGCCAGUCUAUAAGCCACUUGAAAAAGUGCCCUCUGCUGCUGAGGCUGACCAUUCACCGGUGUUACAAAAUUUUGUAAUACCAGUGUAGCUACAGGUCCUUGUAGAUCUGUUAUAGGCUGCUCAUUCUGUGUCAAUAAUUACCCUAUUCAGACAAUAUUCUCAUUAGAGGCCGUAAUUGCAGCCAACACUGUAUCUAAACGAGCAGUACUUCUGUGGCUAUUUUGGUCCAAUACUUGUAUGACCCGCGUCAUUUGUCCGAGCACUUGAGCCAAACUUGGCUCUUGCUGGUCCGAUUGAUCGCUAGCCUCGCCUUCGACUGGCAAGACUGCUUGGCGCUCACCUGCAUUAUCAGAAUUACUAGCUUGGUUGUUCCUGGAAUUUCGAGAAAUGACUCUAUUAUAUAAGUUCAUGCCCUUAUCGUCAGCCAUAAUUCUUGUAAGAAAAGAAAUUUACCUAAAUGUGUCCCACCGGGCGUGCCAAAAUUGCUAUGAGCCGAAUUCCUCAACCCUUGACCUGGUCAAAGGUCUUCCUAGGAAAACGCGCAGGAAUUAAAUCCGGCUUCACGUGAUGACCCUCGAAAUUUGCGCCAUCCGACGGAUCAAGCGAUUCGGCUAAGGAGGGAUCGGAUCAGCCGACUUCGAAAAACUUUACUGUAGAAUGGAUUCAGCUGAAUGAGCCGAAUGAAUGAAAUGCACAGUAGUUUGGGUCGGCUGAAAAGCCAAAUGUUUUUAUAUAUCGAAUUUAAAUUUGAAAACUUGUACAAAAAAGAGUGUGCCUUGGGGCAUACAUACUCCUAAAAUCUAACUUAGAACUACUCCUACGAAAAGCAGUAAAUACGGGAAAGGAAAAAAUUACAAGUAGACUACUCCUAAAAACGCGAAGAAAAUGUAGAGAAAAUAAAAGUGGUCUUCUAUUAUCGGAGAAAAGACCUCUCUUUUAGAUGUUAUUUGCCUAUUUAUAGCCUGCUAUUACUGUUUAGUUAUUGCCCACGAUCGGCCACUUCUUAUUUUUGCGGGCCAUUACGAGCCGAUCCAAAAUUACCGUAACUGCUUGCAGUUACGCCUUGUGGUUAUACUAUUAUUUAUUUAUAAUUUCCGGUGCACCAAAAACCUCUUUAAUCCGAGUUUCUAAAGAUUCAGGCUAAACCGUGCACUGAUAUACCACAUGACAAUUUAUUAUUGGCCUUAACACCCACCAAAUUAAACUAUUAGCAUUUAAGUUUUAACAAUAAAGUUACUAAUUAGUUGCUGAUGACGUUCAACAAAAUCUCCACCAUUCCAUUUUGGGACGGACAUUAAAUUUUUUUUUUUUGAGAGAUAGGUAGCACGCUACCCGUUUCGUUUAUUUCAUUUAGAAAUAAAGUUAGCUGGAAAUGUGAAACAAUUAGGAUUCGAACUUGGAACCUCGGGUACCAAUCACCAAGCCCUUUGCCACUUGCUCUAGGGACGAUCGGUUUUAAAGAUAGGUAGCACGCUACCCGCUUCGAUUUAGAAAUAAACUUAGCUGGAAAUAUGAAUCAACUAGGAUUCGAACUUGGGACCUCGGGUACCAACCACCAAGCCCUUUGCCACUUGCUCUAGGAAUGGUCGGUGACGGACAUUAAAUUUUGCUGCGAAUUCUUUAGCUCUUUCUCUUAAUGGUGAAAGUAUACUUGGUUGUUACAUAUUUUGUUUCCAUAUCAAAUAUUAUUAUAGUAGGGAUUUUAAUUAAGUCACACUUAACAGGUAGCAUAGCCUACUAUAUAUAUAGUUGAGAUACCCUCAUUUGAUUCGGUGAUUUCCAUGGUCGGUGCACCUUGUUUAAUUUGUUCCAUUCCUACUUUUGUUUUCUUUCAUAUUAUCCCUAACUAUUGAAAGCACAUGACAUACUAUUUUCACCAGUAGGUAGGACUCUUGAGAAUCAAAAUGUCUGGGCCCUUUGUCUAGCUUGUUUGCAUUGUAAAAAAAUAAAGAUAAGGUUAUCCCGUGGAGCUUGAUUAAUUUCACCAUCAUUCAUCCACUCUGUGUUUUUUUUUUUUUUUUUCUUUGGGGUCCUUACUCUGAAAGAACUUAAGGAAUCAUCUUAUGUUUUAAUGUUGAAAAAUUGAAAAAAAAAAGAAUUAAAAAAAAAAAUUAAAAUGUCACGCCCCGGAGUCCCUGUUAGAUUGAAAGUAUAGCGGAAGUAACUAGAAUUUUAUUUUUUUUUAAAACCUGACCCCAGGGUAUGCCAGAUCUGCCACAAAUACGGGAAAUCAACUAUUCACACGGACAGAGUUUCCCCUAUAUUUGCACGGCGUCGCGCAAGUACAAGAUGUCCAAACAGAGUAUAACCAGGAUACAACCACAAUAUAUGAAUAGAUAAUUCUCAACAUUCAUUCACCAUUUACCGGAUAUUUACCAUUCAGUGUUUAAACAUAAAAACCACAAGAAAAACUCUUUUGAAAGCUGUUUCCCAUAUGGAAACCUUUUCUUUUUAAAACGCUACUACGAGAGGUAGAAAACUAUUUUUCCUUUUCACAAAAUCUACAAGUUCUAUAGUUCAUUUAAAACCACAUGAAUUCGAAUAACAUAAACCAACUGAACCAUGAAAUAUCAAAGCUAUUAAUAACAAAAGUAAACAGGGUGGGAACUAAACCAACAAGACGGGUCGGAAGCUCUAGCGACCACUACGAACGUAUCUCACGUCUCGUCUCUACUCUCACCGCCUGCGAUACCUGAAAAAUGGUGGGGGAGGUGAGAACAUGUAAAUAUGUCUCCCCUCCCAGUGGGUACCGCAAGCUGACGAAGGCGAGGAGUACUCAUCGGAUCAGGAAGAGAUAAACAACAAUAUGGUAAAUAAACAUAGAUGCUGAUACGAAGAAACUACAGUAGCUAUAACAGAUAAAUGAGCAAUAAACAAAACUGCUACUAUAAGGAAUGCAAGCUGAGUAUGCCUCAAGGUAACCAAACCAAAACUGUACCCAAUCUGGUGCCUGCUAUAUUAGUUCGCAAACCUCAAGCACUGCCUGUCACUGAUCUGCACCAACCUGAUUCACCCGCCUCACAGGACGACCCAUCCGGAUAAGCACACCUCCGGUCGUUGGCCAAACCGACUCGGUGUCGUGAAUACCCCCAAGUGCUGUGACUAAGUUAUGCUGGUAUGCUCAAUACAAAAAUUGGCUGAAGCCGGUGCCUAGGCCGAAGCCAGAAACAAGGGCGUACAACGCCGAACCUCGAUCAACCAGAUCGAAAUACAUGACGAGAGAGUCGAUGUGUUGCCUGGACCCAAAGUCCACAGAGUCCAACCGACCAGAAAGGUCACUGAUACGAAGUACGAGAACCGACCAACCAGAUCAACAGAUACGUUAUGCAACAACUGACAAACCAGAUCAACAGAUACGGAAUGCAACAACCGACCAACCAGGUCAACAGAUACGCAUAUAGAUAGAACUACUCUACUCCUACUGAGGAUAUUAAGCAUGCAAACAACGAGCAGAGUAUAAUGGAAUAACAUGGGUGCAAGGCUCAAUAUAUACUAUGCAAUAGUAACAACAGAAGAGUAAGGGUAAGAAACCAUCACCGAGCGUGCACCAUUGUAUCGACUUCGGAUCGAAGUACCCACCUGUACUAGUUUCGCACCUGUCUCCCAAUUGUACACGAUCAUCAACCGGACCUACGAAGGUCCACCAGGUCAGUAACCAACCCACUAACCCAAAGUACGAGACUCGCAAACUCCCACACAAGUCCCCGAAUCGGUUUUCCAAAAUCGAUCACCAUAACUCACCGGAAGUCCCGAAAACCACACCGGGACGUCGUCGGGACCCACUAAGUGUCCCGAAACUCACCGACUGGUGUCACGAGUCACCCGCUGCCAAAAAACACUCUGAUUUGGAUGUCUUGGCAGCAAACAAAAGAUAACAUAACCAAACAAUUGUCGUCAGAUAAUUGUUCAGAUCCGGAUUCCCGGAAGUGUCUAUUUUGACACCGGAACCCACCGUCGCUCACCCAUCAUCAUUGAACCCACAGAAUGAUGAUGGUGACUAGCCAACAAGGCUCAUCGACCAAUCAUAGUACAACCAAACCACGUCGGAAGAAAUCCGAAUCGAAUUCGCGUUCUUUCGGCGAAUUUCGCCGAAAAACGCACCGAAAUCGACUCAUCGAUUUUGGCGAAGGCUAUCGGAUCAUGGACAAUCAGUCCAGAGGUCACCAAACACACAUACACACAGCCCACAGUAGCCACAAGAUGCACAAAUGCAUAAAAGCCCCUCAAUUUACAUAAAAUCCUAUCAUUUUAUGUAAAUCGGACGAUAACAUGGCUCGUUCACGCAAACCGAGAACUUCUAAGUUCCGUCGAGACACGUACUGCUUGGUCUCGACGUACCGGAGGCCGUGCUCAUGAUUCGAAGCACAACAGCUCACUGUGGGAAGCGCGGGAGCAACCUGAAUGUUCAGCGAACAGCGCGCAGUCGGGGAAAAACGCGCCGAACAGAACUAAUCGGACUUCGUUGAUCCAAAGUGAGGUGAGAACUGUGAUCGGAACUGACCAACGAUCACCGUGCUCACCUCCGGAGGCAUCGGAACAGCCUCGGAUCGCCAGAACAACGCGCGCAAACACCAAACAGCAGCCAAAAAGGCUCAAACGGAGCAACACCGCCGAAACAGCGAAACGGAGUCUCCCCGACAAAAUCUAAGUGAGCACGAUGAUCAAAAAUUUGCCAUGAUCAUCGUGCUCCCUUCCGGAGAGAUCGGGGAGCCUCGAAUAGCUCAGAACAGUAAACCUACCAAGAAAAGCCCUAUUUCGAGCUUGGUCGGAGCAGGCUUGCUCCAGCUGGCUCCGCGGCGGCACGGGAAGGUGCGCGCGGGCCAGAAGUGGGUGCGGAGGAGGGAAGGAGCAAGGUGCUCACCACAGAUGGCAGCGAGGAGUGGCGGCGGCGACGGUGGAGCAAGCCAAGCCCCGCACGAGUUGAGCUCGGGUACCACGGCUGCUGCGACCACGGCGGCGGCCAGGGCAGGUCGGGGACGAUGGCGGGGACUGCCCAGAGGCCGGAGGAGUGCCUCGGGUGCGGCCCCGAGCGGUGGCGGCGCGAGGAGGGAGCCGCGAUCAAGCCUCGGCCUAGCUCCGCCUGGUAGGCUGCAGCGAGCACGGGCGGCGGCGGCGGCCAUUGGCAACGCCGGCGGCGGCGCGCGGGGGUCUCCGGGGCUCCGAGGGAGGUGGCCGGGAUGGUCCAGCCGGCGGUAGCGCGGGGAAGAAGCCGCAGGCUUGCCUCUGCUUGGGCUCGGCCUGGAAGGCUGCAGGCAGCUACAGCGCGGCGCGGCGGCGCUCCGAGGCGGCUGCGGUCGGCGGGGAGGGACGCCAAGGGGUCGGGGCGACGCCAGCAAGGUGCUUGGCGGCAAUGUAGCCUCGGCCUGGCUCUAACCCGAGAGAAAGAGAAGGAGGGAGGGAGAUGAAGAGAGAGGAAGGUGGGAGAUGGUGGCUGUGGCGGUGGCUGCCGGCCGGGGCUCGGUCGGCGGCGGCCGGCCUAUGCGCGGCGGGGUAGGGGAACAGAGGUGAAGGUGGCAGGGUGCGGCUAGGGCAGCUAGGGGCUCAACUAGGGCUCGGAUCCCAAGAAAAACCCUAGAAAACAUUAUAUAUAGGCUGGCUAAAAUGCAAAUAAGUCCUCCGAAGAUGGUUAAUUUCGACCAAGCCCUCUACAAUGCGAGUAAAACGCGUGAAUAUCCCACCACAUGCGAUUUCACGUGAAACGGUACAUAAAAUGUCGCAUUUUGCAAAAAUACCGUUUUGCGAUCACCGACCUCUUCUCGAUCAACGCGCGAUCUCCGCAGAUCCGUCCGUUAGAUUUGCGAACGGAUCACACCAGUGCGAUCAGCACGACGGAGACAACAAAGCUACGAUUUCAUUUCACGUCGAUCGCUCUCGGAUUCAUGAUGAAAUCCGUUCCAACUCUCCAACGGAAGAAACUACGCACAAAUACAUAUAAAACAUGUAUUUUUGGAUUUUCUCGAAAUCCGUGAGUCAAACUCAAAAUCCGUCAGCGCCAGCAGUUCCAAAAUAGCUGAACUGAUCGAAACGAGCUAUUGGAUCGCUAUGAACGAAGUCCGAUACCGGCCAGAAGCCAACUUCCCACCGUGACUUCUCCGGAAAAUCAAGUUACUAUUCACUUUAAGUGAAACUUGGAAAUCGCGUAGAAUUUCCGUUUUAACUCGUUUUCGCCCGAAACUUGACGAGUGCUUUUGUAAUUAAAUUACAUACAAAAAUAUCGUCAAGUGAGAGUUUAACUAUACUGCCAAAAUCUCGGUCCUUACAUAAAAUCUGUGAACCAAUCCUUGUUGUUACAUUUUAUAAUCCUGCUGCUUCUGUUGCAUGGUUCAUUAAAAUUGCUUAAUCUUAUUGUCCUAUUUAGAGCCGCUUCAUUUGAACUGCAUGAUCAUAUGAUUGUGAUAUGCUUAAUGUUGUUAAUGGAACUUUACCGCAACUGGAGACCAUUACCAAAAUUUAAAGUACGAAUUAAGAUAUUAUUAAAAAAUAAACUUCCAAUUAAGGGUCGGUUUGGUUUAUCGUAAAACUGUAAAAAUAAUUUUUCGUCAAGUAAAAAUUUCGGUAGGAAAAAAGUUUUACUUUUUGUAAUAUUUGGCUCGUAGAAAAAAAAAUUAUGUUAAUAUUUGUUUGGUAGAAAGUAAAAAAAAAUUACAUUUAUUUGAUUUGGUGAAGAAAAAAUGAAUGAAAAAAAUUUUACGUAGUUUGAAUUUUCAUUUAUGUUGAAAAACAGUCAAAAACAAAAAUUUUUUUUUUUUCAAAUCCGUAAAAAUGCUUUUAUGAAAAAAUAGUUUUAUGUCGAACCAAAUAAGUAAAAAAAUAUUUUUCACAACGAAAAUAAUAUUUUUAGUUUGUUUUAUGCCGAACCAAACGCCUCUAAUUUAGGAACUACUGCUGGCAUGUGAUUGUAAGGCUUAGUUUGGUAUUGAGACCUAUCUAACACUAUUAGAUAAAAUGGAGUUGAGGAAAAAAAAGCAUAUAAUGAUAUGCUUCUGUAUUCUCCACUGAGACCGUAAAAAUAUAUCGUAACCGACUCAGAUAUGCGGAACGCAAUAUUACGUACGGAAACAAACAGAAUAUUUUUCUAACAUACUUUCUUACUGCACAUAACGUAAUCUCCCCGCAAUUCUAAACGAAUGGUUAUAUAAUGAGAAAAAAAUUUUCUGAGUAACGUUUUGAGCGGCUGUAAUUUCAUUAUUGUCCCUUUUCAAAAUACUGCUAAUGCUCUCGUAAACGUUAGAAACAUUUUCAAAUGCCGUACUAGUAAAAAUUUAUAGAAAUUUGAUAGAUUAGAUUCAAAACUUUUAUUUUUUACUCUCUGUAUAGUAAGUUAAAAAUUUAGACUUUGAAGGAUUGUCUAUAAAAUUUAAAAACUUUAGAGUGAUACUUUUGAAAAUUGUUCCAAUUUAAAAGAGACAGUUUGUUUUUUGAUAAAAACGAACAGAAUUUAUCUAACUUAUGAACCAUUUUGAGUCAACUAUUCGACCAUUCAAAGUUUUAAUUUUUUGCUAUCCAAUCUUUCAACUUAUUUGAUUUGAUUCAGUCAACAACACUUUAAAUUUAAAAUUUGAAUGCGUCAUUUAUCUUUACAGAUUUAAUUAUUGUACUUUAAUUUAUACAAUUUUCACAACUAUGAAUUUAGUAAAAUAUGCAAUUAGCUUAAAUUUUGAGAUUAAAGUGCUAUUGACUGACUCAAAUCAAAUAAAUUGAAAUGUUGGAUAGUAAAAUCAAAAUUUUUAAAGGUCGAGAAGUUAAGUAAAAUGUUCAUAGUUCAGAUAAGAUUUUAUAUAUAUUUAUUUUUUUUGGUUAAGUUUUUAAAAUUCUAAAUGGUAAACCUAUAGUUGAAGCUGUCCAAAAUAUCCGAUAUUUCAUAGCCGAUCCGGAUCUUACCUGGACCCUAUUCGGACCUGAACCAGACCCGAAAAAAAUAAAUAGUAUACAGGUAAAAAAAAUUAUCUAUUAAAAUUUUGGAUAUGGUUCGGAUACUUUAUACCCAUACCAUACUUGUACCUGAUCCGAACCCGACCUUUUAAUUGGUAUGGUCUGGAAGAGCUUCCAAAUCCGAACCCGGAACCAAUCCCGGACCCAGACCCGGUGAAAUACUUGAUAGUAAAUAAAAGAAAUUUCAAAUUGAGAGAUCAAUUUUAGUAGGACUUACAGGUGAAGAGCUCUCUGUAUAUUUUUAUUCAAGUGAAAACUCUAAUCGUGCUCUUUACUCCUUUUUUUAAUUUUUUUUAUUUUACUCCUCAUUUUUUUAAUUUUGGCUGUUUACUGCUUGAAUCUUUUUUCUGAACGAAUUUUAUUGGACUGAGUGCAAUUAAUUAGAACGCGAGUUUUUUAUAGUAAGAGGUUUAUGGUUUGUUCAUAAACUGUUUAAUAAAGUUUAUAAAAAAUAUAUGCAUAUAGAUAUUCGUAUCCGAUCUAGACCCGAUCUUUAUCCGAUUCAUAUCCGGUCUUGAGCGGGUAGUAUACGAAUAAUCACUAUUAAGCCCGCUUAAAUAGACCCGAUGGGUAUAUCUUAACUUAAGUAUUCAAAUCUAGACCCGAUCCGAAAUUAAAUAAAUAGGCUAUAUAUAAAUAUAUUUAUUUAUUUAUUUUAUUUAGAGUAUGAGUAUAAUACAUCAACUAUUCAAACCCGACUUGAUUCGCGGACCCCUUCGCCUGCAAGAGAACUAAAGUUAAUUUUUCCUUGUCCUUUACUUUUUUUUGGGGGGUGGGGGUGUUCCUCCUUAUGUCUUAUGUUGUUUAACUCUCAUGAUAACAAUGCCAAAAGAAGCAAAAGAUAAAAAGUGAUCCGUUGGAUCUAAAAGUGGGCAUGUAAAUCGUUGACGCAAUCACUGCUUUUUAGCCCUACACAUUUACUAACCCCAUCAAAACAGAAAAGGGUGGAUACUCCUCCAUAAAUAAAUCUCCACCGUCCCUCUUAAUUUCCCGAACUACCAAGACACGGCACAUUAUGAUAGGCCAAACCAACCACACCCGGACCCACUUAAAUAUAUAUAUAUAUAUAUAUAGAAUUAUGCUACUAUACUAUCAAUAGUACCAAGCCCUUGGUACUAUUAAAUUUUUGACCGUUGGAUGAAAAAAUGUGCUGGUAGGAUGAUAGUGGUUCCCGGUUAAAUUAAUAGUGGUCUCCUAGGGUUGAGUGGGUGGUUGGUUUAAUAGUAUUGUCUAACGGAUGGAAAUGAUCAAAGGGUAGAUCUAACGGUAGAAAAUUCAAUAGUACAAAAGGCUUGGUACUAUAAGUAGUAUAGUAGCCGGACUAUAUAUAUAUAUAUAUAUAUAUAUAUAGAGAGAGAGAGAGAGAGAGGGCUGAAAUACUAUUAAUAAUAUUUAUCUUUUUUUACUAUUAAAUUUUUAAUUUUUAGAUAAAAAAUUACAGAAUUAAGAUGAUAUUAGUCCCUUAGGAUUGAAUAAUCCCCAUUAGAUUAUAAUAUUUAAUCCAAUAGUUAGAAAUUAUUUAAAGAAUUGAUAAAAACUAAAAACUUGAUUAAAAAAAAAUAAAUAUUAUUAAUAGUAUUCUAGUCCAACUCUCUCUCUCUCUUCUCCAUGGACAUGGUCCGCCAUGUCGUUCAUGGGCCAUCUCACCUUACAUUUUGUUUUCUAUCGACUACUUAGCGGAAUUAUCAAUAAAUGAAUCAGUAUUUUCGAUUUAUCUAGUUUUCUCAAUUUUAUUGCUUGUUUGGCGAUGCUCACUUGUGAGACGAUAGGUCACAUCGCUCGUCUACUCGAAAAAGUUUAACAGGAGAUUUGUCUCAAAAACGUGAAAUUGGAAUUGUGCGUGAAACUGCAUAUGCAAGUGCACUACACGAUAAUCCAAACAAACAAACUGCUGUGAUUGCAUAAGGCAAAACUCACACUCAACACAAAAGCUAAACGCCUGCUUAGUCAAAAAGGGUCCGUUUCGCCUAACUUUUGAAAAAAUAUUUCUGAAAAAGUGAUUUUAUUCUAAAAAAAUAAUUUUGAUUAAAAGCGAAGAGCGUUUGGCUGAGUUUAAAUAAAAGUGAUUUUUCUGAAGUGAUUUUUGAAAACUCUUUGGCAAAAUUUUUUUAAUGUUUACAUAAAUUAAUAUUUUUAUUAAAUUUUAUUUUAAAAUAAUUUGAAAUCUAAAUUUAAAUUUGAACUAAAAUUAAAUUUUAAAAUUAUCAAAUUUAAAAUUUAAUAUUUUAAUUUAAAAAAUAAUUUAAAAUUAAAAAUUAAAAAUUAAAAAAUUUAAAAUUUAAAUUUAAUUUUAAAUUUUAAUUUUCAGACUUAUUUUUGAAUUUUUAAAUUUUAACUUCUAAAUUUUAAAAUUUGAAAAAUAGAUUUCAAACUUUAAACUUUCAAUUUUAAUUUUAAAUUUCAAAUCUCAAAUUUUAGAUUUUAAAAUUUUAGAUUUCAAAUUUCAGAUUUUGGAUUUAAGAUAAAAUUUAAAAUUUGGCAUUUUAGAUUUUAAAAUUUAAAAUUUAAAGUUUUGUAGUUUAAAUUUUAAAAUUUUAAAAUUUUAAAAUUUAAACUUUAAAACUUUAAAUUUUAAAUUUUAAAAUCUAAAAUGCCAAAUUUUAAAUUUUAUCUUAAAUCCAAAAUCUGAAAUUUGAAAUCUAAAAUUUUAAAAUCUAAAAUUUGAGAUUUGAAAUUUAAAAUUAAAAUUGAAAGUUUAAAGUUUGAAAUCUAUUUUUCAAAUUUUAAAAUUUAGAAGUUAAAAUUUAAAAAUUCAAAAAUAAGUCUGAAAAUUAAAAUUUAAAAUUAAAUUUAAAUUUUAACAUUGAAUUUAAAAUUAAAAUAAAAAUUUGAAGUUUGAGUCCAAAAUCAGAAUCAUAUUUUAAGAAGCAACUUUUUUCUGCUUCUAAUUCUAGGGGCUUCAAAAUCAGUUUUUUGAUUCUGAGAAACAGAAUCAGAUUUUAAAAUUGAGAUUGUCAAAUGCUCUAUUGACCCGAAAAUUACUUUUCAAUCCAAAAGUACUUUUUAAAAGUUAGGCCAAACACCCCCUUUGUAAUAUUUACUUCGACCAUUCUUUUUUGGUUAAAUUAUUAAUUACUUGUAAAUUAUUUUAUCUCAUCUUUAUCUAUUCACCUCUACUUUCGAUCCGUCCACUCAGUCAAUAUAUAUUUUAUUUGGCACCAGAACUAAAAGGCAUUUAGUAUAAUACAAAUGACAAGAGUUCAUUUAAAUUCCUAGAAAUAAAAUUUUUAUUUGAAAUAAUUUUAAGUUCAAUUAAAUUUCAUUGCACUUUAUUAUUUGGUAAACGAUAGAGAUUUUAUUUUACGGUUAAUUGCAUACACAUCCCUGUAAAUAUAGUAAAUUACAGAUAUAUCCCUGAAAAAUUCAAUUUUUAUAAGUUGUCCCUACAAAAGUCCUAAUGUAUGCAGAUAUAUCCUUCUGGUUAGAAUCUGUUAGUGAACAGUUUAAUUUUUAACAGUAGAUUCGUGAAAUGAUAUUUUUGCCCUCACAAAUAUGUCCCUCCAAAAGUAUUUCAUCUUUCUCUUUCUCUCCCUCUUCAGGCAUCCGGAGCGGACGGUGGUGGCGGCGCUUCGGCGAGGUCGGGGUCGGGUUUGCCUACGACGAAGAAGAGGGAAAAGAAAGAAGGAGAGGAAGAAGAAGAGAGAAGAGAAAGAAGGAGAGGAAGAGGGAAGGGGAAGAGGGAAAGGGUUCGCCGCCGCCGCCGCAUCUCCUCCCUCACCGGCGACGAAGAAGGGGAAAAGGGAGAGGAACAAGAAAAGGAAAGAGGGAGAGGAAGAGGAAGAAUGAGAGGGUUUACCGCCGCUGCCGCAUCUCCUCCCUUGCCGGCGACGAAGAAGAGGGAGAUGAAGAAGAAAGGGGAAGAGGGAGAGGAAGAGGGAAGAGGAAGAGGGAGAGGGUUCGCCGCCACUGCCGCCACCGCCACCGCUGCCACAUCUCCUCUCUCACCAACGACGAAGAAGAGGGAAGAGGAAGAGAAGGAAGAGGAACAAGGAUAAAAUCGUCAAUUUACAUUAUUAAUUAACCAUGGUUAAGUUUUUAACUGUGGUUAACGAAAUUUUUUUAACAGACCCUAACGGCAUGGACAUAUCUGCAUACAUUAGGACUUUUGCAGGGACAACUUAUGAAAAUUGAGUUUUGUAGGGAUAUAUCUGCAAUUCACCAUGUUUGCAGGAACGUGUAUGCAAUUAACCCUUUAUUUUACUAUUGUAGUAUCCCUGGUGUUUGGUUGCCCAUGAGAUUUCAGCAUCUGAGGCUUGUCGACACAUUUGGAGAGUGUCGGGACAAGUCGGAGUCGUUUUGGCGCGAAAUAGACGCAAAACGGACUCAGUGCGACGCGAGAGCAGAGUUUUGAUAUUGAAAUCUGCAAAGUGCAGAUUUUCAGUAUUGAGUACCGAUAUCAUACAGGGGAGUACCGGUACCCCAGUGUAUUUUCAGAAUAGACUGCUCUUGAGUUGCGCCAACUGAUACUGAGUACCAGUACGGCAUCAGGCUGGUACCGGUACCAUGUGUGCGAGCUUACGGGUUGAGGGGCCAACUACCAGUAACCAAAUCGGGUACCGGUACUCUAGCUGUAAUUUUUAGUAGGUGAUGGGCCUUUUGGUCAUUUGAUGUGUCGAUAACAUCAANGAAAAUUGAGUUUUGUAGGGAUAUAUCUGCAAUUCACCAUGUUUGCAGGAACGUGUAUGCAAUUAACCCUUUAUUUUACUAUUGUAGUAUCCCUGAGACAUUAUCAGCCGUGAGAUUUCAGCAUCUGAAGCUUGUUGACACAUUUGGAGAGUGUCGGGACAAAUAGAAGUUGUUUUUGCGCUAAAUGGACGCAAAACAGACUUGACGCGAGGCGAGAGUGGAGUUCUGACACUGAAAUCCGCAAAGUGCAGGAUUUUGGUGUUGAGUACCGGUACCAGGCUAGGGAAUACCGGUUCCCCCGUGUAUUUCCAGAACAGAAUGCUCCCGGGUUGCGCCAAUUGAUGCUGAGUACCGGUACGGCAUCGGGCUGGUAUCGGUACCCUGUGUGCGUGUAGCACACUAGACCUUUGCAAAUUGCGAGGUUCGAGUGUUCGAUGUGUAUUCCGAACUUUUUCACACUUGGUGGAGGGCCGUCGAUGGUAUACCAGCCUAAAAGUUCGAUCUCGAGAGUUUUGGCAGAGUCCUGAGAGUUUUUACUCUCGGGGACCGGUCCCUGAUAGGAGAGACUGGUCCCCCAGUGAACAGUGCUGCGUAGCAGGCGAGGCAACCGGUCCCUGGCAGUUGAGACCGGUCCCCGAGCGCGUCUGCGCGGGGAGAGACCGGUCCCGCGCAGGGAGAGACCGGUUCCCGAACGUUGGAUUUUCGGGGGCAGGCUGAGAGACCGGUCCCAGGUCGGGGAGACCGGUCCCUCUGGGCGAAAACUGCCAAUCCGGGCCUGAUGUAAAUUUGAAGUUUUUGAGGGGACCUAUAUGGAUUUUGUUACUUUAGAGGCUAUAGGCAGCCUCUCCUCCCUCUCACUCUCAUUUUCUCUCCUCACACUUCUUCCUACACUUCUAGAGAGAGAAAGGGAAGCGAGAAGAAGGAGAAGAAGAGGAGAAGAUUGCAUAGAGGCCUUGGAGCAUCACUUCUUCCUCAUUUUCCACCUUUGGAGGCUUGGAGCAUGCGUUGGAGCUUGUGGAGGAUCAAACUCCAACCCUACUUGGUUUGAAGCUUGGAUUUAGGCUUCUCUUGAGGUUGGUAGCUUGUAAUCCCCAUUGUUACUUGUUUUCUAGGUUUUUCUAGAUGAAAACCCUAGAUUUUGGGAUUUAGGUUUAUUUUGGGGGUUUUCGAAUUCGGGGGUUUUGAGACUAAUUGAUGGUUGGAACCGUUAUAUAAGUUAGAUUGGAAGACCAUCUACCUUCCAUUUGAGGAUUUAGAGAGGGUUUCCACUUGAGGUGAGUUUUUCCCAACCUAGCUUGAGUUGGUUAAUCGUUUGAGCUAUUCGCUCGUCUCGUUUCGUUGGGUGACCCAUUUUUUUUUUGAUGUUUCUACGGUACUAGGGAGCUUGUGGAUAUUCUUCUGGUCGCAAACGAAGAAAGUCGAUUUUUUUUGGUGGGUUUGGCUUCGUGGAAAUGGGGCGAAAAUGGCCCUAUGCCCUUUCUACUUGUUGUAAAAUAUUUUUAAGUUCAUUUCUAUGCUAAAUGAAUUUAUAUGAAUUUUAGAGCAUUAAAAUGCAUGCUUGUGUACUUAUGAAAACUUCACUAUAUAGUAGAGCUAUAUGAGUAGAAAUGCAUGCAUACGGGAAAGUGUGUUAUUUGCAAGUGGAAAAUACAUCUCUUAUGAGAAUUUGAUUUGGGAUAUAAUACUUUGGAACGUAGUUGCGGCAUGCUUUGACAUAGAGAACAAGAGUGUCAUAAAGGGGACUUGAAAACUAGUAAUCUUAUGAAAUGCAACUUAGAGACAUGAUGAUAGGCCACUACGUAUCUUGCUAUAUUCCAUGUUAUUAGACAUGAGGACUUGUACUCGCGACAAGAUCGUUUGACUACUUGCUUGUGCUCUAUUCGCACAUGCUUGUGAAGAGGUCGCUCCCUACAAGCCGCACUCCGGAGAUGGCCAUCGCGAUACAUAUUCGCCGUGCGGGAUUGGGCGCCAAGGUGGAUUGCCGUGGCCAGGCUCAUUCUAGGGUGGGAGAUGAUUUGAUACCACGGGCCAUUAGGCUCGGCACCGCCAGCAGCCUUCGGUGGGUCUCAGGGCAUAGACAGCUUCGGGUGGGCUCUCUUCAGAUUCGAUUGGUAGUAUUAUGACAGUUGGACAGAUGAUGACUUAGAGUAUUAUUUGGACAUUGACUAGAAAUAGUAAACAUCGGAACUUUACUAUUUACGCAUUGUGAACAUUAUGAUAGUUGGAGACUUAUUAUACUUCAUGCAUAGUUGUUUAUCUUUAUGCUAUUUAUGCUAAGUAGAGAUAUCAUGUCGUAGUAAGUUACAUUUUAACUUACCUUUUCGUUUUUCUAACAUUAUAGUCACUAACAUCUCUUGUAGCUUUGGGGCCUUGUGGUGGCAUUCACUGAAGUCAGUAAUGCCCACUGGGAAACUAUUUUAAUAGUUCUUCACGCCCCUGUUUUUAUGGUUUCCUUUUCAGAGCCUUCUGCACCGGCGGAGGCACGGGAUCGCGGCAAGGGGAUCGCUUAGCUAGAUAGCGAGGAGCGGUACUCUGCCUAGGUAGUUUACUCUUCUUCUUGUUGUUGAGAGAGAGUGAGAGGUUUUGUAUCCAUGUAUAGAGACCACCUAUUUAUCUACCUAUAGCACUUGUAUUUGGGAUUUCCUAUUGUAUCACUUUAUGUCUUAUUUAGUGGAUUUACAGUUUUACCUUAUCCUUUGUUGUAGCAUUUAGACAUUUAUUAUGCUCUGAUACUUCUAGAUGCCUUUUAAUAUUGCUUUUACCAUUGUUGUUUUUAGACGCCUUAUAUGUUGUAGACAUAUGGCGGGUCUGGGCACGCGCCGGGCGGGCUUCCGCUGGGUCCCGGGGCGUGACAGUGCGUGCUUGCGGGCUGAGAGGCCGAGUACCGGUAACCAAAUUGGGUAACGGUACUCGAGUUGUAAUUUUGUGUUGGUGAGGGGCCUUUUGGUCAUUUGAAGUGGCAUUAUUAACAACCCGAUCCCCACCUCUUUAUAUAUGUGUAGAGAGACAGAGAAGGAGGUUUUUGGAUUGCUGCUAUCUCUCUCUAGUUCUUGAUCGUGUUCGAGGUGGAGGUCGCGACUUGAGCUCGGGAGUUUAUCGCCGUUGCGCCGGAGGGUUGUUCGAGCGCGUGGGCGUCGCGGUUGCACCAUUGGAGGCCGGGCGAGCGUGUGAUUUUCUCUCCUUUCGACUUCUCGCCGUAGUUCGACAAGCUUUUCGAGGUGGGUUGAAGUUUGCCGAAAUCAUCGGAAUACCUCCUAAGUUCUUAUAUCGUCGACAUGUUUUGUUGGUUUCAUUUUCUUGCUAGUACUCGAAUUCAUAAAUUAGAGAUAAAAUCUGAAUUUGGAGUUAAACUAGUAGUAUAGUUUUACAUGUCAGAUUUGGAAUUGACUUAGUAGAAGACUAUUGAACCCUACACUAUCAUUUAUGAAAUGUUACCAGUUUUAGCUUGAGGAGCUGUGGUUCUUUUGUAUCGUCGCUGUUAGUAUGUGAUGGAUACCCAAAUUAGUGUAGGAUAAAGUUACGCUCGUGCUGGGAUGCCGAGUUUAUUUUUUCAGUAGCAUAUAGACUGUUUCGGACUGUCGGGUGCCGUCGCGAUUGACGGUGGACCCAAAUUUCUGUACUUUGAAUCAGAUUGUUCCAAGGGCACGUGAGCUUUGGUUAUUAGACCAAUUAGGUCCAUUUUCUUUGAUUAUAGCCUGUGAAAGCCUGAUUCAGCUCGGUAGAGAUACGCUUGCAUACUCAGUUGGGUAGCGCCCACGAGUGCCGCACCGGAGUCGGGCUUUGUGUGUUUGCGUUGAUGUCGUAGUGUUCGGGUUGCACUUGCUCUCCAACGACAAUCCAGUGUGGUGGUGGUUGGUGUAACUUCGACAGGCGGGACGGGUGCGUUCACAAUCCCUAGUGAGAUUGGGUCAGAGAUUACUUCUUAAUUAUAUCUACAGAAUAGUGGUUAGCGAUAGUAUAGUGGCAUAUAGCUGUAGAGUUUUUCCAGCUUCCUUUACUAUCCUUGAGCAUAUUUCUUUUCUAUAGACUUAAUCGGUGAGCCGUUGAGGUCGAUAACGGUACCUACUGAGGACUACUUCUUUUUGCAGUAGUUCUUAUACCCAUUUGUUGACCUCCUUUUGCAGAGCCUUCGUCCGCGGUCGCUGCUGUCACCGAUUCCGAUCGUGGAAAGGGAGUCGUGAGCUAGAUCCCUUGGAGCCUUGCUGCGUACUAGAGGAGUACGUACCUUCUGCAGGUAGUUUUGGGGCUUUUUGUAUAUAUGGUUUUGUUGUCUAGGUACUCGCUGAAGCGAGUGAUCUAGUAGACAUUUUGUAUGUACUAGAAUCCCUCGAGGUUUUAUAUAUAUGUUUUCGGUUUAGUAGCUCCUUACUUUGUGGUUGUAGCUUGGUUUUGUUUACAGGUACAGUUAUCACUUCGUAUACAGAGCAAAUUUCUAUAUAUACGGCGGAUCUGUUGGCGUGCCCGAGAAAACGUAUAAUCCGGGGCAUGACAGAUUAAGUCGGUAUCAGAGCUUAGCAUUAGGUCGUUGGGAGCUAGAAACCCUAAGUUUGGCAAACCUUAGGAAGUCAAGAUGUGAGAGACGUGACUUAUCGCAAAAGUCGGUGAUUGAAUUAUUUUAACUCAUCCUAGAGUGGAGUGAGUGACCGAAGGAGUGUCUGUUUCGGCUAAGAAAAUUAUGUCGGCGGCAGACGGCAUAAUUUUGAGGAGAAAUAGGGGUAGCCUUCUAGACUUUCACUUGAUUGGGUCGAGAGUGAUUGUGUUUUGUAUCUGACCCUUUUUUUUGAUUUCAGGUAGCCAUGUAUCGACGUUGGGGUCGACCGUCGACGCGAAACUGUUUCGCAUCAGCAGAGAUGCCUGAGCAGGCAGGGUCGAGUGCAUCCCCCAAUCUGAGAGAGCAGUUGGCUGCCCUGACUGAGGCGACCAGGCAGCAGGGGGCACUAUUACAGAGGAUGUACGAGACGUUUAGUCCGCCGCCGAGCACAGCGCCUAGAGCAUCAGAGCAGUCAGCUCCACCACUGACUACUCCUGUGACCGCACCAGCUACAGCUGUACCCCCACCAGUGUCAGUUCCUACGGCGCCUGUAACAUUCUCUGGAGAGGCGUAGCAGAUGUCUGAGGCUGAGCAGGAACGGAUGACAGAGAGGCUCGCUCGUUUUAGUCGGUUUGAUUCACUGCGCUUUGAUGGUAGUUGCACAGAGCCCUGGAUUGUAGAGGGUUGGAUGAGCGCGAUGGAGAAGUUAUUCGAGAACUUGUUUAUACCAGAGCGAGAGCAGGUACAUUUGGGAGUGCACUGUUUGGCCAGUGAUGCACACGUCUGGUGGAGGAGGAUGAGGCAGACUCGAGGGCUGUUGGCGCUACAGAUGAAGUGGGACGAAUUUUGUGGAUUGCUGUACGGGGACUAUUUCCCAAACAACAUGAAGCAAAAGCUCGAGGAGGACCUUAUAAAGUUCCAGCAGGGGGAGCGAUCAGCUCAGGAGUAUACUCGUGAGUUUACUUGGUUUCUGAACUGUGUGCUGUUUGUAGUCAGGGAUAAAGCCCACAAGGUGUAUCUGUAUGAGGGAGGCUUGAGGCCAGAGAUCUUCCGGUUUGUCACGCCCCGAAACCGCUACCAAUUUGGUCUGAUUCGGGCGCGUCGAACAGACGCCGAACGGACAGCACCCCUCCUGUCCGCCCAAGGCCAAGCAACCAGAUCAUGUACAGUUAAGCGCCCAGGAAAUGCUUAAAAACAUACAUGAUCGAAACGAUGCACACAAGUGCACAAUAACUAAGAGCAAUAACCACAAGUAAAUGUACAAGUGUAUAAAGAGAGUUAGUCUAACUAUUACAACCAUUCAACAUUUACAUCAGUUGAUUACAUUUCCAUCUUCCAAAAUACAUGUAGCUCUCUUAAUGAUUAUCCAAAACAUCAUCUAGUACACGGGGUACUCUAAUGCAUAAAGGAAGGCUACUAUCUAGGCUCACUUAGGGCACAUGCCCUUGCCGCGAUCCUCGCUCGGCUCGCCUCUGUGUGUACCUAUACCCCAAAACCAUACGAGGUGAGAACUAUAUAAAUAUAGUUCCCAGUGGGUUCGACCGCCGACGCCGCCGGUUUUCCCACUAGGUCUAAGCUGGUACAGAUAGAGAUAUUGAUAGAUAUAUAAAAAUGAACUGCGACUACUCUAUAAUGCCAUCAAUGAUAAUCAUGCAUGCGACCACUACUAUCAUGCUAGUAUCAUGUCAUGAGUAUAUAAAAGUACGUAGCAAUGCAACUACACUAUACACUAUGUCUGCUCAAGAUAAUAAUGCAAAUCUACUAUGCAUUUCGUGUUUAUUACCCAAUCCACUUGGUUAACUCGAAGGUUAAACCCUCGACUCACUCUCAAUCUCAUAGGUGAGGAGAAGCUGCACUCGCACACCGAGACCGUCUGCGGGACAGCUACGUCUGCCCCUAGUGAAGUACUCCGGAGACUCAUGCCUCGGUGGAGCGACCACCGACAAGCAAAACAGACUAGUGAGUAUGAUCAAAUCCUCUCAAGAGGAUACCCUAUCUACUAGGGUCAAUGUGCCUCUGCUGCACAAUCAUGAUAUAUAAUCAAUGUUGGGACCUCUACUAUCCCUAAGUUCAUGUUAAGUUUACUACACUAGACUCAAUGCCACUCGUUCAGUCGUUGUAGUAAUAUAUGCUAACUAGUCGACAUGCCACUCGUUCAAGUUUAGUGUCUCUACUACACUAGUCAAUGCCACUCUACUAGGCUAUGUCCAAGUUCAUCACUUUUGCCACUAUAGGAUUCUUUGUCUCAAGACCCAAUCAUCAUGCCUCCCUAGUCCAAGUGUCAAGCUCACCCCGCGACACUACCAAGAAAGCAUGCAAGGAAUGGAAAUGUACAACUACUAUUCUUAUAGCACAAUAUGAUCAACAUAAUUAACUUAGACAUAAAAAGAAAUUCGGAUGUUUCGGGAUGACACCCCCCCACCUUUUGUGUAUACGGAGGCUCUAGAAAUGUGCUUCGGCGUCCUUUAUGACGAAGCCUCGGUCUUCUUGUCCAAAACGAUGCUCAAUCGGCCUUAUUUUGCCGAUAGCUCUUGACCCGCUCGACGAAUCGAAAUUCUGACUUCGCCCACGCGUUUAGGCACCUACCAAUUAGGUUAGAGGAGGGUCAAAUGAGAUCAAUCCUCUACUUUUCCAAAAACCCUAUUUUGGUGCCCUAGGGUUGGCAUCAAGCUAAAUCCAUCUCAAAACCCUAGAUUCUAUCUUUAAUCUUACCAUUCAUGGUGCUAGGGGUCCAUUUGAUCCCAUCCAAAGAGCUAAAACCCAAAAACCCUAAAUUUCAUAAGCUAGGAUUAGAAGCUUACCUCUAUUCUAGCUUAAUAGAGAGAGAAGAGGAAGAGGGAGAAAUCCAAAAGCUUCCUUUUCUUGACCUCCUUCUUCUUCUCCUUCCUUUUCUUCCUUCUUUUCCUUCUCUUUCCUUCUUCUUCUUCUUUUUCUUCUUCUUCUCUUCUAGAGAGAGAGAGCAAGAGAGUGUGAGUGAGGGAGAGAGGGAAACGAGGGGCUGAGAGAGAGAAGGGGUCCCCCAUGCCUCAUAUUGUAACAAUAUCCCAGUAGGCCCCCCACCUUUUCACUCUGUGCACUGCCCUUACUAGGCGUUCUGCGUGCGGAGGGGCCGGUCUCCCCGACUUGGGACCGGUCACCGAGAGCUUCAGCUAGGGUCACGCGUUCAGGUACCGGUCUCUCCAAGAGAGACCGGUCCUCGGGAGACCGGUUCCUUCCUGAGAGACCGGUUCCCGAGAGCUGGGAUUUCAGAACUUAGCAAAUUUUUGGCUUUUCUCGCUGGGUUCACGUUCGGGGACCAGUCUCUCCCUGUCAGGGACUGGUUGCCUCAAGCAACCGCGCAACACCAGCCGAUGGGACCGGUCCCUCCCUGCCAGGGACCGGUCCCCGAGAGCAGUUUUGCUCCAGUGCAGGUUUUGCACUAUUUGCUCUCGUGGACUCAUUUUUAAUGCACUUUUGGUGAUUUUAACAUCUUUGGCUUUUCCAAAGCUCACCAACACGACCCUUAGUCGAUUUUACAUGAAGUCUAACUCUCGUAUUUCGAGAAUUUACUUCCUCACAAGGUUGGUGCAGGCGCAGAGGUUGAGGACCUUGGAUGCGUUGAUUGAGCAGGCAUUGUGCGUAGAGAGAGGAGAUGUAUCAGUCCGUCAGCGGACUCAAGUGCCGGGGCAGAGUCAGGAUAGCAAGCGCCCUGUUCUAGAUGAUGGAGGGCAGUCAAGCAGCAGGCGUCUGCCGAGACCUCCACGAUCAUGCUCUCAGGGUCGUGGGCCUUCGGGGCGACAGCGUUCUGGGGGACCUCGUCAGUAGAGACAGUCGCAUGGGACUCCGCAGUGUAUAAUUUGUGGGGGACCAUAUUGGCCUCGACAGUGUGAGCAGAGAGAUGGCCCGUGUUAUGGAUGUAGACAGCCUGGAUAUAUGAGGGCAGUUUGUCCCCGAGUAGCAUCACCAGCACAUUCGACGGCGUCAGCUCCAUCGGCACCUAAGCAGACUUAUAGAGCAUCGCCGAGCUAUUGUCAGGAGGACAGGGUGUCAGUGCCGCGACAGAGCGAGCGGCGACAGCAGGACUCGAGUGGCAGGGUGUAUGCAGCUCAGGUGGAGAACUCUACAGCAGCCGACCAGGUGGUGGCAGGUAUCAUUUUGAUUUCUGGUAUUAUAGCUCAUACCUUAUUUGAUACCGGUGCAUCACAUUCUUUUGUUAGCCGAGCAUUUGUAUCGUUGCAUGGUUUAGAGUUAGGACAGCUAUUACAGGCACGAGAGGUGCAGAUUCCUAAUCAUGUGUUGCAUGUGGCGGAGUGUUGUUGGGCUUGUCCGGUGCAGCUUGGCCCUUGGAUUAUGCCUGCAGACCUGUUGGUCUUAGGGCAGCUGCAGGACUUCGAUGUUGUGCAUGGCAUGGAUUGGCUGGCGCGGUACUACACGACGAUUGACUGUGAAGCGAAGACAGUGACAUUCCGCGAGCCAAGCUAGAAGGAGUUAACGUAUAUCGACGGCAGGAGUACGUUGUUUGCUACUUGGAUCUCGUCUGCGAGGGCUAGCCAGCUGUUGAGUAGAGGAUGCAUCGCUUUUCUGGCGACUGUAGUAGAGGUGCCUACGGUGGCGCCGGGACUCGAGGAUAUCUCUAUAGUACGCAAGUUUCUGGAUGUUUUUUCUACAGAGUUGACGACUAUGCCACCGGAUAGAGAGAUUGAGUUUGUGAUUGGCGUAGUUCCUGGAACUGCAUCAAUCUCGAAGGCACCCUACCAAAUGGCACCGGCAGAGUUGAGAGAGCUAAAGGCGCAGUUUCAGAAUUUGAUGGAUAAGGGGUAUGUGAGACCCAGUGUAUCAUCUUGGAGAGCGCCAAUGUUAUUCGUAAAGAAGAAUGAUGGUUCACUUAGGUUAUGUGUGGAUUAUCGGGAGUUGAAUAAAGUGACCAUCAAGAACAAGUAUCCUUUGCCACACAUCGAUGAUCUGUUUGAUCAGCUGCAAGGAUCUUGUAUUUUUUCGAAGAUUGAUCUUCAGUCAGUUUACCACCAAUUGAGAGUGAGGGUCGAGGAUGUCCCCAAGACGGCUUUUCGGACUCGGUAUGGGUAUUAUGAGUUCACAGUAAUGCCUUUUGGAUUGACGAAUGCCCAUGCCGCAUUUAUAGAUUUAAUGAACCGAGUGUUCAAGCCGUUCUUGAAUAGAUUCGUGGUAGUGAUCAUUGAUGAUAUUUUGAUAUACUCCCGGAGUGAUGUUGAGCAUGAGGAGCACUUGAGGAUAGUGUUAUAGUUUUUUAGGGAGAAAAAAUUAUAUGCUAAGUUGAAGAAGUGCGAGUUUUGGCUGCGUGAGGUUUCUUUCUUGGGUCAUGCGAUUUCUGCGAUAGGAGUAGUAGUGGACCCAAAGAAGAUUGAUGCUACUCGGGAUUGGCCCAGAUCGACGAUGGUUACCGAGGUGAGGAUUUUCCUUGGACUGGCUGGGUAUUACCGUCGAUUUGUGGAAGACUUUGUAAAACUUUUCACACCCUUCACUCUAUUAACUCGUAAAGGAAUUAAGUUCGUCUGAAGUAAGGAUUGUCAUAGGAGCUUUGAUGAGUUAAGACAGAAGUUGAUGUCGGCUCCUAUCCUUACCCUCCCAGUUAUGGGGGAAGGAUUUGUGAUCUACAGUGAUAUAUUGCACAGUGAUUUGGGUUGUGUGCUGAUGCAGCAUGGUAGGGUAACUGCUUAUGUUUCCCAACAACUGAUUGAUUACGGGAAGAAUUACCCUACGCAUGAUUUGGAACUUGCAGCGGUAGUGUUUGUACUGAAGUUGUGGCGGCAUUCCUUAUAUGGCGAGCACUGUGAGAUUUUUUCAGAUCAUAAAAGUCUCAAAUAUCUGUUCACACAAAAGGAAUUGAACCUAAAGCAACGCCGGUGGUUGGAGUUGUUGAAGGAUUAUGAUAUCAAGAUCCAGUAUCACCCCGGUAAGGCGAAUAAAUGCAUUGAGCAAGAAGUCAGUGCAGAGCUUGAGCAUGUUGAUUACUCAGCAGAGGCCGUUACUUGAGGAGUUACAGUGGUUAAGGCUUGAGGUAGUAGGCCCUGGGUCUACUGCAAGACUGAUGUCUAUGGUCUUACAGCCCACUCUGUUAGACAGGAUUCAGGAGAAACAGAGUGGAGACUCUCACCUGUUGAGGAUUCAAGAGCAGUUGGAGAUGGGACAGGCGGAGGCCUUUUCUGUGGACAGUUCAGGAGUAUUGCGGUACAGGGACUGACUGUGUGUGCCUAUAGAUUCAGAGAUCUGAGAGGAGAUUUUGAGAGAGGUUCAUUACUCACCUUAUACGGUUCACCUCGGUGGAACCAAGAUGUAUAAGGAUUUAAAGGCACACUUCUAGUGAAAUGGAAUGAAGAGGGACAUUGGCAGAUAUGUGGCUCAGUAUCUGACUUGCCAACAGGUGAAAGCAGAGCAUUAGUUACCUACUGGCAAGCUUCAGAAUCUGCCAGCGCCCGAGUGAAAAUGGAAGCAGAUCACGAUGGACAUUGUCGUGGGUUUACCGAGAGCCCAGGGUGGUUUCGAUGCUAUUUAGGUGAUAAUGGACAGACUGACCAAAUCUGCUCACUUCCUACCAGUACAUGGAUGAGAUUGUUAGAUUGCAUGGUGUGCCAAUCUCGAUAGUAUCAGACAGAGACAUGAGGUUUGUCUCGCAUUUUUGGAGGAGCCUUCAGACGGCCUUGGGUACACAGCUACAUUUCAGUACAGUAUUUCACCCACAGACAGAUAGUCAGGCAGAGUGGACCAUUCAGACUCUGGAGGAUAUGCUGAAAGUAUGUGUCCUGAACUUUGGAGGGGGAUGGCAUCGACAUUUGAGACUGGUUGUGUAGUGUACAGAGUCCUCGAUGCGCUAAACCGAACUUUAGUCAAAAUUGACUAAAGUAUGGUAACGGACGCUUUAGAGAGGUUCGUUGAGUGUUCCGAGUGAUCGGAAUGACUUAUAAGGGUAUAAGGGACCAAAUGGGACCUCGGAGAGCAAGAUUUGAGAUUUUCGAAAAUUUUCGAAUUUGGAAAAUUUUCAAAAAUUGUCAAAAGUGCCAUUUGUAUAAGGGGCUAGGUGCAUUUGUGCAAUUGAAGUGUAUAUACAUGGGUUUUAACUCAUUUUCUUCAUUUUCCUCACACUUUCCCAACCUAAGAGAGUUUUUUUUCUCUCUCUAAACCUCUCCCUCUCCCUCUUCCUCUCUCUCAUAGGGUUUGGUCAAAGAGGUAGAAGCUAGUAGAGGAAAGGGUGUUUAGUGGUGAAGCAACCCUUUUGUGAAGGCUAAGCAUGGAGGAGAGCUUCAUUUCAGGUAAGCCUUGUGGUAUUUCAAGGUUUUGUAGUUCGGGUUUUAUAAAAUCCCUUAGAAAUGAGUUGUAUUGAAACCCAUGAUGAUUCUAAAUCAUAUUAUUGCAUAAUUUACCAUGAGGUUUGGAUUUUAUGCAAUAUGAGGGUUUUAGGGGUUUCAAAAGAGGGUUUUUGAUCAUAAGAGGUUUUGAUCUCAAUUGAACCUAUGUUUCCGCAAUUGAAGGUAAAACCGACGCGGAGGAUCACUCGGAUUGAGAUUUCGUUGAGCCGGUGGUGGUCAAAGUGAAGAAAACCCUGUUUUUUGCUUCGUUUGCCGCAGUCGGAGGAAAUCGACGGCCAUAAAUCGCGCUGCUAGGCUACCUACUUCGUGACGACGCCACGAGGUGGGGGGUGCUAUCCGAAUUAGCCGAAUUUUAUUCUACGUCUAAAUUCUACUAUUAUUGAUCAUAUAUCAUCAUGUAUAGAAUUGUGAGAAUCCUUUGAGUUGUGGUAAUUUCAUGCUUAGUAUGAGGGAUGAUGAUCCAUGAUUGCAUGACACUUGUAGGAAUAUCUAUUUGCAAGAUGUUAAGAUAGAUGUGGACAUGUAUGUUGCAUGUGAACUUUUAUAUGAUGCCAAUAUAGAUGUAGUUAUGCAUGUUGCAUAAGUUGCUAGUGGACAUAUGCAUGUGGAUAUGAUGCGAGAAUAGACUAGAUUCAUGAGGAACUAGUAUGUGAACCAAUGACAUUGUGAGAAUUGAAAACUAUUGCAUAUGUGGCCGACUUGAGCAUAACAUGCCUUGUGAUGAAUAGGGAUGUGGGAUUCCCGCGGUCUUCGGGUGAGAGGACUAUGAUCAUACUUGCAUUGUCUGUUAUAGCUUGUGGAUGGUCGCGCCUCCCAAGCAGUGAGCUCCGGAGUUGUAUCACUAUUGCGAAUAAAACGGGGGGCCUCUCCCGUCAGACGUCACGGUCCCAUGACAAUAUGUGGUGAGUGGUUCGAACUUCGGGCGAUUCAAUUGGAUUUGGCACAAGGCAUGAUCAUGGCAUUUCAUAUAUAGUUUGCAUACAUGGUAGAACUUAUACUUGUUGACAUGAUUGGUAAUGGCAUAGCUACACAUUUGAGCAUGAUAUAGAUGUAUAUGAGCAAGGUAGGCUUAUUGUUAUAUCUAUUAUUCUUUUCACAUGUUGAUCUAUCUACUGUUUCUAUGUCUUUCUUAGACCUAGUGGGCAAAUCGGUGGGGUCGGCGGCUGAAUCCAUUGGGAACUUUGUUUAGUUCUCACACCUUGUUUUGCAGAGCCUAGUACGAGCGCGUGUGUCAAGGAUCGCGGCAAGGGCGUCGCGCCCUAGAUAGAGUGGACCACCGGCAUUAGCUCACUGCCCCAUGUAUAGCAAGAAAAGAGUGAAUGUAAAACCCUUUUGUGAAUGGUAAGAAAAUGUGAUGUAAAUGUGGGAUGUCAUUUUGUUGUAUAAAUGAGAGGUUUUGUAAUAAGCUAAAGAAUGUAAAGGUUUUAUGUAUGAACAUGUGUUGUAAUAGAUAGCUUACUUUCUCUUGUAUCUUGAUAUGCCUCUCGCAAAUGUUGAAUGCUAAUAUCUCUUGCUUAGAUAUGUAUGCAUAGACUUUGUUACGCCUUGGGCGGACAGGAAAAACUCUGUCCGUUCGGCGGAUCUGUUUCGGGCUCGAGCUAUCCAAAUUGGCGGCGUCGGGUCGUGACAGAUUGAGGUGGUAUCAGAGCGGAGAACGGUCUAGGAGGACCUAGGAAACCUUAGGACUUGUGGCCUUAAGGAUUUAGAGACGUGAGAGACGAUGACUCUUGGGUUGUGGCGAAAGUGAAAUGAUUGGGUCAAGUUGUGAAGUACGUGUCUCUAAUGAGCUUUAGAGACGGAUUCAAGGUGUGAUUUAAUCUUAGCUUGAGGUGGUCAUGUUGGCAGCCGACAACAUAAUGCCGAGAGAUGAGAAUAAACACCCUUGUCUUACUUUUGCCUAAUUGGGUUGUCCUGUUGGUGUUGCUAACUUAUGUUAGUUGCGAGUUCGUGGAGUGUAACCGGGGGUUGUUGUUUUCUUUCAGGACGUUAUGAGACGUGGAAGGCCACCCCCAAUGAAACCCACUCCUGAUCCAACACCACCUCUUGAGGUGCCUGAGUUGUCGGUGUCCGGCGAGAUUCAGGAUUUGCGGGAUCAAGUUGCCGCUCUUGUUUGAGUGGUGCGGAGGCAAGUUGAAGCUUCUUAGCAAUUCGGUGAGGCCUCCCAGCGAUAGGAAGAACAGAUGGCGCUACAUCGGGAGUUGGUGUCCCGACAGGUCGCAGCGACACCUGUUACUUAGCAGCCGCCCGCCUCACCUGUGCGCACCCCUACUGUAGCUGAGAGGGCGGCGUGGCGGCAGCAUCGCUGACGGCGUACCCCGCGCAACCAGGUGUUGCGGCAGGCACUUGUCCAGCGAUGUCGAGUACUUCUACUCAUGUUGAUCCGGCGUUGGAGGUCGAGAGGGACCGAGCUCUCGCUUGCCUCACCGCAUUCUAGAAGUUCAAUCCGCCUAUUUUCAACGGGGCGUCAGGUGACCCGUGGGAGAUGGAAUCAUGGGUGGAUACAAUGGAGAAGUUGUUCGAAAAUCUCUAUACCCUUGAGCAAGAUAAGGUGCACCUAGCUGUGCAUUGCCUUGAGAAGUCCGCCAGUGUUUGGUGGAAAGCGACUCGUCAGAAUCGCUCCCCUACAUUACCCCCGAUGAUGUGGGAGGAGUUCCGAGGAUUGCUUUAUGGUGUUCACUUCCCGGACAAUGAUAAGAAGAAAAUGGAGGAGCAAUUCUGAAUCCUUAAGCAAAGGGAUCGCACUGUUCGAGAAUAUGAGAGGGAGUUCUCUCACAUUGUGAAUUGCGUUCCACAUGUGGUCUGGAGUGACGAAGACAAGGCGGGAUGUUUCGAGCGUGGACUUCGGCGGGAGGUCUAUACGGCGAUGCAACCCUUAAGGUUGAAGACCUUUACGGAGGUGUUUGAUAGAGCUCUUUGGGUAGAGCAAGGAAUUGUAAAGAUGCACGCGGAGCGCGAGUUGAAUGAUAAGGGUACGGAUAAAAAGCAGUCGGCUAGUGGUCCCGGAGGAUCAUCAAAGUACAAGAAGCCCCUGAAGUAUCCGCGGAAGCUUUGGAAGGAUCGUGGACCUCCUCGCUGCUACAUUUGUCGGGAAAAUCGUCGGCCCCACGAAUGUAAGCGGCGUGGGAAGUGUUAUCAGUGUGGGCAACCUGUUCAUGGAUGGCGUGAGCGCCCGAUGCGUGUGUCACCGACUCCAACUUCUGCUUCAGCUCUGCCUGCUCCGCGACAGUUCGCCGGACAUCCGCCCGCAAUGUCUACUGGACAUGCCAUGGUGUUGCGUCAAGCCGAGGGGUCUCGUGCGGCACCAAGUGGACGAGUUUAUGCUGCUCAAGUGGAGGAGCCUGCCGUAGCCGACGAUGUCGUGGCAGGUAUUAUCUUAAUUCAUGGUACUAGAGCUAAAGCAUUGUUUGACACUGGCGCAUCAAACUCAUUUAUUAGAAAGUCUUUCGCUAAAGCUCAUGACAUAGAAAUUUCAUUAUGUGCGGACUCUUGGUGGGUGGAUGCACCUGAACACACCUUUAGUAUCAAGGAUGAAUGUAGAGCUUGUCCGGUGCAAAUUGGCGAUUGGAUCAUGCCAAUGAAUUUGCUUGUGUUGAACUGGAUAAAGGGCUUCAACAUAGUCCUUGAAAUUGAUUGGCUCUCAAAGUAUUAUGUCACCAUAGAUUGCGAAAGCAGGGUAAUCACUUUUCGUGAGCCUGGUCAGAAGGAAGUGGUUUAUCGUGCAUGCAAAAGUUCGCUCUUUGUUAUGACGGUGUUAACGUCCAGAGCAAGAAGGUUGAUCAAGAGUGGAUGUGUAGCCUAUUUGGCAUCGGUGGUGGAGACUCAAAAGGAGCUCCCAGCAGCACUUGGGGACAUUCCGGUAGUAUGUGAGUUUCCGGAUGUGUUUCCCGCGAAAUUACCGGGAUUGCCACCGAACCGGAAAAUCGAGUUUGUAAUCGACUUGGUUCCCGGGACGGCGCCGAUUUCUAAAGCUCCAUACCGUAUGGCACCAGCGAAGUUGAAGGAAUUAAAGGCACAGUUGCAAGACCUUCUCAACAAGGGCUUUGUUAAGCCGAGUGUAUCACCGUAGGGAGCCCCGGUGUUGUUUGUGAAGAAGAAAGAUGGAUCGCUUCGACUCUGCGUGGAUUAUCGCGAGUUAAACAAGGUCACGAUCAAGAACAAGUACCCGUUGCUCCGUAUCGACGGCUUGUUUGAUCAAUUGCAAGGGUCGCGGGUAUACUCGAAGAUUGAUCUCCAAUCGGGCUAUCAUCAGUUGAAGAUCAAGCCGGAGGAUGUGCAUACGACCGCAUUUCGAACGCGGUAUGGGCACUAUAAAUUCACGGUUAUGCCAUUUGGACUCACGAAUGCCCCGGCGGCUUUAAUGGACUUAAUGAACUGUGUCUUCAAGUCGUAUUUGGACCGAUUUGUCGUAAUCUUUAUAGACGACAUAUUGGUCUACUCUCGAAGCGAUGAAGAGCAUGUGGAGCACUUGAGAGUUGUGCUGCAGCUACUUCGGGAGGAGAAGUUUUAUGCCAAGUUAAAGAAAUGCGACUUUUGGCUUCGAAAAGUUUCAUUUCUUGGGCAUGUGAUUUCGGCUGGCGGAGUUUCUGUUGACUCGGGAAAAGUAGAGGCAAUAAGGAAUUAGCCUCGCCCAACGAAUGUGACCGAGGUCAGAAGCUUUUUGGGCCUUGCCGGCUAUUAUCGACGGUUUGUGGAAUGAUUUGCUAAGAUCUCUCUUCCAGUCACGUGUCUUACUCAGAAAGGAGUCAAGUUUGCGUCGAGCUAGGAUUGUGUUUGAGGCUUCGAAGAAUUUAAAAAGAGAUUGACUACAGCUCCGGUCCUUGCCUUACCUACUCCCGGUGAGAGUUUUGUGGUGUAUAGCGAUGCUUCGCGAUUGGGUCUUGGGUGCGUGUUGAUGCAACGCGGGCAAGUCAUUGCAUAUGCUUCUCGGCAACUGAAGAGCUAUGAGAAGAAUUAUCCCACCCAUGAUCUCGAGUUGGCAGCCGUGGUCAUCGUACUCAAGUUGUGGAGACACUAUUUGUAUGGCAAGCCUUGCGAAGUCUACAUCGACCACAAGAGUCUCAAGUAUCUGUUUACACAGAAAGAAUUGAACCCGAGGCAGCGCCGAUGGUUAGAAUUGUUGAAAGACUAUGAUGUCACAAUUCUUUACCAUCCGGGAAAGGCGAAUGUGGUUGCCGAUGCGCUAAGUCGGAAGUCGGCGGAAAAUCUUGCGAUGAUGAUUACUAAUCAACCGCCAUUGCUUGAAGAAUUGCGGCGUUUCGAUUUGGAGGUGGUAGCUCCGGACGUCCCAAUUGUUCUUGAAAGCCUAGUGGUACAACCGACCUUGUUGGAGCGAAUUAAGACUCAACAGCUACAAGAUUCUUAUCUCCAAAAGGUGUGGGUUGAUGUUGUGGGUGGACGUGCAAGUGAUUUCAGUAUUGGCUCCGAUGCCACAAUCCGGUUUCGAGGCCGGUUGUGUGUUCCUAGUGAUGAGGGAAUGCAGAGCGAGACAAUGCAAGAAGCACAUCAAUCCCCUUGUAGCAUUCAUCCGGGCAACACUAAGAUGUAUAAGGAUUUGAGGAUCCAUUAUUGGUGGCCCGAGAUGAAGAGAGAUAUUGGCCACUUUGUGGCGCAAUGUUUGGUGUGCCAACAAGUUAAGGCUGAAUAUCGAAUCCCAGCGGGAAAGUUACAAAGUUUCCAAUCCCCGUGUGGAAAUGGGAGGAUGUGACUAUGGAUUUGGUCGUUGGAUUACCCCAUUCUCAGGGUAGUCACGAUCCAAUAUGGGUGGUGGUGGAUUGCCUCAUGAAAUCUGCGCAUUUCAUGCCAAUCCAUACCACAUGGUCGAGCGACAAACUAGCGCAAGUUUAUUUGGAUGAGGUUGUCCGACUACAUGGGGUUCCGGUAUCGAUUGUGUCGGAUCGGGACCCUCGAUUCACUUCCCAAUUUUGGAAGAACUUGCAAAGUGCUCUUGGCACACGGCUCGAAUUUAGUACUGCUUUUCAUCCUCAAAGCGAUGGUCAAUCGGAGAGGACAAUACAAAUCCUUGAGGAUAUGUUGUGAGCUUGUGUUCUUGACUUCAAGGGAGGUUGGCAUAGUUAUUUGCCUAUGGCAGAGUUCGCCUACAAUAAUAGUUAUCAAGUGAGCAUUGGAAUGGCUUCGUUCGAGGCCUUUAUGGACGGAAGUGCCGCUCCUCGAUACAUUGGGGUGAGGUCGGAAAACGACUUGAGUUGGGUCCGAAUGUAUUACAAGAGGCCGAGGAGAAAGUUCGCAUUGCUCGGCAGAGAAUGUUAAUGGCACAGUCUCGGUAAAAGAGUUAUGCCAACAAGCACCGACGUAGCCUCGAGUUUGCAAUUGGAGACAAGGUAUUCUUAAAGGUCUCCCCUAUGCGAGGCGUUAAGCGGUUUGGAAUGCGAGGGAAGUUAAGUCCUCGCUAUGUUGGGCCGUAUGAGAUUUUGGAUCGGGUUGGCCCCGUGGCUUAUCAGUUAGCGUUGCCACCUCGACUUGCGGGGGUGCACAAUGUGCUCCAUGUGUCGACACACCGCAAAUAUGUUUCCAAUUCUACGCAUGUGCUCCAAUAUGAACCACCCGAGCUUCGGGAGGAUAUGUCGUACGAGGAAUUUCCGGUGUGCAUCCUAGCUCGUGAGCAGAGGGAGCUACGGAAUCGUGCGAUCCAUAUGUCAAAGUUCAAUGGAGUAAUCAUAGCGAGCGAGAAGCUACGUGGGAGCUCGAAAGCAAGAUGCGUGAUGAGUAUCCUUACCUCUUCCCCGAGUCUAGUUAACAUAUGAUUUUAAGUUUCGAGGACAAAACUUCUUUUAAGGAGGGGAGGAUGCAGUGUAUCGAGUCCUCGAUGCGCUAAACCGAACUUUAGUCAAAAUUGACUAAAGUAUGGUAUCAGACGCUUUAGAGAGGUCCGUUGAGUGUUCCGAGUGAUCGGUAUGACUUAUAAGGGUAUAAGAGACCAAAUGAGACCUUGGAGAGCAAGACUUGAGAUUUUCGAAAAUUUUUGAAUUUGGGGUGCUCUCGGGGUGCGGACCCUACAUGCAGGGUCCGGACCCCGUACCCGGGAAAACGUGCAAAUUGUCAAAAGUGCCAUUUGUGUGAGGGGCUAGGUGCAUUUGUGCAAUUGAAGUGUAUAUAGAUAGGUUUUAACUUAUUUUUUUCAUUUUUCUCACACUUUUCCAACCUAAGAGAGUUCUCUUUCUCUCUCUAAACCUCUCCCUCUCCCUCUUCCUCUCUUUCCUAGGAUUUGGUCAAAGUGGUGGAAGCUAGUGGAGGAAAGGUUGCUUAGUGGUGAAGCAACCCUCUUGUAAAGGCUAAGCAUGGAGGAGAGCUUCAUUUCAGGUAAGCCUUGUGAUAUUUCAAGGUUUUGUAUUUAGGGUUUUGUAAAAUCCCUUAGAAAUGAGUUGUAUUGAAACCUAUGAUGAUUCUAAACCAUAUUAUUGCAUAAUCUAUCAUGAGGUUUGGAUUUUAUGCAAUAUGAGGGUUUUAGGGGUUUCAAAAGAGGGUUUUUGAUCAUAAAGGGUUUUGAUCUCAAUUGAUCCUAUGUUUCCGCAAUUGAAGGUAAAAAUCGACGCGGAUGAUCACUUGGAUUGAGAUUCCGGUGAGCCGGUGGUGGUCAAAGUGAAGAAAACCCUAUUUUUGCUUCGUUUGCCGCAGUCGGAGGAAAUCGACGGCCAUAAAUCGCGCUGCUAGGCUACCCGCUUCGUGAUGACGCCACGAUGUGGGGGGUGCUAUCCGAAUUAGCCGAAUUUCAUUCUAUGUCUAAGUUCUACUAUUAUUGAUCGUAUAUCAUCAUGUAUAGAAUUGUAAGAAUCCUAUGAGUUGUGGUAAUUUCAUGCUUAGUGUGAGGGAUGAUGAUCCAUGAUUGUAUGGCACUUAUAGGAAUAUCUAUUUGCAUGAUGUUGAGAUAGAUGUGGACAUGUAUGUUGCAUGAGAACUUUUAUAUGAUGCCAAUAUAAAUGUAGUUAUGCAUGUUGCAUGAGUUGCUAGUAGACAUAUGCAUGUGGAUAUGAUGCGAGAAUAGACUAGAUUCAUGAGGAACUAGUAUGUGAACCAAUGAUAUUGUGAGAAUUGAAAACUAUUGCAUAUAUGGCCGACUUGAGCAUAACAUGCCUUGUGAUGAAUAAGGAUGUGGGAUUCCCACGGUCCUCGGGUGAGAAGACUAUGAUCAUACUCGCAUUGUCUGUUAUAGCUUGUGGAUGGUCGCGCCUCCCAAGCAGUGAGCUCCGGAGUUGUAUCACUAUUGCGAAUAAAACGGGGGGCCUCUCCCGUCAGACGUCACGGUUCGGUGGCAGUGUGUGGCGAGUGGUUCGACCUUCGGGCGAAUCGAUUGAAUUUGGCACAAGGCAUGAUCAUGGCAUUUCAUAUAUAGUUUGCUUACAUGGUAGAACUUAUACUUGUUGACAUGAUUGGUAAAGGCAUAGCUACACAUAUGAGCAUGAUAUAGAUGUAUAUGAGCAGGGUAGGCUUAUUGUUAUAAAUAUUAUUCCUUUCACAUAUUGAUCUAUCUACUGUUCAUAUGCCUUUCUUAGACCUAGUGGAAAAAUCGGCGAGAUCGGCGGCCGAACCCAUUGGAAACUUUGUUUAAUUCUCACACCCUAUUUUGCAAAGCCUAGUACGAGCGCGUGCGUCGAGGAUCGCGGCAAGGGCAUCGCGCCCUAGAUAGAGUGGACCACCGACAUUAGCUCACUACCCCAUGUAUAGCAAGAAAAGAGUGAAUGUAAAACCUUUUUGUGAAUGGAAAAAAAAUGUGAUGUAAAUGUGGGAUGUCAUUUUGUUGUAUAAAUGAGAGGUUUUCUAAUAAGCUAAAGAAUGCAAAGGUUUUCUGUAUGAACAUGUGUUGUAAUAGAUAGCUUACUUUCUCUUGUAUCUUGUUAUACCCCUCGCAAAUGUUUAAUGCUAAUAUCUUUUGCUUAGAUAUGUAUGCAUAGACUUUGUUACGCCUUAGGCGGACAGGAAAAACUCUGUCCAUUCGGCGGGUCUGUUUCGGGCCCGAGCUGUCCAAAUUGGCGGCGUCGGACGGUGACAGGUUGAGUUUGCGUACAACAACAGCUAUCAAGCGAGCAUUUAGAUAGCUCCGUUUGAGGCGUUGUAUGGACGCAGGUGUCGAUCACCUUUGUAUUGGUGAUGUGGGUGAAAGAAAGACUCUGGGGCCUGAGAUUCNAUUUAGAUAGCUCCGUUUGAGGCGUUGUAUGGACGCAGGUGUCGAUCACCUUUGUAUUGGUGAUGUGGGUGAAAGAAAGACUCUGGGGCCUGAGAUUCUAAUAGAGGCAGAGGAAAAGGUCAAGAUUGUACGACAACAUCUUCCGACAGCCCAGAGUCGACAGAGGAGCUACGCCGAUUCCAGGAGACGAGACUUAGAGUUUUAAGUUGGAGAUCAUGUGUUUUUGAAAGUCUCGCCGUCCCGAGAGAUACACAGAUUCGGAGUAUGUGGAAAGCUCAGUCCACGCUUUGUAGGCCCUUUUGAGGUAUUGGAGAGAGUCGAACCAGUAGCAUACAGGUAGGGCUGGCAAACGAGCGAGCCGGCUCGCGUUCGACUCGUGUUCGGCUCGAUAUUCGGCUCGCUCGAGCUCGACUCGAAAUUGAAUGAGCCGAGCUUGAACAAAAUAAAAGGCUCGAAAUUCAUUUCAAGCCGAGCUUGAGUAUUACUCGGCUCGUUCGAAUUAGGCUCGAAAAGCUCGAAAACUGAAAAUAUAUAUACUAAUAUAAUAGGAAUGAUAGUUAUAUUUAUAAAUAUAAUUAUUUUAAUUAUAUAAUACGGCUUUAAUUUAAUUUGGACUUAUUAUUGUUUGUCCAUAAAAUAAACCCAACAAGUAAACCGUGGCAAUUGAGCCCAACUCUAAAUCUACAAUAAGCACACGCUCCUUUCAGACUUUCACUGUUGCACAUAACCCUAAAACAUGAUAACAUUCAAAUUCUCAAAUCCCUAAUUUUUUUCCCCUCUCUCUUUCUCUCUCGUUCUCCCUCAGACCCUCACCCAGUCAGGCAGUCACCCUAGCUCACAUUUCUUGCAAUUAUUUUGUAUUUUGAACUAUUGAACAUGUUGCAUCAAAUUGUAGGUAAUGUUAUAUAAAAAUUAAACUAUUGAUUAUAUAAUGUCGAGAAUUUCAAUAGGCUCGUUUAGAGCUCGAGCUCGGCUCGACUCGAAAUUAGGCUCGCUCGAGCUCGACUCGAAUUAAUUUCAAAUCGAGCUUGAGCCUAGAUUUAGGCUCGAAAUUAAUUUCAAGCCGAAUUUGAGCUGACAUAAGCUCGCUCGAGCUCGGCUCGUUUCCACCCCUACAUACAAGAUUACUCUACCCCCACGACUGGCCGGUAUUCAUGAUGUUUUUCACGUCUCGGCGUUGAGGAGAUAUGUGUUUGACCCCUCACACGUGAUUAACUUCACUCCACUGGAGCUUGGCGAGAAUUUGAGAUAUGAUCAGCGGCCGGUGCGGAUUCUUGCUCGUGAGAUGAAGAAAUUGCGCAACUGGGUCAUCCCUUAUGUAAAAGUGCAGUGGAGUAAUCACAAGGAGUGUGAGUCGACUUGGGAUCCGUAGACGGUGAUGCUGGAGUCCUACCUUCACUUGUUUAAAGCUCAGGAUUAAGGUAUGCGUUAAGUUUCAAGGACGAAACUUUUUGUAGUAGGGGAGAAUGUAGUAUCCCUAGUAUUUGGUUGCCCGUGAGAUUUCAGCAUCUGAGGGUUGUUGACACAUUUGGAGAGUGUCGGGACAAGUCGGAGUCGUUUUGUCGCGAAAUGGACGCAAAACGGACUCGACGCGAGGCAAUAGUGGAGUUCUGACGCUGAAAUCCGCAAAGUGCAGGAUUUCAAUGUUGAGUACCGGUACUAGGCAUGGAGUACCGGUACCCCCGUGUAUUUCCAGAACAGAAUGCUCUCGAGUUGCGCCAAUUGAUGCUGAGUACCGGUACGGCAUCGGGCCGGUACUGGUACCCUAUGUGCGAGCUUGUAGGCUGAGAGGCUGAGUACCGGUAACCAAAUUGGGUAACGAUACUCCAGCUGUAAUUUUAAGUUGAUGAGGGUCCUUUUGGUCAUUUGAAGUGGCAUUAUUAUCAACGCGAUCCCCAUCUCUUUAUAUAUGUGUAGAGAGACAGAGAAGGAGGUUUUUGGAUUGCUGCUAUCUCUCUCUAGUUCUUGAUCGUGUUCGAGGUGGAGGUCGCGACUUGAGCUCAAGAGUUUAUCGCCGUUGCGCCGGAGGGUCGUUUGAGCGUGUGUGCGUCGCGGUUGCACCAUUGGAGGCCGAGCGAGCGCGUGAUUUCCUCUCCUUUCGACUUUUCGCCGUGGUUGGACGAGCGUUUCGAUGUGGGUUGAAGUUUACCGAAAUCGUUGAAAUACCUCCUAAAUUCUUAUAUCGUCAACAUAUUUUGUUGGUUUUACUUUCUUGCUAGUACUCGAAUUCAUGGAUUAGAGAUAAAAUCUGAAUUUGGAGUUAAGCUAGUAGUAUAGUUUUACAUGUUGGACUUGAAAUUGACUUAGGAGAAAAUAUACAGAUCCUACACUGUCAUUUCUAAAAAUUACCAGUUUUAGUUUUAGGAACUGUGAUUUUUUUGUAUCGUCACUGUUAGUAUGCGAUGAAUAUCCGGAUUAGUGUAGGAUGAGGUUACGCUUGUGCUGGGAUGCCGAGUUUAUUUUUUCAGUAGUAUAUAGACUGUUUCGUACUGUCGGGUGUUGUCGCGAUUGACGGUGGACCCAGAUUUCUGCAAUUUGCAUCAGAUUGUGCCAAGGGUAUGUGAGCUUUGGUUGUUAGACCAGUUACGUCCAUUGCUUUGAUUAUAACCUGUGAGAGUCUGAUUGAGCUUGGUAGAGACACGCUUGCAUACUCGGUUGGAUAGCGCUGACGCGUGCUGCUCCGGAGUCGGGCUUUGUGCGUUUGCAUUGAUGUCGUAGUGUCCGGGUUGGACUUGCUCUCCACCGACAACCUAGCGUGGUAGUGGUUGGUGUAGCUUCGACAGGCAGGACGGGUGCGUUCACAGUCCCUAGUGAGAUUGGGUCAGAGAUUACUUCUUAAUUAUAUCUACAGAAUAGUGGUUAGCGAUAAUAUAGUGGUAUAUAGCUGUAGAGUUUUUCCAGCUUCCUUUACUAUCCUUUAGCAUAUUUCUUUUCUGUAGACUUAGUGGGUGAGCCGUUGAGGUCGGUAACUAUACCCACUGAGGACUACUACUUUUUGCAGUAGUUCUCACACCCAGUUGUUGAUCCCUUUUUGCAGAGUCUUCGUCCGUGGCUGCUACUGUCACUGAUUCUGAUAGUGGAAAGAGAGUCGCGAGUUAGACCCUUCUAGCCUUGCUGCAGUACUAGUGGAGUACGUACCUUCCACAUAUAGUUUUGGGACUUUUUGUACACAUGGUUUUGUUGUCUUGAGUACUCGCUGAAGCGAGUGGUGUAGUAGAUAUUUUGUAUGUACUGAAACCCUCUCGAGGUUUUAUAUAUAUGUUUUCAAUUUAGCAGCUUUUUACCUUGUGUUUAUACCUUAGUUUUGUUUAUAGGUACAGUUAUCGCUUCGUAUAGAAGAAAAAUUUCUAUGUAUAUGUAUACGGCGGGUUUGUUGGCGUGCUCGAAAAAAUGUGUAAUCCGGGGCAUGACAGCUAUGUUACAUAUUUUCAAUCUAUUGUUAUUUUAUAUGAUACGAUAGACAAUAUAACUAUAUUUUAAACAAAUAUUUUUGAAUUAUUGAUGGAAAUAAGCUAUGAUGAAUAAAUUUUUCACCAAAUCCAAUCUCAAACAACAAAAAUUGGAUAAGAAUUAUUUAUGUAAUAAAUUCCAAUUAAAUUCAUUCGAAUGAAUUAAAAUUUAACUAACUAAUAAUUUCAAACAAUAAAUUUAAAAGAAAAACUAGACUUUUUUUGGCCAAUUUGCAUAAAAAAUCCACUUUUUUGGACUUUUGCAAAACCGGACUACCUUUUUCGUUUUUGCAGAUUCGGUCCGCUUUUUCAGCAAACUGACCAAAAUACCCUUAUUACUUUUUCUCUUUCCUCUUUCUCUCUCUUCUUCGUUUCUCUCGUUCCUUUUUUUUUUUUCUCGCCGGCAGAGCGGAGGCGGAGCGGAGGCGGAAACGGUCCGUCUCGCCUCUCACCCUCAUGCUCUCGCCCUCGCCCUUGCCCUCGUCCAUGCACCCCCCAUCUUCCUCGCCUCCGACCCCGCCAAGGCCGCGCCGCGACUUUUUUUUUUUUGCUUUUUUCUUUUUUUUUCUUCUCUGACUCUUCUCCACCGUCUCCGACGACGAAGCCUCUCGCCCUUCCCCGCCCUUCUCAUCUCUUCCUCUCCCUCAUUUUCUGCCGCCUCCGACGACGAUUUAUCUUCGCCGGCGCCGACGUUGACACCGUAGAGGUCACUGCGGCGCUACAGCCUCGGAGCGGGGGGUCCUUAGCGGCGUCGUCACCGGCGCCGUAGCUGUUGGCAGAGAAGGUGACAAAAAAAAUUAUAGAAAAAACAGAAAAAAAAAAAAAAGUUAAAAAAUUAUAUAAAAAGAAGGAUGGAGAUGAAAUUACAUCUUUAAUUACAAAAAAAUUAUAAGUUGCACUAUUUAAGAUGUAACUGCUGCUUUAAGAUAAAAAUUAUACUCUUUGAACGAAAAUUAUACUAUUUUUUAUCUUAAACUGCAUCCUUUUAAGUGAUAUUUAUACUAUUUCUCCUCUUGUUGCACUGUUUCUUCUCUUGUUGCACCAUUUUUGUGUAAACAAGAGGAGAAACAGUGCAACAAGAGGAGAAACAGUAUAAAUAUCUCUUAAAAGGGUGCAGUUUCUCCUCUUAUUGCAUUGUUUCUCCUCUUGUUGCACUAUUUUUCCUAUUGUUUAUACAGAAAUGGUGCAACAAGAGGAGAAAUAGUGCAACAAGAGAAGAAACAGUAGAUAUAUCUCUUAAAACAGUGCAGUUUCUCCUCUUGUUGCACUAUUUCUCCUCUUAUUUACACAAAAAUGGUGCAACAAGAAGAGAAACAGUAUAUAUCUCUUAAAACAGUGCAGUUUCUCCUCUUGUUGCACUAUUUCUCCUCUUGUUACACUAUUUCUCCUCUUGUUUAUACAGAAAUGGUACAACAAGAGGAGAAACAGUGCAACAAGAGGAGAAACAGUAUAAAUAUCUCUUAAAAGGAUGCAGUUUAAAAUAAAAAACAGUGUAACAAGAGGAGAAUUGGUGCAAUAAGAGGAGAAACAGUGCAACUUUUGUUUAAAGAGUGUAACUUUCAUCUUAAUGAAUACAAUUUACAUCUGAAAGAGUGUAAUAAGAAGAGAAACAGUGUAAAUAUCUCUCAAAGAGUGUAAUUUUCGUUUAAAGAGUGUAGCUUUCAUCUUAAGUAGUGCAACUUAUAAUUUUUUUUUACAGUUAACGAUGCAAUUUCAUGUUCAUCCUUCUUUUUACAUAAUUUUUUAUCUUUAUUUUUUUUUCUGUUUUUUCUAUAAUUUUUUUUUGUCACCCUCUCUGCCAACAGCCACGGUACCGGCGACGACGCCGCUAAGGACCCCCGCUCCGAGCCUGUAGCGCCGCAAUGACCUCCACGGUGUCGACGUCGGCGCCGGCGAAAAUGCAUCGUCGUCGGAUGCGGCAGAGAAUGAGGGAGAGGGAGAGAUAAGAAGGGCGGGGAAGGACGAGAGAGGCGUCGUCGUCAGAGACGGUGGAGAAGAGUCAGAGAAGAAAAAAAAAGAAAAAAAUAAAAAAAAAAAGUCGCGGCGAGGCCUUGGCGGGGUUGGAGGCGAGGAAUGUGAGGGGUGCGUGGACGAGGGCAAGGGCAAGGGCGAGGGCGAGGGCGAGAGAAUGAGAGUGAGAGGCACCGUUUCCGCCUCCGCUUUACCGGGGAGAAAAAAAAAAAGAACGAGAGAAACGAAGAGGAGAGAGAAAGAGGAAAGAGAAAAAGUAAAAAAGGUAUUUUGGUCAGUUUGCUGAAAAAGCGGACCGAAUCUGCAAAAACGAAAAAGGUGGCCCGAUUUUGCAAAAGCCCAAAAUAAGUAGAUUUUUUUAUGUAAAUUGGCCACUUUUUUUUUUUUGGGAAAAAUUUAGAAUUUGAGCCAGUAAACACGGUGUCGGAGAAUGGUCAAAUACAAAUAUUAUUUUUCUAUUUCUUCCUUUUUUUUUUUUUUUCGUAGAGAGCGAAUAUUGAAAAGUUAAGAUGCAAUCGAGGAAGAGAGUCAUAUGGGCGGUUCAUGCUGAUGUGCUGAGCCAGGUCCACACAAAAAUUCUCUGAACACACACUCCCCUUCCCCUGAAGUGCCGUCUGAUCACGAUCAAACGGUCCAUUUCUCUCCGUCAUUCUUUUUGUUUGAUCUCAUCGCAACUGCUCGCACGUGCCAGAAGCGACGCCAAGUGCCUCCGUACCCAUCCAAUCCGCGUUACCGUGCUCCCGCUCGUCCUAAUCCUCUCCUCCUGCGAUGCACUGUACCUCACCCGCAACCCCACCUGCGCCGCACGUGCCCGCCCAUCGUAUAAAUCGUUCGUGAUGCUCUCUAGCUCUCAACGUUGCAAACACAAGAAGAAGAAGAAGAAGAAAAAGAGAAAAAAAAAAAAAAAAUUCCAAAUUCCACCCCCCACGCACACUGCAUUGUGCUGGUAAAAAAGUUUGCCAUGAAGCUAACAUCUAGCAUCCUCUUCGGGCUCAUCAUCAUCUUCUGCCUCCUCUCGAAAUUCACCAUCGCGGUCGCCAUUGUCGGCGGCGGAGGGCGGUGGGAGGUGCUGCAGAAGAGUAUCGGCGUGUCGGCCAUGCACAUGCAGCUGCUGCACAACGACCGUGUGGUAAUAUUUGAUCGCACCGACUUCGGCCCCUCCAACCUCUCCCUCCCCGACGGCCGCUGCCGGCACGACCCCAACGACCGCGCCCUCACCACGGACUGCACCGCGCACUCCGUCGAGCUCGCCGCCGCCCCGGGGGCCAACAGCAGCAGCGGCGCUUCCUUCCGCCCGCUCACUGUCCUCACCGACACCUGGUGCUCCUCUGGCUCCGUCGCCCCCGACGGCACCCUCGUCCAGACCGGCGGCUUCAACGACGGCGAGCGCGUCGUCCGCACCUUCGCGCCGUGCGGCGACUCUCAGUGCGACUGGUCCGAGGCCGCCGACGGCCUGGCCGUCCGCCGCUGGUACGCCAGCAAUCAAGCCCUCCCCGACGGCCGCGCGAUCGUCGUCGGCGGCCGGCUGCAGUUCAAUUACGAGUUCUACCCGAAGGCGAAUCCGUCGGACCGCACUACCUAUCCCCUCGAAUUCCUUAAAAAGACGAGGGAUCAGCCCGAGGAGAACAACCUCUACCCGUUCGUCCACCUGAACGUGGACGGCAACCUUUUCAUAUUCGCCAACAACCGCGCCAUUCUGCUGGACUACAAGAAGAACGUGGUGGUACGGAAUUACUCCGAAAUCCCCGGCGCCGCCCCGCGGAAUUACCCGAGCUCCGGCUCGUCCGUCCUGCUGCCGAUCGAGCCGCCGGGCACGGAAGCUGAGGUGCUCGUCUGCGGCGGCGCGCCGGUCGGGUCCUACCUGCAGGCCAAGAACGGAGGCCGCUUCGUAGGCGCGCUGCCGACGUGCGGCAGGAUUAGAAUUACGGACGCGUCGCCGUCGUGGGCGACGGAGACGAUGCCGGCGGCGCGAGUGAUGGGCGACAUGGUGCUGCUGCCGAGCGGGGAGGUUCUGAUAAUCAACGGCGCGGCGGCGGGCACGGCCGGGUGGGAGCUCGGCCGGAACCCGGUGUACGCGCCGGUGGUGUACCGGCCGGACUCUCCUGCCGCCAGCCGGUUCGCGGUGCAGAGCCCGGCGGGUGUCGCGCGGCUGUACCACUCGUCGGCAGUGCUGCUCCGCGACGGCCGCGUGCUGGUCGGCGGCAGCAACCCGCACGUCUACUACAACUUCUCCGGCGUCGACUACCCGACGGAGCUCAGCCUCGACGCUUUCUCGCCGGCCUACCUCUCCGCCGAGAAUUCAAAUUUCCAGCCGAGAAUUAUCACGACACCCGCGCCGCUUGCGUUGGCCUACGGAGAACAAUUCACACUCCGAUUCACGGCGGCAGCGAUCAAAGGCGGCGGCAGAGGCGACAAUGGCGGGGUGAGGGUGACGAUGGUGGCGCCGGGGUUCGCGACGCACUCGUUCUCGAUGAACCAAAGAUUGCUAGUUUUGGAGACCAAGAGGGCGACUGCGGUGGUCGGAGACGGGGAGUACGAGGUGUCGGUGGCGGCGCCAAAGUCUGGGAACUUGGCGCCGCCGGGGUAUUACAUGGUGUUUGUAGUGAACGGAGGGAUUCCGAGUGAGGGUAUAUGGGCGCGUAUACAGUGAGGGUGCGUAUACGUAGCUAGGUUGUAAUUACAUUAAUGGAGAUGUUAUACGUACAAGUCUAGGUAUACAUGCAUGUGUUUAUACAGCGCAGAGAUCUUUGGUUUUUUUAUAGAGAUUCUUUUUUAGGAGACAACAUAGAGGGUUUUUUUUUUCUUCUUCUUUUCUUUUCCCGCAGUUUUCUUUCUUGUUUUUUUUUUUUCUUUAAUUAGUGUUGGUAAUUAAGAAACUUGGGUAGGCAAAGGAGUUACGAAGUUAUGAUUCCCAGCUGUAAAGCGUUGAUCGUGUUCAUCUAACAAAUAUAGCCUUAGACAUUUUUACCUACUAUAUAUAUAUAUAUAUAUAUAAUUAUGCUACUAUACUAUCAAUAGUAUCAAGCCUUGGUACUAUUGAGUUUUCGACCGUUGAAUGAAAAGAUGUGCGGUUAGGAUGAUAGUGGUCCCUAGUAAAAUUAAUAGUGGUCCCCUAGGGUUGAGUGGAUGGUUGGUUUAAUAGUAUAAUCUAACGGGUGGAAAUGAUCAAAGGGUAGAUCUAACGGUAGAAAACUCAAUAGUACCAAGGGCUUGGUACUAUCGAUAGUAUAGUAGCCGGACUCUAUAUAUAUAUAUAUAUAUAUAUAUAUAUAUAUAUAUAGUCCGGCUAUGGUGCUUGUAAAAGUACCAAGUACUUGAUGCUUGUAAAUUUUUUACCGUUAGAUCUCUGCCUUUAAUCAUUUUUACCCGUUAGAUUAUACUAUUCAACCAACCACCCACUCAACCCUAGGGAGUCCACAUCAUCCUAACCGCACAUCCUUUAUUCCAAGAGCCGAAAACUUACAAGCACCAAUGACUUAGUACUUUUAAAAGCAUAGGAGCUCAAUUCUAUAUAUAUAUAUAGAGAGAGAGAGAGAGUGCAGCUAGGAUGCUUAUGGAAGCACGGAGGGCUCCGUGCUUCCACUUUGUUUUUGAUGUUUGGACUUUCGAAUCGACGAUCGGCUCUGUUAGACUUGAUCUAGAGUAUUUGAAGUAUCUAGAAAAUAAAUUUUGCGAUUUUUCGAUAUCAUUUGCCUAGUGAUCGAAGUGGCUCAAAAUCAACGGCUGAAAAUAAAAAUCUUACAAAAUAUGAUGAUAUGAUAUUAAAAUUUUAGAUCAAAGUUGUUGAUCUUGUUUUAUAUGGUAUAAAGAAUUUUCUAUCAAAAUUUCAUGUGAUUUGGAUAUUUCUACAUGCCGUGCACGGGAAUAGGAAUCCGCUGAGCAGCCGGCUAGCCCCCCUUAGCCCGAGAUGAUAGUGAGGGCGAUGGAAUGCCUGGCAGGAAACCGGUGACGGCAAGGCGCUUGAUCUGUGGAUCAUGCGAACGAGCCGGCCGAGCGCAGCAAGUGUUCUUAGGUGGCCAUUUGCUCCUGGCAGGUGGAUAACGAUAUGGUACGUAAUUAGAGAUGGAAGCUGUGUACCUCCGUGUCCAACUUCUAUAGACAUGCGUCAUCGGUCUCGAACUCAAAAGAUGGAAGGAGAAGCCAAGUUCCCACCGGGCGUGCCAUUUGUCUGCCACCGCUGGCGCCGACGAGCCAUUUGUAAGUCUCAAAAUGUUUUGGGGGUGGACGAAUGACAUACCUCAGCGACGGUUAACUCUAAUUUUGAUUUUCCACGCGUGGGGUAGUAUUCAUGAUUCAGAUUAAUAUUUAAAUACGGUACUGGAAAUCAGGUUUUGUGGAAUUCAUGGCUUCCAAUAAACGCACAAAUUAUUGUUAAUGUACCCGCAUAUAAGUUGUUAGGGCACCUUCGAUUAAGAGCCUCUGAAAUGCUGAAGAUAACUGGAAUGACAAACGAAAUUUACUAAUUUAGCUCAAUUACAUGACUUUACAGGGCAUAGCCCUCAGUGGUACAUGUGAAUAGGGAGGUUCCCACGUUCGCGGUAAAGAAGAAUACGGUGAGUUUUUUCUUAAGGAAUGUGUAAGACUCUUAGUGUUAUCUAUAUUCAAGAAGGAUACACAAUAUAAUGUCAAGAUUAAUUGUGUGUGUUGUGAACUGCUGAUAUGAUGAGUGGAGGGCUCUAACCACUAUUCAGCCUAAAGAUGGAAAGAGAUUUGAGCUUGAAUAGCCACCUAUCAGUCCUCAGCCUUGGAGAUUGAUAAUCAGAUUUAAUUCUAAAUUUGAGACUGCCUAAUUAUAUCGUAAUUAGAGUUGAUUUGUUAGAUUUGAACUUUAACAUCGUACAUAGAUGAUAGCAACGUCCAAUAGAUGCAGUGCUCAGCUCUGGAUCUUUGUUGAGACUCUGGUAAUGAUGGUAAAGUUUGUGAGCUUCAACGUGUGGUGAGUCUUUAGCGCACGGGUGCUAGAAUAGUAAAGAUUGCAUUAAUAUUCGGAAAUAUAGUGAGUACAGUUGGAAUUCUGUGAGAUGCCGUACACUUGUAAUACCUAAUCUCUGAAACUUUUUACAUAUACCUUAUCUCUAAUACCAAGUCAAUCUGUGAGUUGUGAUUUAGAGCUUUUCUUGUUUAUCCUACCACAAUCUACCUAUCUGUGCUUACUUAGAGGGCAAUUCAGAGGAGAGCCACGAAAUAAUAGCAUAAAUGAGAAAUUAAAAUCUAAGUAAGGUUUAAAUAUAAUAGUAUAAAAGGGCGGAGUAAUCAGAAUAAGACAGAGUCUUUAGGGGAGCAUCUUUCCUCUAUCUAGUCUCUUUAUUACUUGUCAUAUUAGAUUAUGAUCACAGUAUGUGAUUAAUAGUUUUAGUUUCACUACUCCCCAAGUUUAAGAAUUGAGUAUUUAACUGAGAUUUAUUCCAUCAUUUAUAUGAAAAUAUUGUUCAGGUUUCACCUAAGCAUGGCAUUUGAUUAAUAAGUUUACACUACAAGUGUAUGUACUUCAGAGAAUCUCACUACAGAAUUUAUUUGUUUGAGUCAGAUGGUUGGCUCUAUGAUCAUUCGGUAAAUAAAUGACUAAGGGUUUACAAUAUAUUGUCGGAUUUAUGUGUCAAUUAGAAAAUUGAAUCUGUCCGAUUUUGACAUCUGAGUUUGUAUAUGUGCUAACCCAGAGUAUUACUGAGAGUAAUGUUUUGCGAAUUUGCACAUGACUUGCGGUGAGCGAAGAGUUCGGUUGUAUUAAAAUUUGAUUUCAUUGGUGUAAGACGACGAUUUGCGUGUGGGAUAGUUAUUUGAUUUGCGUGGAGCACAAAUUAAUGAGGUUGGUAACACGACGGUGUCCUAGUCGAGUCGUGAUGUCUUGGGCAAAGUUGAGAUAUAUCGGUUUUUGCCUAACCAGAGUGGGCCGUUAAAUGAUAAUGUGGUAUAUGGGAUUGCAUGUGUUCUAUUAACGAACUCUCUGCCGAUAUAGCGUUUCAGUAGUGUUUAUAGUGUGUGGCGAUGUGCAUUCGACGCGGUUGGUAAAAGUACUUUCGACUUCCGCGUUUUAUGUCUUAAUUGCAUUAUCUCAAUCUCUUCAAAUUGCUUUGUAAAUUGCAUAGUAGCACUCGCUUAUGCUUCCUAACGAUAUCUGUAUUUGAACGCUUAUACAUAGAUAGUGAAGGAUUGGUCGAACAUGUCUCUCUAAGAUAAGAUAAUUGUCAGUGUUUGAUGAUCCUUGCUCAUGGAACGUUUGAUUUUGACAUUAUCGAUUACAGGAACUUAGAAUUUAAUUUAGUUCGUAGUUAAUAGGAAACGAGUGGGGAUUUGGUGUAGUAUGGUCACUAGAACAGUCGAAUGGAAACUGAUAGAGCCAUUGAUUGUGUAUAUUAAUUGGUUUUGGUGUUACCACUUGCAACUGUAUAUGGGUUUGUUCUAAAGUGUAUGCAUGGCACUUAAGGAUGUGUGGUGUAAAUGCCGUUAUGGGCAGAUAUGUACCAUUGUGAAUCGGAGAAUGAAUUUAAUGGAAUAUCGUGGAUAUCAUUAGGUGGUAAAUGAUUUAUAUAGGUUAUUAUGUAUAUGGGUUUAUGGGUAUAAUGGUUUUAAUGAGUUUUGGAUAAUUGGGUUUAGAUAGUCGGCCCAAAUGGGUUAUUGACUGACAGGGCCAUUUGUAAAUGGGCUCUGGCUUUGGACUAAGGCCUAGAUUUAAUUGAUUGGGUUAUGAUUAUUGAUUUAAAUGGGUGUGGUAGUAGGUAUGAGUUCUAGUUGUAUCACCGAAAGGCUUUGGCGGACAAUUCAGUUAUGAUUUUGUGAAAUUGGGUCGGGCUUUGUAGAAUAGCCUAGUGGAUAGGCCGAACUCGAUUUGUGGAUUGUGGAUUUCAGCGCGUUAAUUAUUGGACGGGCAAAUGCGAUACGUGUUUGUAAUUUGUGUGAUGGUGGGAUUGGCUGCGAGAUACCGCCUAGCUGUUCCAUCCAACUUGGGAGGAUGUCGAAUUGGGUAAAUUGCUGGCUAUAUUCAUUUUGGAGUUUAACGGGUCAAUAUAUGGGCCUCAGCCUCAAAUCGUAGUGGAUAUAUGCAUAUGUAGCACUCGGCUUCCAAUAUCUCGGUUUUUCGAGUUUGGGGAGUGGAUUUGGACCCAUUCUGGAUUUCUGCGCUCAUAGAGUAAAUAGUAGUGGGUGUAUGGUUCGUGGCUUUGGUUCUGAGGUACCUGAGUUCGUUUUGAUUGGAUUUGGGGGAGUUGUCGGACCUUUCUUUGUGGUGCAUGUUUUUUUUUUCAAUACUGUGUGGCUCGCGGCGCUUAUUAUGUGUAUGUCUGCGAUCCCCAAAAUUGAAAUUUGGGCUUGGCUAAGGUUAAGCUUCAUGGAUAGUCCAAAAUUCAGAUUCAUAUAUGAUCCAAGUUGAAACUUGAAUUUAUACUGUGGAACUUUCGUGCGCUGGGGGCCGAAAAUCAAUUGGUGGUUCUGAGGUUGAAUGUUAAAUCAAAUUAUCAAUUGGGACUCCUCACGAUUUUGUUUAUUCCUGUUGCUGUGAUGUCUGGCAUGUUUGAGUUCGGGUCCUUGUGAAAUCACAAGGUAAUGAUGUUUCUGCGUUUGCACAAUAAUAGUACGACGUGACUCCGCGAAAUUAUGAGGAAAGUAUUAUGCGAAUAUAAGAAUAGUGUUGUCAUACAGGAUCAAGAAUCUACAUGCCGAAUUAUAGAUCUAAAGAUUGAUAACCGAGUUGUAGUUCGAAACCCCCAAUUGCUCACCGAUAAUCACAUUCAGAGAAGGUUCGCAUAGAUCUUCUGCUGUGUAUAUUCGACAUCAUACUAUAUAAUAUAUUUGACAAUAAAUAUUCAAAAUUAUAUAGUAUACUUGAUUAACGUUUCAGAAUUUGUAAACCCGAACAUCCGACAAUUUUUAUCUUUUUCUAUUUCUCAUCCACAUUGAAGCGAAAAAAAUAAGUAGAUUAUCAUUUUUUAUUCAUGCUUAUCUCUUUGACAGUAUAGCACCACGAUAGAUGGAUAAGGUUCCUCUCCUUUGUCUCUUAAUACAUUGCAUACAAGGGCAACUAAGGUGGGAAAAAUACUCACUUCCGCUGCGCCGUAAUACAAGAGUGUCUCACAGUAUCUGGUACUUGUUGCUUCUUUUGAUAAAUAUACAUUUUUUUUUUCAGGCCAGAACGUAGAAGAGGAGCUACCACGUUCUGGUCAAUCAUAUAUCUUUCUCUCUUUUUGAUAAUAAAUUCUUCUACAAAGGGAGUAUAGAGCGAAAACCGCAUGCUUCCGCCCCAAGAGUAUCGUGUUCAGGGGUGAAAGUUUGGCGAGAACAAUUUCCCGUAGAAUUCUCGGUCACAAUACAUAGCGGAAAUGGCGUCCAGCUUCCCUUAUAAUAUAUAUUCUGUGUUUUUUAUUUUAGGCAUAUGAAAUUUGCGAAUAGGACCAAACAAAUAUGUAGCCUUAAUGCGAAAAUCCUAAGACUUGCCGUGCCACAAAUACAGGGAAUCCCACUGUUACACACGACAGAGUCUCCCGCUUCCUUCUCGUAUAUAUCUACUCGAGCGAUCGUACAAUACACAGAUAUACAGGAAACAACACAACCAAUGAAUAUAAACGAUAACUAUACAUUCUAUACAUUGCACCAUUCACGUCACAGUUUUAUAAUUCAGUGUUUUAAAUAGAAUUCACAGUCUAUAAUAAGUUCCUAUGUGUAAAUAUAAAUUGUGUGUCUCAAAAGUACACCGUGGAGAAUAACCGUUAUAAUUCGAUAAUGUUAUAAUGGAGAAACCGCUACUCAGAGGCUAGUAUUUGUUUAACCCUAAUUUUUAACAAUUACCCUUUUAAGAAAUAAUUAACGAUAGAGGGGUAGAAGGAAAUCUCCUGUUCUAUUUUUAUCGAGAACUACUCAGAAAUUCCACUGGUACUAUUGUACAUAGAUGUUAACAUAAAGCUAUUCUUCGCUUGAAGAGUUUUCCCAUAUAUCCACCUAUAGGUUAUUAAAUCAAACUGUAACAUAUCACAGACCCAAAUAAGGAGAUCGGUAACGAAAGUCAAAACCGAUACUAAUAUACAUGCCUCCGCGGUCGAUAAGAUCUAUCGAUGAACCGGCUACAGUCGUGGAUAACGCGUCAGCGCGUCGACGUCUCGCCCACUCAGUCGUAACAUCGCGCAGCAAGAUUACCUGAAACGAUUGGUGGGAGGUGAGAACAAGGUUGGAUCGUUUGGCUGUAAACAUCGUCUCUCCUCCCAGUGGGUUUACCUGAUUGAAGCACUAUCCGCCGUGUGAAAAGAAGGCUAGGAGAGGUGCACUUCAUCUCCGGAUCAGGAAGAACCAACAGUAGUGAUUUGUAGAGUAGUGAGGAUGUGAGUACCAACGAGAGGGUAAAUGGACAGCCGGGAUAGUUAAGUGAUAUAAAUGAUAUAAAUGAGAUAAUUAGGAGCAACUUGACGUCCGGCUAGGAAUCUGGUAUCAGUAAUGUAACAAUCUUAAAUGCAUUAGUCAUACAUAGUGAAUAUGUCAAAUAUCUAUAUUGUAAGCUCAAGACAACUGUAAAGAAAGAGUGUCUUAUGAAGACAGUAAUGCAGCCGACUCUUUCCCUGCUUUACUAUAGCUAUUAUUGUCGUCACAACGGUACGAGAGAGAGUCCAAAGUACCAGUUUUUCCCCACCCAGAUCUAAAUACACUGCCGUGUCGGUGCGUAUGGAGGCACCUUUUUAAUUUUCCUCAGGCCGCCAUAAUAAUGUCCACUAUCUGCUUUUAUUUCUAAUUGGGAUACCGUGCAUGUAAUAGGUUGCUUAGCAUCUAUAAGAAAUGGCAACAAGUUACUAUUACCCGCUGCUCACGGCGUCGCCCGAUGUACUGACCACUUUUUCGAAAAGAACACCCUCCCCUGCGGGGCGCAUCAAUCCGCCGACAUAAAGGUGUUGACGUUGAAAUGGCAAGGAUACACUCACCUCAAAGAGAUCCUGUCGGCGAUUCUAUAGGGUGCGGAAUGAUCAAUACGCCUCACCUUCCAGUUAGGACUAUAUAUGGCUAAAUGCGCACGGACGCAAUCAGAACUUCCUAAAUAUUGUUUCGAGAGUGCCGGCACGGCCCUCUGGGGCAUGGUAACCAGUUUCCAGAUCCGUGUAGGUCAUCAAGUAACAAGUGACGAUGACCGACCGAGAUAGGUCAAAUGUACGGAAAGUAACGAAACGACCAAACAGGUCACCGAUGCAAAUAGGAGAACCGACCAACCAGGUCACAAGUAUAGUAUAUACGAAUGUCGUCUACUCUACCCCUAUACAGGAUACUACACAUAGAACAACUUGGCAGAGUAAAUAAAGUGGUAUGUAGAUACUGCUGAUGUCAACUAAAAGUACGAAGCAGACCCGACCGAUAGGUCACAGGAGUGUAUUCGAUAUAGUCCAGAACUACCGUCAGCACCAGCCGACAAUCCUACCCUCAAGGUACACCGACCUCAAGGUCAUCGAACGAAGAAGUCAAGAAUAGACCAACCCACUACAUAAUGCAACAACCGACCAACCAGGUCAACAGAUAUAAGAUAAAAGCACCGAUCAACUAGGUCACCGAAACGAAGUACGAGAAACGACCAAUAAGGUCACCGGAUCACGUAUGGAUAAACUACUCUACUCCUACACAUGAUACUAAGCAAGGAAACAUAUGAGUAGAGUAUAAUAAAAAACAACGGGAUGCAAGCUCAAUACUUAUAUCAAGAUAUAUAUAUAUGCCAGAUAAUAACGAGAGAACAGAGGUAAGAAACCAUCACCACUGAGCGUGCACCACUGUACCGACGUCGAUCGAAGUACCCACCUGUACGAAUGCUGCGCCUGUCUCCUGACUGCCAAAGAGCAUCGACGCGACCUAAGGAAAGUCCACCGGUUAGUGCUAACCCCAACUAAUAACCACUAAGGCCCUGUUGGAUGCAUGGUAAAAAAUUCCAUGGGUUUAAAUACCAUAGUUUUGAUCCAAAUAAAAUAGGGAAUCCUAUAACUCCAAAAAAUUCCACGGGAUUAUUUUAGAAGCUGUUUGGAUGCACAUUAUACAAUUCUAUAGAAUUUCUGACAAUCUUAAAAAUUAGCUAUUAGGGACUUUAAAUUAAAUUAUUAAUUAUUAACUGAUUUAAAAUUUCAAAUUAGUGUAUUAAAUAUAUCUAAAUAUUAAUUGUUAUUUCAAAUUUUAAAAAUUAUGACAUUAAACUACUAAUAAAUUUAUUUUAAUUUUGAAAAACUAGCCGUUGAGUGAAGUUUUAUCUUCAAAACUAGCCGUUAUGACUAAAAUUAUCAAAUACUAGCCGUUAGAAGCUCAAAAAUCAAAAAACUAGCCGUUGGAGAGAAAUAUUAUUGUUCUUACACUAUUCUAAGUCUAUUUAAAAGGAUCAAGUUCUUACAAUCACAUAACUAGUAAUUCCUAUAUUUUCUUCUCUAUACCUCUACAAUCACAAAUAUGGAUAACAACAAUCUCGCACUUUCUUUGAGGAGAAGGAAGAAGAGAAUUUGAGUUCAUAAACUUUAUUCAUCCAGUUACAAAUGAUGAUGAAACAUCAGAGAGGAGACGCAUUCACACAUCCGUUCUUACUGCGCAAUGUAUGUUCAAGAAGUUCUUGAAGGCCACGAUGAACGAUGCAAGAGAGAGUUUCGAAUGAAACUCAUGUCUUCAAAGCACUGGUCAAAUGCUUGAGGAUAAAGGGCUUAUCUCGGAUAACGAAAUAUGUCAGUGCGGAGGAACAAGUAGCCAUGUUUUUAUUUACCUUGUCUAAAUGCAAGUAUGGUACGUACAAGAGCGUUUCCAACAUAGUGGAAAACAGUGAGUCGUCAUUUUCGAGUGUUUUAGAAGCAAUCACUCAACUAACCGAAGACUUAAUUCAACACCAUUGGCCAUCACACCUUCAAGUAUCAGGUGAACAGCAAUUUUAUCCUUAUUUUGAGGUAAUGUCAAAUGCUUGCUUAUAUUAAUUUAAUUAUACUCGCAUUGCAUAAAUUUUUAAUAUUUCAAUUGACUUUAUUAUUUUUUUUUAAAUGUAGAAUUGUAUCGGUGCUAUUGAUGGAACUCACAUUCCUAUAUCAAUUGCCACAAGUUUCAAGAACCAUAUCGUAAUCGAAAACAAACGUUAUCACAAAAUGUUAUGGUUGCAUGUGAUUUUAAUCUUCGUUUUGUUUAUGUAAGAGCUGGUUGGGAGGGGUAGCANNNNNNNNNNNNNNNNNNNNNNNNNAUUAUCUAACCGUUAAAUUUCGCAACCGAGCUCCCACGGGCCAUUAAUUAUUGGAUUUUGAAACCCUUCGAUAUACUAGGCAAACGAUAUCGAAAAAUCAUAAAAUUUAUUUUCUAUGAUACUUAAAUUACCUCUACAUCAACUCAAAUAACGAAGCCGAUUGUCGAUUACGAACAGUCCGAAUAUCGAAAAUAACUUGGAAGCAUGAUGGCUCGUGCUUCCAAGCAUACCAGCCCUCUCUCUCUCUCUCUUCUCUCUCUCUCUUCUCUCUCUCUUUCUCUCUCCUUCUCUCUCUCUCUUAAUAUAUAAUAAUAUUAUAUAUAUAUAUAGUAUAUAUCAUAUCUAGUAGAGCUAGAAUACUUGUAAAGUAUAUUGGGUGAUUUACUUGUGUGUUUUUAGCCCCUUGGAUGGAGAGAUUGUGAGGUUAGAUGAUGGUGGGUAGGUUGGUGGUAGGUGGAAUAGCUGUUUUGAUCCAAAGGUAUUAGUAUCAAAAAGUAGAUCCAGAUGGCUAAAAACACACAAGUAUCCCUGGGAGUUGACUACUUGUAAACAGUAUUCUAGCCCUACUCUAUAUAAUAGCUCUAUAUAUAUAUAUUAGAAUUAGCUAACUAUACUAUCUAUAGUACCGGCUCCGGUAACUAUAGUGUUUGUUUUCGAUCUUAGGGCGUUCAAUAACGAUCCACCGUUAAAUAUGAUCUAGGGUAUAUGAAUUUUCUUACGGGAAUAAAAUUUUAGUUUUUUUCGAUAUCGUUUACUUAGGUAAAUAAAUUAUAUCAAAAUGGAUGGUGAAAUUGAUAAUCUCUUAAAUUUGAGCAUAGAAACUUUUAAAUUCAAAAAUCAAGGAUGUUAACCUUAAUCUGGGUAUAUUAGUUUAAAAGUAUUUUCUAUCAAAUUUGAGAAAUUUAGAUUCUUUCUAACCUUUAAACUCAACUCGUCAUAAUAGCCCAUGAAAAUUAACAAAUUUUGAAAAUGUUUGAUCAUCAAAGUAAAUAUGUCGAAAAAAAAUAUAAAAAUUUUUAUUAUCUAGAAACUUUAAAUCCUAGUAGUUCUUAACGGUGUGGGAUCGUUGAUUUGAACACCUAAGGAUCGAAACAAAUAUAUAGUACGGAGCUCGUACUAUAAUAGAUGUUAGUAGUCUAGCUAUAUACUAUAUAUAUAUAUAUAUAUAUAUAUAUAUAUAUUUAUAUAUACGAUGUAUAUAUAUAGAUUAAUUUGUUUUGCCUUCCAACUGUUACGUUUUCGUUUCAUUAAAACUCCUCAGUUGUCUCAUCCAGAAAACUCCUCUACGAAUAGGCAAGUUUUUCACAACCCAUAUUAUUGACACUAUUCCUAAGCAUGGGAUUGCGACCGCCAUUAUCACUUUAGUGGCGGAAAUUCCAUGGCAUGACUUUUAGCCGAUUAAAAAGUGGCCGGUUCCGUUUGAAUUCGAGCCGCAGGGUAUACAAGUAUGUACUAUGAUUAGAUGGAUCUAAUCCUUUGUCGUAUUAGCUCGCCAAUAUAUUCACGAAUUUAAAAAUCUGAAUCAAACAGUUUGUUUCGAAUUUUUUUUAGGCCAACCAAAUUUAAUUAAGCGAUUAAUUAUUGAAUUAUUUAAAAUCUAAAUAAAAUAUAUUAAUUUUUAUAUUUUAAUAUAGAUUAUUUAUCUUGUAUUACUAUCUUGUAUAUUUUUUAUUUUAUCGAAUCCAUUUAUUUAGUGAAUUUUUUUAACAAAUUUAAAACUUAGAAAAUCAACUUUUAUGCAUAUAAUACCCGUACCAAAAUUUUUUGUCGAAUCUGAUUUAAGUAACUAUGAUCUAAACGCUAGUAACAGUGGUUGAUCACUAAAGUUCCGUAUUUCGAUGUAUAAAUUUUUAUUAGAUUAUAUUUUUAUAUUAUUUAAAAAUAUAUAUUUGGAUCAUUAAAGUAUAAUCAAUAUUUAAAUGAAAUAAUUCAUAAUUCUGCCUUCGAUUUGUUUAGUAUUCGAAUAAGUUAUUUUACGUAGGUUUAUUCGAUAAAAGAUUUUGUAUUGUGCUGAUAGUAGUGAUGUCGUUAGGUGCUUAGGAUGUUUUUGUAAGGAUGGGUGAACUUCUAGGCGAAUCGCAUGAUUAGAUUUUUAGACUAGAAAGUUAUAUUAGGGGGAAUUAGCAACUGGAAUUAAUCAAUAUCAUAUUCCGAAAUUUUCUUUGCUUGUUAGUCAAAUAAUAUUGUAAUUGAAAUAUUGGCCGAUCUAACUAGUCAAGGUGAUGUAUGUCCAAUUUGCAUAUUUUUACUAUUUGAUCCACCUUUAUUUCGAAUCUCUUUGGCGAUCGGUCUACUUAGCUCAUUAAGUUUAUUGGUAUGAGUUGAUAUUUAAGUUAAGAAGUGAUAGUCCAAAAGAAUAAAUUUUCCCUUAAUUGCAUCAGAUGCGAGGAUACUACAAGACGCUUUAAACAAUGGUUUUACAGUUCCGCGUGGAAAAUAUUAUCUAGUUGAUGCAGGUUAUGCUAACACACCAAGCUUUAUUGCUCCAUAUCGCGGCAUACGAUAUCAUUUAAGGGAGCAUGGUGCAGCUAAUGAAAAGCCAAAAGAUUAUAAAGAAUUAUUCAAUCUUCGUCAUUCACAACUCAGGAAUCAUAUCGAACGCAUUAUUGGAAUCGUAAAAAUGCGUUUUCCAAUUUUAAAGGUAGCUACAUAUCAUUCUAUCAAUAAUCAAACUGACAUUGUGAUGGCUUGUUGUGUGUUGCAUAAUUUCAUCCGAAAUCAUAAUGGAGCAGAAGAUUGGUUGAAUGAUGGCAUUUCAGAAAUCAGAAAUCAUGAAAUAAUCGAUGUGCCAGAUGGGGAUGCGGAAUAUGCUGAGGAUAUUGACUCUAUGAAUAAUCAACGCAGAGCAGGCAAUCUUAAGCGUGAAGAAAUUGCAAAAAAAAUGUGGACCGAUUACAUAGCUAGACACCAAUCUCGGAGGAAUUCUUGAUUGUCACUAAAUAUUAGAUAUAUAUGUAUCUUUCAUGAAUAUGUAUCAUGAAGUUGUAUGACAAUAUUAUAUAUGAAUGUCAUUUCUAUUUAUGAAUUCAAUCCAAUUUUUUUCUACUAUGUAUGAAAUAUACAAACAAAGUCAACUGCCAUGGCAAAAAAAAGAGAUAUGUAUAUAAUCCAUUAAGUUAAGCAAUACAUGAAAUAAGACAACAAACAUCUAGAUACCAACAAAAAUCUAUUUAGCAUUAAAGAUACCAACUUGCUAAAUAGACUAUAAAGUUCAAUAUACCAACAAAUGUCAAUGGUAAGGUUUAACAUGACAAGCAAAAUGAAAGAAACCUAAUAAAAAAGCAUAAUAAAGAAACUAAGCAACAACCUUAAGGUUUAACUCUAAAUUCCUUCUUCCCAUGCCUUUUUUAUCCAAUAAGCCCUAUGUUCAUCCUUUAAUGAAAGCCAAGCCUCACGAUUUUUUUUCUUUCUUUGGAACACUCUUGUAGCUUUAAAUACCUCGUCCGCGGUCCAUGGAUCAGGCAAUGCAUAAAACACCUCCAUACAUUUAUCAACAGAAUAUUUAUCAUCAUGAUAACUUCUUGUUUGUACCUCUGCUGCGGUGACAAUAGCUUUAGCAAGUUUAUCGUCACCCCUCUCCUUCACAAUUAGAUAAUCUUCCAUUUUAUUGAUAUUUCCGCUUCUCAUUUUUCUUUUUUUAGAACUUGAUGCUGUCCUAGCUUCUUCUUGAGCUUGCAUUUGUGAUUGUGAUGGUGGAGGCACUUGAACUGGGUGAGGUAGGUCACUUGGCGAGGGUAUUUGAGCUGACAGAUUGACUUCCUGAGUCUCUUCAACAUGUUCAUCAAAAUUAUCUCUGACACCUGGAAUCGUGGCUAAUGGAGACUCCGGCUGGGAGGUCGAUGAUGAACCUCUAGAGUGAUUACUAUAAUACUCACAUCCACGAGCACGUUUGCCUUCUGCAUAUGUGCCUUUAAUAUACAAAUAUGAAAUACAUCUAAAUAUUAAUAAUUAAAAAUAUAAAUAAAAUGUGUUUAGGCCAUACCUUCAUAAAUAUCAUAUAGUGCUUCAUACCAUGGAAAGGGCUUGUUGUGCCAUUUCCUAAGUUCUUUGUUAUUCUUCAUAAAAUAAAAAAAUUACUGUUAAAAUUAAAAAAAAUAAUAUAAAGAAUCAAUGUUUAUAAAGUGAUACUCACAUUAAUCAACGGUUCCCAAACUUCUGAUGGAGCAGAAACCAUUUUCUUGUCGCCAUCCCAACCAAAGCCACUCAUCUCUACUAAGUUCUUCACAGCCUUAAAUUGCUUCUUUAAUUGUUGCUCCUGAUCUUUUACUUGUUCUAAUGUAUAAUUUGAAUGAGAAAACUUAGUAAUCAUUGCCUUAUGUAUACUACGCCAUCCUUCUUUAUUCCAUCCAUUUUGACCUCUCCAUUUAUCUUUAUUAUGUUCUUGUAAAAGUUCUACUAAAUAAGCUCUAUGCAUAUCCGUCCAUUUUGCCCGUGAUUGUUUUUUUGGAUCGCUUUCUGCGCAAUGAGUAAAUUAUAGAAGAAAGCAUAUAAAUCGAACUAUGCAUGAACAUGUAAUUUCCUACAAAACGUUAUAAAACUGUGCAUGUAAAUAGAACUUUGCAUUUGAUGUCUCUAAAUUCAUUCUAUUAACACUAACAAAGCAAUUAUAUGUGCAAAUGUGCUAGUCCAAUACAAAGCAUGUCUGCAAGUCCAAUACAAAGCAACAUCUUCUUUAAAAACCAAAGAAAUGACUAGAGAAGUUAAUUGUUUCAAGUUUCAACAGCUUAUGUAUUAUAUAGCCAGAUAAUCACAAAUUGAAAGUCUAAUAGCCAUGUAUAUAUCUUCAAGGAAAAACUCCUUUGUACUCAAGUUUUUUUUUUUUGAGAGAUAUGUAGCAUAUAUGCAAUCUGCAACCUAAAGUAAAAUGCAAUCUGCAACCUAUAGUUAGGUACAUAUAUGUAUAGGUCUGAAUAGAACAGUCAAACUUUGCAAAGCAUUCUAAAAAACUGUUGCCACCAAUUAAACAAGAAGCAAAUGUUGAACAGAAUAAAAAAAAUCCAAAUUGAGAAAUUAAAUGUGCAAUUUUUAAUGAGGACAAAGUAGAUAUUGGUUGCAAACUCUCUAAGAAAAGCAAUCUUAAAAUCAGACAAUUUAUUCGCUAUGUAUCUUACACUACAAUCAUUUCAUGGUUUCAGAAGCAAUACACGCGAAUGGUAUUUUUAGCCGGAUUCUUGUCCUUUAUACAUGAUAAUAAUGAAACAUGACGACUCUUUAUCAAAUGUGCUUACUAUUGAAGUUGGUUCAUGGUUUCAGAAGCAAUACAUGCGAGUGGACCUUUUUGCUGCAUAUUUGAAUUUGGUUCAUGAUUGUGGAUUUCCUAUUGGAAGGAUUAAUGCUAGGUGCAAUAGAAGAUCGACUCGAACUUAAUUUCCAUUUCUUUCUUCUCCCUUCUCUAGCCCUUCAGAUAUGAACCAUUAUAGUAGAGCUAUAAAUACACAAUGAAUAAGGAAAGUACUGAAAAAGGUUAAUAUCUAAAAAUUGCUGGAAUAAUCUUCUUGAAUUGAUAACUCACUUUUAUUCGUCUAAAUGGAAGGCUCAUCUUUGCUCUUAAAUCAAGCUUGUUGCUGCAAUGUUUGGUAUCAAAAUGGACCACUAGUUGAUAGGAUUUUUGUCCACUUACAAUUAAAUGAUCUGUAAAAUUUCAUGCCAUAAAUACCUUCCAUCAUCUUUACUUCUUUAUUGUCAUCCCAACUCAAGCACUUAACUUCAUGGGAUCAACUGGAACAUUUCUUAAAAGUGAGUCAAGCUCAGAUAUAUGUCAUAGUUUUAUGAUGAAUUGCUAAUUUAGUUUAUAUUUGUUAUAAGUUUGUUUCUACUAAGUAUUUAAAGUACAAAUAAGAUGCAAAUUUCAUAUAUGAUCAAAUAAAACUUCUAAUUUUUGUUUUAGAGGUAAACCAAAAUGACUACUUGCCUGCCUCCAAAAAUCAGCCCAAUAUGAUGGAAACCAAUAAGAGCUUUUUUGCCUACAAUUGCUCCCACCCUAAACUCUUUGAUUUAUGCAAGGGUUUCUUUCUCUCUCUUCUCAAAAGGGAUAAGAAAAGCUUUAGAAUUGGAGUAUUCCUGGUCGUGGACCCCUUGAAUGGAAAGGGGGAAAGAGGUAAUUUUGUCAUUUUUGACUAGGAAGCAUCAAGUGGCACAAGUAAGUCAAUUUUGGAGAAGAAUGCACAAGUCCAAAACACAAAAACUGAAUUGCUCAAACUUGAAAUUAUACACAAGUCCAAAACCCAAAAUUAAUUUUCUUUACCUGUUGGAGGAGGAAAAGCGUGCGGCGCCUCUCCGGCCAUGGCAGGGUGCGACCGUGGCCGAGAAGAGUGUGGCGCCUCUCCUGGACAGCGGCGGCAACUGGCGACGGUGCGGCGGCGGCGGCGACCCCGGAGGCGUUCGGGGCGUGCGUGCACUGGUUGCGGGUCCUAGAGGCGGCAAGCGAGGCGGGGGCGAUGGACGGGCUCGACUUCUUCGCUGCGGGGGCGAUGGACGAGCUCGACUUCUUCGCGGCGGGGAUCGGGUCGAUCGACGCCGAGGCGGCGGCGUCGGCGGUGGCCGAAGUGAGUGCGGCGAAGGAGAGGGUGGGUUGUGGAGAGAGUGGAGAUUAGAGAGAAAGGAGGGAGGCUCAGAGGAAGGGGGGAAAGGAAUAGAAUGACUGCGUGAGUGGAGGAGCCCGAAAAAUAGAGUUUCAGUUUUAGGAGAAAAUUUUGGAUUUUAUUUUUACCCUAUUUUUUGGGGUAUAGCUUAACUAUACCCUAAUUAGUUGGUAUAUUUUUAAACCAUCCAAACACUUGUUAGGAAUUUUUUCCUACACCCAUAGUAUAGUUAUACUAUACUCCAAAAAAGUGGGCAUCAAAUAGUAUGGAAACCGUUCGGUAUUAACCCUUAAUUUAUGUCUAGUAGGACCACCGAAAUUAACGACAACGUUGAUAGGAUAAAUUAUUGAUUGCAUUCGGUGGUAUUUUUGUAAUUUCCACACCGUGUCUAUCUCUCGGGAACGGCAACGUUGCGGGACGGGAGCCCUUUCCCGUCCACGCGGGCCUCUCUCUGCCGCUAGGGUUUCUAGAGUUUAGGGGUAAUUACUUAUUUAACUCUAAAAAUUUCAAAAAUAUCUAAUUUAUUUUUAUUUUUUUUCUUUCUAAUAUACUCUACAUUUAUUCAAAAAUAUUCUUCUGUUAUUCAAAAAUACCUCCGCAGUUACCAUCUGUUAAGUUAUCUCGAAUUAAACGUGAAUAAAAAAUAAAUUAAAAUAUAUAUUUUGUCCUUAACUUAAGGGCAAAUAAGAAAAGUUGGUGAUGAUAGGAGGGUAUAUUUGAAAAGACCAAAAAUCAAAAUACUUUUUUUAUCCCUAAUUUAAGGGUAAAUAAGAAAAGGCUGGUGAUGGUAGAAUGGUAUAUUAGAAAGGGUAAAAUAGUAAUUUCACAGGGAUAACGACUAUUGCUAAUCGUUCACUAAUAGAAUUUAAUUUUAUGGGUAUAUUUAAAAUAAUUUAGAACGUAAAAAGGAUAUUUUUAAUAUUAGUUUUCUAGGAGAGAAAAAUCAUAAAGUCGAAAAUUUUUCAGAGAUAUAUAAGUAAUUGCCCGAGAGUUUGUCCCUGCCGCAUCCAUGCCGACCGUUCCCGUGGACCUCUUUUUGCUUCUGUAGGUUUCUAGAAUUUCUAAUUCCGCCACAUCUCUGUUGACGGAGAAAAAAAUUCUUUUUCCUCCGUCCCUACGAGGGUUCCAAUCAUGCAGGUUGUUUCAAUAUGUACUAAAUUUAAUAAAAUUAAAUUAAAUUUUAAAUUUAAUAAAAUUAAAUUAAAUUUUAAUUUAAUAAAGCUUAAAUUAUAUUCAAUUGUUAAGCUUAUUUUUUUAAUGUCCAAUUAUUAAGUAUGACUCACAAUCAAAUUAUUUAACUAAUAUAUUGUAUAAAAAACUAAAUAUGUUUAAAUUUUUUAUUAAAUUUAAAAUAUAUUAAAAAUAUAAAAAUUAAAUAACUAUAUUUGUAAAUAAAUUAAUAAUUAUAUAAUAUUAUCUAUAAUCUAUCUAUUAACACCUUCAUUCUUAGAAGUGGGUCCCAUCUGUCAAGUUCUCUUUUUUUGGUUCGUUCCAGUUCUAGCUUCCCACCUCCUUCGAACCAAAAUUUCUUUUAACCAGUUCCUUUAAAAUCUUCUUCUUUUUUUUUUUUUUUUUCUUUUUUUUUUUUUUUUAUCUAUUGAACCAAUUUCACUAUUUUUCAUAUUACUCUAUUCUUUUGAACUGAUUAAUUUUCCUUUGUUGAAUCGUUUUCUCUUAUCUUCUCAUUUUUGAGUUCGGUCCACCUCCUUUCCUCUAAGUUGACUGAAUAUGGAAAAACGACUCCACCUUUUUGGUUUCCUCUUUAUUUUUCUCACUCUUUCGUCUUUGCUCUCUAGUUAAUAUCUUUUUGAUUUUCUCAUUCUUUCGUCUUCCCUCCCUAAUAAUUUUUUUUUUUCAGUUUUCUUUUCUUUUCUUGCUGUUUUGUCUUCCCCCUCCUCUCCAAUUAAUAUUUUUCAUCUAUUAUAGUGCCCCAACCAUCUUCUCCAUUCUAUUAUCCCCCCCUCUCUCUCUCUUCACAUGGAGCCCUUUGAUCGUUGGCUUCACCACGCCUUACACGCCCUCGACAAGCAUGGUGACGUCGUCGAUACUGUCACCAACUGCUCUAUCAUCCUAUCUCUCUCUCUCCUCACUUCUUUUCUUCCCUCUCCUUAAGGUUUUGAUCAUUUUCUAUGGCUGACAUUGAAGCCCCACAACAGCGCCACCGCCUCUGCCGUUGCUUCUCAUGUUUCAAUAUGUGAAACAACCGUUGUACUCUAAAAGUUUAAGCUAUUAAAGAACGGUGUUUAAACAUUAUAUUUAACACAAUAGGCGGUUGUCAUCGUCAAGGUCACAUGGAAGAAGGUAAAUUAGCAUAUCACCAAGAUCAACAACAUCUCUAUCCUCAGCCGCCAUCAUGUCGUUGAAACCCUAGGCUCUGCUUCUAUUAUUUUUGACGUCACGCUCUUCGAGGCCUCAAUAGACACCGCGACAAGAUCGAGCAUUCAGAAUUGUCUGACUUUCACCAGGCAUUAUUAUUUCUCUUCACCAGCUCUUCUUUCUUCCCUUUGGGUUGGUAAAUGGUAAUUUUUUGUGUACAUUUUGUAUUCUAGGAUUUUUUCUUUAAAUUUCUAUCUGUCGCGUCAUGUGAUUCCCUACAUUAGUAGUAUAUUAUUUUGCAAGGAUGAAAAAUUUUAUGGGUUGGGGAGUAGUUGUGGUGUAUUGAAAUACAGUUAAAUACUUUAAACUUUGACCAAAUUGGCAAAGAGAGGAUUAAAGUCGUGUGAGACAUGACAGGAAUUGAUUUGGGGAAGGUUAGAUUGAGUUAGAAUGGAUUUGAGGAAGUUUAGACUAAAUUUCCAUUGCUUUUGAGUUGUUUCGGAUCAAAUCAAAGUUUUGAGAGAAGCUAAAUCAAUUUUCUCCAUGUUUCUAGAUGCUUGGAGUAUUUUAGGUGUCCGAAAUAUUCGGAUUGCCAAGACUAGCACUUAUGUCCUAGUUGAUUGUUCGAGUAAAAAAAAUGAUAUUUAUAUAAGAGUAAAGGGGAAGAAUAAUUAGAAUAGAAAUCCUAGCUUAUUUAGAUUCUUCAAAAAGGAAGGACAGAAAAUAAAAAGAAAAAGAAUUACAAAGAAAAAAAAAUCUCUUUGUUUCAGAAGAAGAAAAGAAGAAAGAAUAAAAAGGGAGAAGGGUGGACUCACCCCUCUGAUCCGUACAGAGGAGGUGAGCCCACCGCCUCUUUUCUUUAAAAAAAAAAGAAGAAAAGGAAAGAAAUAAAAGAGAAAAGGAAAAAAAAAGGGAGGAGAAAAGAAAUUUUUUUUGUUAUUUCAAAAAAGAGAGAAGAUAUCUAAAAAUAAUAGGGGCAAUUUCACUGCUACCCCUCUCAAAUAUGUAAAUAUCGUAGAUACCCCUACAAAAUUGAAAAUAUCAUAUAUACCCCUUCAAAUAUAAAAUAUAUUCACAACUAUCCUUUCUUCUAACGGCUGUUAUUAUAACCAUGGUUAAAAUUUGGUUAAAUAAAGGUUAAGUAACAAAAUGACUAAUUUAGCCCUAAAAAUGUUAGGUGUUGUCUUGAUAGCAAAUAAUUAAGGGGCAAUUUUAUAAGUACCCUUCUAAAUUUUAAAAAUAACAUCUCUAGAACUAAUUAUUAGUGAGUAAAAAAUAAAAAAACCCCUCACCUAUAGAUCAUUUUGAACUAGACCCUUUUAAGUUUUAUUUUUUAACAUUAAGAGACUUUGAACUAUCAGUUUUUCUUUAUUUUGACUUUACUUAGUUAAAAGUUUUUUAAUUGAGAUCCCUCACAUGAAUUUGAUAAAAUUUUUAAUUUUGUUUGGAAAAAACACUCAAUUGCGCUAAAAUUUUUUUUAAGAAAACACUUAGGUUGAGAGGGUGUAUAUAUAGAGAGUUUUGUUAUAAUACUAUCGGUAGUACACCUUAUUUUACUAUGAUUUGUUUUCAAUGAUAGAACUUCCAAAUUGACAAUCGAUACCGUUAAACAUGAUAUAAACCAUUUAAACUAUCUGAAAAUCAAAUUUCACACUUUUCCGAGUUAGGAUCAUGUCGAAGUGGACUAUAAAUGAGAGGGUUUUCAUAAAAUUUUCAAUUAAAAAAUUUUUGUUUGAGCAAAUCAUAUAAGUAAUACUCUAAUAUCGAGAAUUUUGAUAUCAAAAUAUUUUUAGCAUGAAAUAUGUGAGUUAUUUAAAUAAAAUUUUUAAAAAUAAAUCUUUAAAUAGUUAAUGUUCAUUCUAGUGUGGACAAAUUGCAUUAUAACUAUGUAUAAUUUAAAAGCGAAAAAUCAUAAUGAGAUUUAACUAUCACACUUAAUAGACUAUAGAUCUUUAAUUGUAAUAUUUUAAAAAUAAUGUUAAAUUAUUAUGUGAUUCAAAUGUUAAAAAUUGAUCAUAUAAUUAAUCUUAAAUUACAUGUUUAAAUUGUUGCUAGGGGUAAAAUUGGUAUUUAUAAAAUAUUGGAUGAACACUUGACGGAAAGUUAACCUAAAGGGCAUCUAUGAACAUUUUUGAUUUUAAGAGGGGUAUUGAUGAUAUUUUUCAGUUUAGAGGGUUAUUCAUGAAAUUAUGAUUUUUCAGAAGGAUAUUGAUGAAAUUAUCCCAAAAUAAUAUUAAGUAUUUAAGUUUCUUAUAAGAUGUAAGGUAUAAUAAAAUUUUCUUUUGAGAGAUUUAUUUUGAAUUAUUUCUAAAAAUAAUAAAUGAUUCUUGGAUCCCUAUAAAUUGAUCCAUAGUGUAAGCAAACAAAAAAAAAGGUUUUUGGUAGAAGAGCAAAAACCUACUUGAGAGAAACAGUGAAAAGAACAAAAAGAAAAAAAAAAAGGAAAAAAAAGGUAAAAAAAAAAUUUCUUUUUAUUUUUUAUUUUUUAUUUUUUUUCUUCACACGUGUACAGGUGGUCCUCAUCCCGGCCCAAAUUCAAUUAAAUACACCCGGUCGCCGUCUUCGUGAUAGGCUUGACCCAAGUCCGAUUCAUUAAACCGGGUUGCCGUCUUCGUGAUAGGUUUGACCCGAGUUCGAUUAAAUAAACUGGGUCAUCGUCUUUGUGAUAGGCUUGACCCGAGUUCGAUUAAAUAAACCGGUCGCCGUCUUUGUGAUAGGCUUGACCUGAGUCCAGUUCAUUAAACCGAGUCGCCGUGAUAGGCUUGACCCGAGUUUGAUUAAUUAAACCAGAUCGCCGUCUUCAUGGUAGGCUUGACCUGAGUUCGAUUAAAUAUACACGGUCGCCGUAUUCGUGAUAGGCUUGAACCAAGUUUGAUUAAAUAAACCAGGUUGUCGUCUUCGUGAAAGGCUUGACCCUAGUUCGGUUCAAUAAAUCGGGUCACCGUUUUCAUGAUAGGCUUGACCCUAGUUCGGUUCGUUAAACUAGGUCGCCGUCUUCGUGAUAGGCUUAGUCCGAGUUCAAUCCAUUAAACUGGGUGGCCGUCUUCGUGAUUGGCUUGACUGGGAUUCGAUUCGUUAAACUGGGUCGCCGUCUUCGUGAUAGGCUUGACCCGAAUUCGGUUCAUUUAAAUCGGGCCGCUAUCUUCGUGAUAGGUUUGAAGUUCGGUUCAUUUAAACUGGGUCGUUGUCUUUGUGAUAGGCUUGACCCGGGUUCAGUUCAUUAAGCCGGAUCGCCGUCUUCGUGAUGAACUCGACUUCGAUGAGCCAAACCAUAAUGAUAAAUCAAACCGGACGAUAAGCCGAUCCAGUCUAAUCAAAGGGUCUAAUUUAAAUCGAAUCAUGGACCAAUCAAUCUAAAUUGAACCAUUAAAGAUAUUAAUCGAACCGAACUGAAUUACAAGCCGGUUUGACUUAAACCAAACCAUAAAGGAUUCGACUUGAACCGAAGUGGGUCCGAUCCGAACCGAACCACAAAGGAUUCAACUUGAACCGAAGUGGAUCCGAUCCGGACUGAACCACAAAGUAUUCGAUUUGAACCGAAGUGGAUUCGAUCCGAACCGAAUCAUAAAGGAUUCGACUUGAACCGAAGUGGAUUCAAUCCGAAUCGAACCAUAAAGGAUUUGACUUGAACCAAAUUGGGUCCAAUCUAAACCGAACCACAAAGGAUUCGACUUGAACUGAAGGGGGUCCGAUCCAAACCAAACUAUAAAGGAUUUGAGUUGAACUAAAGUGGAUUCAAUCCGAAUCGAACCAUAAAGGAUUCGACUUGAACUGAAGUGGAUCCAAUCUAAACUGAACCAUAAAGGAUUCGACUUGAACCGAAGUGGGUCUGAUCCGAAUUGAACCACAAAGGAUUCGACUUGAACCAAAGUGGGUCUGAUCCGAACCGAGCCACAAAGGAUUCAACUUGAACCGAAGUAGCUCCGAUCCGAACCAAAUUAUAAAGGAUUUGACAUGAACCAAAGUGGAUCCGAUCCGAACCAAACUAUAAAGGAUUUGACUUGAACCGAAGUAGGUCCGAUCCGAACCGAACCACAAAAGAUUCGAUUUGAACCAAAGCGGAUCCGAUCUGAACCGAACCACAAAGAAUUCAACUUGAAUCGAAGUGGAUCCGAUUCGAACCGAUCCAUAAAUGGUUCGACUUGAACCAAAGUGGAUCCAAUCUGAACCGAACCACAAAGGAUUCUACUUGAACCGAAGUGGAUCCGAUCUGAACCGAACCAUAAAUGGUUCGACUUGAGCCGAAGUGGAUCAGAUCUGAAUCGAACCAUAAAGGGUUUGACUUGAACCAAAGUGGAUUCGAUCCGAACCAAACCACAAAGGAUUCGACUUGAACCGAAGUGGAUCCGAUCCGAACUGAACCAUAAACAGUUUGACUUGAACCGAAGUGGAUCCAAUCCGAACCGAAUCUUAAAUAGUUCGACUUGAACCUAAGUGUAUCCGAUCCGAACCGAACCAUAAAGGAUUCGACUUGAACUGAAGUGGAUCCGAUUCGAACCGAACUAUAAAGGAUUCGACUUGAACCGAAGUGGGUCUGAUCCGAACUGAACCACAGAGGAUUCGACUUAAACCAAAGUGGAUCCGAUCUGAACCGAACCACAAAGAAUUCGAUUUGAACCAAAGUGGAUCCAGUCCGAUCUUAACCAUAAAGGAUUCAACUUGAACCAAAGUGGAUCCGAUCUGAACCGAACCACAAAGAAUUCGAUUUGAACCGAACUACAUGAAGAUCAAGCUAAACAGAACCAAACUAUAAGUCGGUUCGACUUAGAUCGAAGUAUAAAGUAGUCAAGUUGAAUUACAAAUUGGUUCAACUCAAACUCAAACCCAAAAGGUUUUAAGUUGAGCCGGAAUGUAAGAGCUCAAUUUGAAAAAAACUCAAACUGAUCUUGAACCAAACCAUGUGGGCUAGAUCCAAACCACACUGAACUAUAAGAAAGUUAAAGUUGAACCAAGAUAUAAGGGCUCAACGUACCCAACCCAAAAUUAAAGGGGACUUGAACUAAGUCACAGAGGUUCGACUUAUACCAAGUCUUGUCCCGAACCAAAGUAUAACAGUUCAACCCGAAUGACCAAACAAACCUAAGGUAGCUCAACUCGAAUCAAACAAGAAGGGUUCAAAUUAAUUCAACUUGAACCCAAUCGGGAUGAUUCGAAUUAAGUAAACUAGCCCUAUCCGAACCGAAGAAAAUCAACGGUUCAAACCGAGCUGAAUUCAACUUAACCGGCUAAUUCAACUUAAUCGACUCAUAAGCCAGAAUCAAAUGACCCCUAAGUCGUUAAACCAAACAAAUGACCGCCAAGUCGUUAAACUGAGUAAAUCAACUCAACUCUAUUUGACCGUCAAGUCGUUAAACUGAGCAAUCAACUCAACUUUAUUUGAUCGCCACGUCAUUAAACUGAGCAAUCAAAUCAAACUCUUUUUGACCGCCAAGUCGUUAAACUGAGCAAAUCAACUCAAUUCUAUUUGACCGCCAAGUCGUUAAGUGAACAAUCAAAUCAAACUCUUUUUGACCUUUAAGUCGUUAAACUGAGCAUCAAAUCAAACUCUUUUUGACCAUCAAGUCAUUAAACUGAGUAUCAAAUCAAACUCUUUUCGACCAUUAAGUCGUUAAACUGAGCAAUCAAAUCAAACUCUUUUAGACCAUUAAGUCAUUGAACUGAGCAAUCAAAUCAAACUCUUUUUGACCGCCAAGUUAUUAAACUGAGCAAUCAAAUCAAACUCAAUUUGACCGCCAAGUCGUUAAACUGAGCAAAUCAUUUCAAAAUCAAUUUGACAGCCAAGUCGUUAAACUGAGCAAAUUAAAAUUAAAGGGAAAACUUCAAAAACCCCCCCUGUGGUUUCGUGCAUUCUCACUUUGCUACCCUGUGGUUUAAAACGUAUCAAUUUACCCCCCUGUGGUUUCAUUUUUAUCUUUUCGGAAGCUUUUUCGUUAAUAUUUCGUUAAAUUAUAUACAAAAAACUUCAGAUAACCAUCUAUAUUUAUCGAAUAGUCACUUUAGUAUUCUUUAAUUUUAACUUUGUCACUGAUUUUAAAAAAAAAAUAAUAAUAAAAUUGAUAACAAAAAGAUAAAAACGAAACCACAGGGGGGCAAAAUGAUACGUUUUAAACCACAGGGUAGCAAAGUGAGAAUGCACGAAACCACAGGGGGGGUUUUUGAAGUUUUCCCAAAAUUAAAUUCAACCUGAUCCCAAUCGACCAUCAAAUCUAUAAGCUGAGUAUUUAGUUUUAUAAAAUUCAUGUAUAGUGAGGAAAUGCCUUUACUUAAGCCAUGUACACGGCAAAUCAUAUUAACAAAAUUUCAUUUGCCUAUUUUGAUCUUUUUUAUUAUUAGCAUUCACAUUUGGUCUCUUAAUAGAAGUUCCUUAACACUGAACGUAUGUGGUAAUUAACAACAGAUUCUUGAGUCUGUUGGAAGCCAUGAACCUAUAAUCUUAAUUUCAAAAUAAAACAUAAAUAGAUUUAAUCUCCACUAUGAAUGACCACUCACCGGAGCAAAGCUUGCGGCGGGGCCGGUUCGUUUAUGGCGGCAGACAUUGAUGCUUAACCUUAGAGGAGACAAGCUCGGGUGGUUAAAUAUUUGGGCAUCCGGAUUGCCUUGCUAGUGUCCGAUAAUGCUUCCUGACGGUUUGGAGAGUGCUCGGAUCAACUUUUGGACACAACCCGGGAGGUGAGGAGGGAGUUUCCUGGGACUUUCAGGCACCUGAAAGAUCAGGUAGGCAUCCGAUAUCUAACAUAAAUGCAGAAAUUGCUCUAUUUGUAAUUUCUCAAAUUUUGAGGUCAUGGUUGGAUAUUGUUACAUCUAUUUGUACCUUAACUCCUCUAUCUCUUUCUUAUUUCCGCUCCUCAAGAAGAAAAAUAGGCUAAGUCCUCAUCCCUUUUCUCUUAUCUUUUUUCUCUUCUUUCUCUUUCUCUUAAUUUCUUCACUAAUCAUCAUCAUCUCCUUCAUUUCCUACCUCUAGUAGCUUCAACUCAUCUAUAAGGUUGGAGUAGAAGCUAGGGAUUUUGAAGAGGAGUGGCUUAGAGCUUUCAAUCUUUAAUCCCUAAACAUUGGUUUUGGAUUAGGGCUCUAAUUAAGGUAAGUUCCCAUGCUUUGAGCCUCUAAUUUGAUGUUUUGAGUAAACUGGGGAAUAUGCAAGAUUAUGGCAAAUUAGGGUUAGGUUUGGGAUUUUUCAAUUUGAGAGUUUUUGAUUGAGAUUGAUGGGUUGUAAAGCCUUCUGUAGGUUGGAAUAUAAGCGUUAUCGAUUUCAAUGGAAGUUAUUUCAAGGAUUGACCAUGUAGUAUACGAAGUUUUGGCCUAUUGAUUAAGUGGCAGUUGGUUUUGAUGGUGGCAGUUGGUUUUGAUGGUCGACACGUCUAUGUGAUGUUAGGUCAAGUUAGAGUUGAUCUUGUGUGAAAUGGGUGCAAAAUUGAGCUUCAAUGACAUGAAUUCAGCUGGCAUUGAGUUUUUAUGGAUUUUUGGAUGCCCGAAAAAGGAAUAAGGCGCCUAAAAGUACGAUAUGGAGUGUGUUGAUUUCAGAGCUCAGUUACGGAUGCCUGGAGUGUUGUUGGUGGGUUUGAAUGAAAUUCAGGCCUAGUGUUGUAGGCACCCGAGUUCUACUGUAGCAUCCUGGGAUAUUGUCAGUGUAGUGACAUGACGAUGGUGGUGAGUUGGUGACUCCGCUGGUGACUUAGCAAGUGAUUUGGCAAGAAUUGGGCUUUAGAUCUGGGUGCCGAAUUAUUGUUUCUGGUGCAGUUACAAGAAUUCAGACGGAGAUCUAGGCACCCAAUUGUUGAUUCAAGUGCAUCUAUGUAGGGUUUGGGUGGCCCAAUGCAUGGAUGGAGUGGUUGAAAUGCCUCGAUUAUGAGGUUUCGGACGUCUGAAAGUUGGAUUCGGGCGCUCGAAUGUGUAUAUAUUUUUUUUCUAAGCAUCAAUUUUCUAGAGUUUUAUGGGCUUUUCUGUAAUUGUAGCUUUAUAUAUAGGACCCAGAAGUAGCCUUUCUCAUGGAAAAAAGAGAGAAUAGUAGAGAUAAAGAGCAGGAGAAAGAGCAACAAAGAGAGAGAAGAAAAAAAAGGAAAAAGAAAAAGAGAGACAAAGAUGGAGGGAACGGGACUGUGAAUUCUAUUACUGAGAAUUACUGGGUUUGGUACCAAGCAUCUCUUCUUUCUCCUUGCUUCUUUUGUUGGCAAUCAUUUAGCUGGGUUCCAUUGUUGUCGAAAUCGAUGAACUAAUCAUUAUGUCUAUUCUUCUCGUAUAUCUAUUGUGAUGCCCCACCUUCUAGGGGAUCACUUAUCUUAGGACUACUCUAACCCUAGUACGCUUAACUCUCUUAAUCUCUUGGACUUAGCCGCCGCCCAAAAUACUAUAGCUGUAUUAAAAAUUUAGUCCUAUUAUAUCUCAUAUAUAGGGCUACCUGGAGUUUCACAUUCUCUCUUUAAGCCCUGACGUUCUUGUCAGACUCAAACUUAUAAGUACCAAGCGAUGUGAGACUCGUCUCGAUAGCCUUAACUGACCUUGUAGGGGGAGCCGCGCUUUAUCCACAAUAGUUAUCAGCAUAAGGGGCUCGGUCUCCCCGUUGUAUAAAUCUGGCUUAGCCAAGAUGCAUCUCAUAUUUUCGGUUGGUAAUUGGCUCUUAUACCAACUGCGACGCCCCACUUUCCAGGGGAUCACCCAUCUGUUACGUACCUAACUCAAUGCAACCCAUUGAUGAUGAUACUUCGCUGAAACGAUGGACGACGUUGGGGAUGAUGGGUUCCAAUUAUGGCCGCUCGCAAUAAAUCAGGAAUGCAACACAAUAAUUUAAAAUAAAGAAAAGGAGAAUAGAGAGUAUAAGAGAAGAGAUGAUAAGAAAGAAGAAGAAGAAGAAGAGGAGAAAGAGAGAGAGGGAAUUAGGGUUGAGAGAGAGAUACGAGAUGGAGAAGAAAUUAUCAUAAUUCUCAUUAAAAAAACCCUAAUUCUGUUACAAUCUGCCUAUUUAUUCCCCAUACACUGGACUAACAUGCAAUUAAUAAAAACUAACAUGACUAAUUGCGAAUUAGACUAAAGUUGGGCUUCUCUGCCGUUUCUUGGUUCGAAUUCGGUAUAUGGCCUACUAUUCACUCGGUCCAAGCCCGCCUGUAAUCGGUAAGUGGUCUCUUAUCCCUUCCCACUAUCCUCACUGUAUCCAUCGCCCCCUUCGCCGACACCGCUCCUCAGCAAGGCGCCUCCCCCUUCGCGAUCUCUCCAAGGCUGACCGAUUCAUAAUCCAAACUCCUCCACUGAAAAGCUAAGUUCCCCUUUAUUACUUCUCCUUUAGUAUCUUCUCUAAUUACUCUGCUCCUAGCUCUAACCCUAACUCCUCUCCUACUGGCAGAUGUAACACUCCCUUCCCCUCAACCUGAUCCUUGUCCUCAAGGAUCGAAAGAAGGAAACUGACCUUUGAGGGCCCUAUAGUCCUCCCAAGUAGCGUGCUCCUCGGAAAGAUUCAUCCACUUCACCAGUACUUCAGUCGCAGCUUGGUUACCUCUUUUCACCAUCCUCCUCUCUAAGAUCCUUUCCGGCUCGGUGAGCAGUUAUCCUCACCUAUAGUGGGCACCUGCGGUAGAGCUUGAAUAGCUGUUGGGGGGCUUUUCUUCAACAGUGACACAUGAAACAUGGGGUGCACCCUCGACCCUUCGGGUAGUCGCAAUUUGUACGCUACCGGCCCGAUGCGCUCCAUAAUUUGAAAAGGACCAUAAUACCUUGCAGUUAACUUCAAGUUUCUCCUUAUAGCCACAGUGGUUUGCCUAUAAGGUUGUAGUUUGAGGUAUACCCAAUCUCCUACGGCAAAUUCCUUCUCUUUUCGAUGCUGGUCAACCUGCUGCUUCAUCCUACUCUGAGCGACCUGCAGCCGAUCCUGCAGCUCUCGAGUUAAGCCUUCCCGUUCCUUAGCCCAGUCUCUAAUUUCCCGAGAUGUGUUUGAGUCGCUUGUGGUCACCAGAUAAUUAGGUGGGGGGUAUCCAUAUAACGCUUCGUAUGGGGUAAUACCGAUCGAAGAGUGGAAGCUUGUGUUGUACCACCAUUCCUCCAAUGCUAACCAUGAAUGCCACCUUUUGGGAUGUUGAAAGCAAAGACACCUCAAAUAGGUUUCUAAGCACCUGUUCACUCGUUCCGUCUGAUCGUCCGUCUCUGGAUGAUAAGCCGAACUCAUUUGCAAUUUAGUUCCCAUAGAUUGAAAAAGCUCCUCCCAAAAUUGACUUGUGAAUAUUUUGUCUCGGUCCGAAACUAUCGCCCUCGGACAACCAUGCAGUUUACAAAUGGUAUCCAUGAAUUUCUUCGCCACUUCUCGGGCUGAGAAGGGGUGCUUCAGAGACACAAAAUGGGCGUACUUCGUAAGUCUAUCCACCACGACCAUGAUCGUAUCCUUCCCGUCAGAGCUGGGCAGGGAUUCAAUGAAAUCCAUACUUACCUCUUCCCAAACUUGGUGUGGUAUAGGUAGAGGCUGCAGUAGGCCGGCAUAUGGAGUUCCAUCCACCUUGUUUUGAGCACAUGUUGCGCAAUCUUUGACCCACUCUUCUACUUCCCUUUUUAAUCCCGGCCAAAAAAAAUGCUGUUUGAUUCUUCUAUAAGUGUUUUGAAUACCUGAAUGACCUCCUAAUGCCGAACUGUGCAUUUAGUCGAGAACUUGCUGCCUCAUUUGUCCUGAUUUCCCAAUGUACAACUUCCCCUUAUACCUUAGCAAUCCAUUGUUGUAGGAAUAGUUUUCGUGAGUAUUCGGCUGUAAAGGAAGCUCGCUGACUAACUUCUCGCACUGUGGAUCCCCCACAUAGCUCCCUAUCACCUCCUGCAUCCAACUUGGUAUUACCGCUGAUAUUGCUAAUGAAACGCCUUCUUCUCCGGCGAUUCUUGACAAAGCGUCGGCCGCCACGUUCUCCUUCCCCUUUCUGUACUGAAUAAUGUAAUUAAAUCCCAUCAACUUCAUCAUUUCCUUUUGUUGCAUAGGCGUUGUUAUCCUUUGUUCCAAAAGAUGCUUUAAGCUUUCGUGAUCAGUUUUAAUCACAAAUGUCCUCAUGCUUAACUAAUGUUUCCACUUCUGCAAUGCCAUGAGUAUAGCUAAAAACUCCUUUUCGUAUGUCGAUAAACCCUGGUGCUUCCCCCCAAUCGCCUUGCUCAAAUAAGCAAUGGGUUUCCCUUCUUGGGAUAAUACUGCGCCAAUUCCGGUGCCACAGGCAUCAACUUCUAAAGUGAAAGAGUGAUCAAAGUUGGGCAUUGCUAGUACUGGGGCGGUAGUCAUAGCAGUUUUCAACUCUUUAAAUGCUAUUUGGGAUUCCUCACUCCACCGAAACUGAUCUUUUUUAAGGAGUUCAGUUAAGGGUUUACUAAUCUGCCCAUAACCCCGAAUGAACUUCCGAUAGUAACCAGUUAACCCCAAAAAUCCCCGAAGCUCCUUGACUGAUUUGGGCGCCGGCCACUUAACCAUAGCUUCAAUUUUGGUUGGGUCUGUAGCUACGCCUUCUGCUGAAAUUAUGUGGCCCAAGUACUCUACCUGAUCUUGCCCAAAGUAGCACUUACUCCUUUUGGCAUAUAACUGAUUUUGCCGCAGCUCGUCCAAUGUAAUUCGCAAGUGCUUCACGUGGUCCUCCAAACUCUUACUAUAGAUCAGAAAAUCAUCAAAAAACACCAGGAUGAACUUCCUUAAAUAGGGUUCGAAUGUGCAAUUCAUGAUCGCUUGGAAGGUGGCGGGAGCAUUGGUGAGGCCGAAAGGCAUAACCCGAAAUUCAUAAUGCCCCGGUGGGUACGGAAUGCUGUCUUUGGAACAUCGGUUGGGUCCAUCCAAAUUUGAUGAUAGCCAGAUCGUAAAUCUAUCUUGGAGAAAAGCCUUGAGCCUCCGAGCUCGUCUAAUAAGUCAUCGAUGAUGGGUAUCGGAAAUUUGUCUUUUAUGGUAGAUUUGUUAAGCUGACGAUAAUCAAUGCACAUUCUCCAACUCCCAUCCUUCUUUUUAACCAAUAGGGCCAGUGAUGCGAAUGGACUGUUACUUCUCUGUAUUAUAGAGUUAUUCAAUAAUUCGCUUACCUGUUUCUCAAUUUCUUCUUUUUGCUCAUAGGAAUAUCGAUACGGCCUUACAUUAACGGGAGCAGUCUCCGGCUGUAGCAAAAUCCUGUGGUCUUGAACGCGGGUCGGCGGCAUCCCUUUUGGUUCCUUGAAUACAUCCCCAUAUUGCUCCAAUACUUGUCGAAUGCAAGGGUGGACAUCAGCUUCUAACUUGUUUUCUUCUGACAUUGUUCGAUGGCUUAGUAGAUAGCACUCCCCCGCAUUCAUCUCCUGAUUCCAUUGGGCUGCAGUAAUUAGUCGCAACUUAGCUCCCUCUUCAAUCCCUUUUAACUCCAGUUUCUGGCCUUCCUUCACAAUGGUAACCGAGUUUAGCGAGAAGUCAAAGGUUACUUUCCCAUAAGACUUAAGCCAAUCAAUGCCUAACACCACGCUGACACCCUCGAUUCGAAUCACCCUUAAAUCAGUUACAAAUCUCUGCCCUUGCAUUGUCCAUGAGAACUCAGGACAUUUGAGCUUGCUUAUCAUCUUGUGUCCAUUAGCUAUGGUUACCACCAGAGGCGGGGCUGCUUCCAUCCUUGCUCCAAUUUCCUUAGCUACCUAUAGGUCGAUGAAACUAUGCGUGCUCCCGGUGUCGAUCAGAAGGGUAAGUGUUCUAUUCUUUGCUUCGCCCCGUAUUUUAAUAGUGUCUUGGGGCUUCUCUCCACUCAACACGUGGACUGAAACUCCAAUUUCUCGUGCUUCUCCGCCAUCAGGUACAUCCUCGGAACCUUGCUCAUCUCCUCCUUCACCCGUUUCCACUUGCAAACAAUCUUCAUCGUAGAUCUCAAUAACCUCCUCGGUGGCCUGUAAAGUGUUUAACGAUCUAUUGGCGCAAACAUGCCCCGGAUAAUAUUUCUCCUUGCACUUGAAGCAUAGCCCUGUUGCCCUUCUUUGUUCGAUUAAUUGCCUAUUGACUGGAAACUAAUUUGCUUGAUUUCGUUGUGAAGUUUGGUAUGGAGCCUUGAAGCCUUCACUACCUUUAUUGCUCCCGGUUCCGGUGUUGCCUCGGUAUGAGGAGGCUGGUUGAUAUGGCCCACCUAACCCUUAGGGCAAAUAUUUAUUUUUUCUAUUAAGCACGGCUAUGGCUCUCUCAUGCAACUGUGCUUGUUCAUAAGCUUCCUCUAAUGUGUUCGGAUGCGCUAUGUCCAAGAAAUGAACCAACUCUUCCUUGAGCCCGUUAAUGUAGCAUGCAAUAAAAUAUUCUUCCGUUAAAUGCGGGUUGUAAUAAAGUAGUUGGAACCUUAACUCUUCGAACCUCUCUUGAUAUUUCUCGCACGUUCCCGUGUGUUUCAAAUUACUGAAUUCUCGAAUCAGGUAUCUCUCCCCCACUUGCGCAAACCUCCGGCACACCGCUUCAGUAAAUUCAUCCCAGGACACCGUUUGUUUAUUAACAAAAUAACCUUGCUUCCAUGUUCUUGCCUUGCCUGUCAGGUGCAUCGUCGCUACACUCAACCAUUGAUGUUGAGGUAUUUGAUACAAUUCGAAAUAUUGUUCGCAAUUUUCGAUCCAAUUUUUGGGAUCCUCUCCAUCAAAGUAAGGAAAAUCCAACCGAGGGUACGGUAAGUGAUGAUGUUGAUUAAAAGUUCGAUUGCCCCACGGUGAGGUGUGCUCUUCCUCUAUAUCAUUCGUUUUAAACGGAGUGGGUAGAAUGCCUUUACCUUUUUCUUCUCUGAUCAGUAACGGCGUGUUGCUACUUCCCGGCCUGAACUUGCGAUCAGACGAGGGCGCUUCGGUUUGAGUCCUGAGUGUGGGCGACUGAGCGGUUAUCAGCUUCAGCAACUCCUCAUGCCUCAUGUUUGCCUCGGUUUGUAGAGACUCAAACUGUUUUUGCCCCGUGUCCCUUACUUCGGUUAUUCGUUGGGUAAGUGCUUCUACGUUGGCUUGAUGUUCCGUUCCUAAUUGCUGGUACUUCUCCUCUAAUGCAUGGAUGUGAUCACUAAUAUCUCUUAGUCGGGUCCCUUCGGCCAUAUCUAUAUCCUCCAUAUACUCCUUUGGGUUGAAUUUAAACUUGUUGCUUCGCUUACCCCCAAUCUUGUCGUUUUGAUGGAAAUUGUUAUGGUGGGUUCUCUGAACGAAAUAAUUGUGAUCCCGUAAGAUGCCUCGGAUGAUUCAAUGCGCCUGUGGUAUGGUUCAAUCUGAGGAGUGAGGGAAUUUUCCUCAGAUUAGUCGGUCAGUCCUGUGCUAAUGUAUGGUGAUUUCCUUUGUCCAACUCUGAUCUCAGUGCAGAAUCGGCAGCGCGGAAAUCUUACACGCGAUUAAACUCAACGAUGCUGAGAUCGGAGUUAGGAAGCGAUUCUACCACACAGGGCCCUGGGAUCGGACCGCUCUGAUACCAAUUGUUACGUACCUGACUCAACGCAACCCGUUGAUGAUGAUACUUCGCUGAAACGAUGGACAGCGUUGGGGAUGAUGGGUUCCAAUUAUGGCCGCUCGCAAUAAAUCAGGAAUGCAACACAAUAAUUUAAAGUAAAGAAAAGGAGAAUAGAGAGUAUAAGAGAAGAGAUGAUAAGAAAGAAGAAGAAGAAGAAGAGGAGAAAGAGAGAGAGGGAAUUAGGGUUGAGAGAGAGAUACGAGAUGGAGAAGAAAUUAUCAUAAUUCUCAUUAAAAAAACCCUAAUUCUGUUACAAUCUGCCUAUUUAUUCCCCAUACACUGGACUAACAUGCAAUUAAUAAAAACUAACAUGACUAAUUGCGAAUUA
rnacentral:lncRNA from 1 species